UUAUCUUUGGAGUCUGUUUCUCCAGUUUUAAUUUAGCCUUGGUAAUUCUGCCUGAUCUCAGGAACUGCUAUUGCACUUGCUGGAGUUUUUCUGUAUUCCAGAGCCAAGAGAAUCAAACCAAAUAAAAAACUUUCAUAGUCAUACAAUCGAGAUGCCUGGACGAGGACCUAGUUCGAUCUCAAGUGCUUGAAUCCAAUCGAGUGUAAUGAUUGGAUCUUUUCGAGAAUAUACUGAAAUUCUGGUACAAAAUGGUCAAUUGUAUGAUAUUACGAGUUGAGCAAAAUGAAGACUAAAUACAUUAUAUAUAAAUUUUUAAAUUUCAUACUUGGUUCAAUCCAUGUGCAUGUGGAAUGAAGUUAAGUAAUAUCACUGCACAAAAUAAGAGCUGUAAGUAAUCUCUUUGUAAUUACCAAAUGAAUAGUUAACUUGAAACUCGUUGAUAAAUUUGACUCUACAUUGCUUGUAUAUUUGUUCUUGGUUGUCUGCACAUAGCUCUCAUUGGUAGGUGAAGUGUUGGAAAGAUAUUUAUUUAAUUAUGUGAGAAAAUUUUGUUGAAAGUAUGUAGGUAACCAAGAAGACAUUUGGAUAGUCUUCUAUGUUUUGGAUAUUCAUUGAUGGUAUUUAAUUAUUUUUUUAAAAUAAAUAAAUGAAAGUUAUUUAAUUUUAUGAGAAAGUUUUGUCGAAAAUACUUUGGUAAGAAGACAUUUGGAAAGUCUUCAAAGUUUUGGAAAUUCAUCGAUGGUAUUUAAUUAUUUUUUUAAAAAUAAACAAAUAAAAAUUUAUCGAAUAAUCUGCAAAUAAAAUAGCAUAAAUUAUACAAAAAAUGGGUUAAUUUCACAAACGGUCACUGAACUUACAGAAAAAUUACAAAACGGUCACAGAAGUUUAAAACUUUCAGUAACGGCCACUUAAGUAUUGGGACGCUUUCAAAAACGGUCACCGAAGUUUAAAAAGUUUCUGAAACGAAAACACUUUUUUAGUUUUUUUGGUUACAUUUGCGACAAUUUUUCGGCUACUUCCAACCACCGAUACCAUCGAAUUUUGAUACCGUUGGAAAGAUCACAACGUCCUCUUCAAUUACCACUGAAAAUCUCUUCGUAAUACCAAAGAAUUUGACCAAAAAAUCACCGCAAAAGUUGGCCCAAAAAAUCUGAAAAUCUGCCUAGAUUUUCAGAUUUUUGGGCGACUUUUACGGCAAUUUUCCAGCGACUUUCGACCACCAAGACCGUCGGAUUUUGAUACCGUUGGAAAGCCCACAAUGUCCUACUCAAUUACCAUCCAAAAUCUCCCCCAAACUCCAUAGGAUUUGGCCGGAAUAAACCCGCAAAGUUGGCGUCCCAAAAAGGUGAAAAUAUGGGAUGCUAACUUUGUGAGUUUAUUCCGGCCGAAUCCUUUGGAGUUUUGGGAGAUUUUGAAUGAUAAUUAAAGAGGACAUUGUGGGCUUUCCAACAGUAUCAAAAUUUGGCUAUUUUGGUGGUCGGAAGUUGUCAAAAAAUCGCCGCAAAAGUCCAACAAAAAUCUGAAAAUUUGGGCAGAUUUUUGCCGUUUCGGGUAGCCAACUUUGUAGGUUUAUUCCAGCCAAAUUCUUUGGAAUUUGGGGGAGAUUUUUUGUUGUAAUUGAAGAGAACAUUGUAGGCUUUCCAACGGUAUCAAAAUCCGGUGGUAUCGGUGGUCGGAAGUGGUUGAAAAAUUGCUGCAAAAGUAGCUCAAAAAUUUUUAAACUUCAGUGACCAUUUUUAAAAGCGUCCCAAUACUUAAGUGACCCUUAAUGAAAGUUUUAAACUUCAGUGACCGUUUUGUAAUUUUUCUGUAAGUUCAGUGACCGUUUGUGAAAUUAACCCUACAAAAAAUUAUAUCAUACAAUAGUUCCAAUAGGAUCUGAAAAAUUAUAAAAAAAAUUUAGCACUAUUUUUGCACGUGGUAAUGAAAUGCGCAUAAAAAUUAUAUGCAUAGAGAAGGAUCUUUAUAUUGAAUAUUAAAAGAUUAUAUCAUGUUUCCAAGCAAUCUCCUACCAUUUUCGUACUCCAAGCUUCUCCAUCAACGACAUCAAUAAUCUAUCUAUUAAUCUAGCACAUAGACGUGUGGAAAUAAGAGAAAUAUUAUUGGACAACAAAAAUCUUACAAAUAUUACAAAAUUAUAUUCAACUUGAAGUUUCUAUCCUUAACAUAUCACAAUUUUUCAACCACUAAUUUAUUUCAAAAAUGCAUUAUACCAAAACUCAUUUUCAACCACACAUUCUUCUAUAAAAUAAUUAUACACGUAUUUCAAAAAUUUUUCCUUACUUUUUAACUACACAUUCUCCCAAAAAAAAAAAAAAUUACUAUCCCAUAAUGCAUUUUAUCCCAAAAAUGAGAAUCGAACAGAGGCUAAAUAUAGUUCUCAAUUGGAAGACACUGAGAAGAUUUUAUUUUCUUCAAAUUUGAAAGUGGAUACAAAAGUGAACAGUUUGACUUCCAAUAAAUAGAUAAAUUAGUAAAUUUUCAAUUAAUUAUUGAUAAGUUUGAUACACAGAUAAAGAAAGAAGGUAAAAAUUAUAAUAUUUUUCUUUAUAUGUUUUACAACAAUUUGUGUCCACAUUUAUAGGUGAAAAUUUAAGAUUUACGUGGUAAAUAUAAUCCGCGAAGAAAAUAAUCUGUAAAUGGAAAACAUUGAUUUUUGGGGACGUGUACUAUAAUUGCUCCUUGUAAUUGUUGGUAUGCUAUAACACUCUCCCACAAGUUGGAGCAUGAAGAUCCAUAAUGCCUAACUUUGAUUGAAAGAAGACAAAUAUUUCUCUUCCCAAUUGUUUAGUGAAAAUAUCAGAUUCUUGUUGAGAGCUUGAAACAUAGGAGGUAGUAAGAAGAUCGGAUUUGAUUUUCUCAUGAACAAGAUGGCAAUCUAAUUCAAUGUGUUUGAUUUGUUCAUGGAAAAUCGGAUUGUGAGCAAUGUGGAUGGCAUCUUGAUAGUCACAGUGAAGCAAAAUAGGUUGUGGAUGGGACACAGUGAGUUUUUAUAAUUAGAGACGAAGCCAGACAAGUUCACAAGUUGUAGUGGCCAUCGCACAAUAUUCAGCUUCAGCAGAAGAGCGAAAGACAGUAGUUUGUCUCUUAGUGCUCCAAGAGAUAGGGCUAUCACCCAAUUUGGUAAUGAAGCUAGCUAUGGAAUGUCAUGUGAGUUGAUAACUCACCCAAUCAUAGUCACAGAAGACAGAUAUCCGAGAACUACAGUUGGAUGAGAAAAAUAGACCAUAACCUAGAGUAGUUCUCAAAUAGUGGGGCAAACGGUGAGUAACAUGAAGAUGAGGCUUGCGAGGAGUGCGUAUGAACUGACUUAAAAUGUUGAUAGCAAAGGUUAUAUCCGAGCGAGAGAUGGUUAAGUAGAUCAAAUGACCAACCAAUCGUCCAUAUAAGUUAGGAUCAUCGAGAAGAUCACCAUCCUGGUCAUUAAGUUUGCAAUAUUGUUCCAUGGGAAAAUAAGACGCGCGAGAGCCAAGUUGACCAGAAUCAGAAAGAAUGUCCAAAGUAUAUUUCCUCUGAUUGAUAAAGAUGCCUUUAGGAGAUCGAGCAACUUCAAUCCCUAGGACAUAUUUGAGAUCACCAAGAUCUUUGAUUUUGAAGGUCUAUGCAAGAUGUCGUUUGAUAGAAUUAACUACAACGAUGUCAUUACUAGCAAUAAUAAUAUCAUCAACAUAGACAAGAAUGGCAGUAAAUGUUCUACCCUCGAUCUUAGUAAAAAGACUGUGAUCAGCUACAGAGUGACUAAAACCUAUAAGGAUGAGAACAUGAGAUAAUUUCAAAUACCGAUGAUGUGAGGCUUGUUUGAGGCCAUAUAAUGAUUUGCAGAGACGGCAUACUUGUGUCUCCCCCUUACGACAAUAUCCUAGUGGUGGCCUCAUGUAUACUUUCUUAUCAAGAUCACCAUGGAGGAAAGCAUUAUGAACAUCUAAUUGGUGAAUAAUCUAAUGUUUGGUUGUAGCCAUAGCAAGAAGACAACAAACAAUAACAAGUUUAGCCACAUGAGCAAAGGUGUCAUUGUAAUCCAGACCUUUUACCUGAGUGAAACCCAUGGCAACUAAACGAGCUUUAUAAUGUUCGAUGGAACCACUUGCACGAAAUUUUAUUUUAUAAACCCAUUUACAACCAAUAACUUUCUUAUCAGGAGAGAGAUGCACAAGGGUUCAUAUGUGAUUGGCUUUAAGCUUUAAGGGCUUAAAUCUUAGAAGUCAUAGCCCGUUGCCAAUUAGGCUACAAGAUUUCUUAAGAGUAAAGGAUAGGGUUCUGAACAUUUUUGGAGAUAGAAGAGAGGAAAGCAUAAUGUUUUGGACUAAAGAAAUGAUAAGAAAGAAAAUUAGGUAAAGAGUGAACUGUACCUGAGAAAGAUUGGGAAUGAGAUGAUGAACGUGGUCACUCUGGAGGUAGAUCUGAGCAAAUGUAAUCCUGAAGAUAUGUGGGGUGAGUGAUUGUGUGUCAAGGUCUAGGUGAUGGGGAUGUAACAAUGAUGGGUUCUGAUGAACUGGUAGGUUCAUCAUCAUUUGAUGGUGUUGGUAUACUUGGUUCAGUUUUUGGUGGGGAUGGUGCUUGGGGAGGUAUAGCAUGGGUGUCAUGUGUAUCAUGGGUUGAAGGUAAGGUAGUAUGAUUUAUAUCGUGAGACUGUGUGGUGUCUGGUAUGGUAUAUAUAUUAUAACAAGACAUCCGAAGGUUGCAUGGUAGUAGUAAAUAGAAAGAUAGAUUCUACAAAGCGGACAUCACGAGAUAGGAAUAUCUUCUUGGUUUGCAAGUCAUAAACACGAUAGGUAUGUGAAGUUUGAGAGUAGCCUAGGAAUACGCAUGGUGUGCUACAAGGAGAGAACUUGUCUCGUUGAACACUUAAAGUGUGUGCAUGGCAAAGACAUCCAAAGAUACGAAGAUGAUUAUCGGUAGAAGGCUUGUUGAAAAGGUCAUAAACAGUUUUUUUUUUCAUUAAGAAAGGGGGUUGGUAUGCGGUUAAUUAAAUAAGUAGCAUUAAAUAUGCAUUCGUCCCAAAAGAAAAUAGGUAAAUAUGUAUAAAAGUGAAGACAUUGAGCCACAUUUAACAAGUACAAUGCUUUCGUUUAGCUAUACCAUUUUGCAAGGGUGUUUCAACACAAGUACGUUCCUAAAUGACGCCAUGGUAGAGGAAGAAUUGUUGCAUACGAUGAAAAAGAAAUUCUUGACCAUUAUCGGAUCGAACAUGUUUGAUGGGACAAUUGAACUGUGUGUGGAUCAUGCUAAUGAAUGUGGUAAAAAAAGUAAAUGCUUCAGAUUAAAACGCAUGAAGUAGACCUAAGUAACACAUGAAAAAUCGUCGAUAAUUGUAAGAAAGUAGUGUGCAUUAUUAUAGAGGGUGUGGAAUAUCUGCCCAAAUGCCACAAUAAAUUCAGCUAAAGAUAAAAGAGCUUUUAUUUUCGAUCAAUUUAAAGGGAAGGCGUGUAUGUUUGCCUCGAAUACAACUGUCACAAUUUCUAAUUUUAUUCAAAUCACAUAGAAUUUUCGGAAUGCAAGAAUUCGAAAGAUGACCUAAACGAAAAUAAUUGUAAGAAAGUAGUGUGCAUUAUUAUAGAGGGUGUGGAAUAUCUGCCCAAAUGCCACAAUAAAUUCAGCUAAAGAUAAAAGAGCUUUUAUUUUCGACCAAUUUAAAGGGAAGGCGUGUAUGUUUGCCUCGAAUACAACUGUCACAAUUUCUAAUUUUAUUCAAAUCACAUAGAAUUUUCGGAAUGCAAGAAUUCGAAAGAUGACCUAAACGAAAAUGCCAUAGGUCUGGUAUGGAUAUAGGGUUUGCUAUGAUAUGAAGCGCAGCUUGAUUUAAUGGUUGAAAAUGGUAGAGGUCUCCACAUUUUUCACCAUCCAAAUCAGCUUCCUUGGGUAUUGGUCUUGAAAUAAACAAAUAGACAGAGAAAAUAUGAUAAUACAAUUAGACGAUUUAGUGAGUUCACUAAUGGAAAUUAAGUUGUAAUGAAAAUAGAGGACGAAAAUAAAAUUAUAAAGACAUAGUUGAUGAGAAAUAUAAAUGUGACCAAUAUGCGUGACUUGGGCAUUAGACCCUAUAGGUAAUGUAAGAGAUUUAUUAUGGGCUCAAAUUUGUGUGGCUUUGGGCAAAUUAGAAAGAGAGGAAAUAUGGGUUGAAGCCCCACUAUCAAUUAUCCAAGGGAUUGGGGCAUUGAGAGAGUUGAGUGGGGUAUACCAGAGAAGGUAAAGGCUGUGUUGGUGUUGGGUUGCAAAAGUUCCAUCAAUUGUUGGUAUUGCACUCGUCAGUCAGACUAGGGAUUACACUCGACAUUGAAACAAUUAAUGUAUUAGACACCAUGUUUACUGUGGGUGGCCCCCAAAUCGUGUGGCCGAAUUUGGAUAGGAGCUAAUGACAAAGGAUGCUUUGGCUUGUUGGUGUUCAAUGAACUAGGUAACCAGUAAUCUCGAAGCAAGAGGACACUAAAUGGCUGUCCUUUCCAUAUUUGGUGCAUUUCUUUCCACUGCGAGGUCGAGAUCCAUGAGUGAUUGGAGGGUGUAUACAUGCGACGGCCAUGGCGGUGGUUUUGGGAUUGGGUAGUAAGGAGGCGUUGGGUUUCUUCUUGGGGUAUGGUGGCAUAUGUUUUGGAGAUUGUGGGAAGAGGCUCCAUAGCUAGGAUUUAGCUUCGGAUAUUGGAGAAGAAAUCAUUGAGGCCCAUGAGAAAUUGGAACAAUCGUUCAAUGUUGAUUGUUCAUUCGACCUUUUUACGGGCAUCACAAAUGUAGGUAUUGGGUUCGGUUAAGGCAGUGAGUUCAUCCCAUAGCCCUUUGAUUGUAUUGCAAUAUGUGGCGAUGGACGUGGUGCCUUACUUGAGGUUCACCACGUCAUGAUGAAAGCGACAAAGACAAGGGUGGUUACUUUGAGAGAAAUGAUUGUCCAAGUUAAUCCAAACAUCAAAAGGCUGGGUGCAGUAAAUUAAGCUUUGUCAAAGGGUUUUGUCGAUAGAUUUCAAGAGCCAUGAGAGAACUAUAUCGCUGCAUCGGUUCUAGAGACUAGCAACUUCGGGCGUCCGAUGGUUUCUUUAGAGUACCAUCAACAAAUGCAAAUUUAUUUUUGGAAUUAAGUGCCACACGCAUCGAGCAUUUUCAAGUGGCAUAGUUUUCUCCAAUAAAAAGGUCUGGUACUAAUACGGCACUAGGAUUGUCGGUAAGGGUCAGAAGGUACGGAGACUUGAGUUCAUUGAUUAAUUUUGAGGGGGUGGAAUCAGACAUCAUGGUAGUGAGGUGAUUGUUGUUUUAAUGUUUGCGGAAGUCAAAAAGGUCUAGGAGAGAUCACAACGAAAGAAUCGGUUUGAUACCAUGAUAAGUUUGAUACGGAGAUGAAGAAAGAAGGUAAAAACUAUAAUAUUUUUCUUCAUAUGUUUUACAAUGAUUUGUGUCCACAUUUAUAGGUGAAAAUUUAAGCUUUACACAGUAAAUACAAUCUGUGAAGGAAAUAAUCCGUAAAUGGAAAACAUUGAUUUAUAGGACUUGUGCUGUGAUUGCUCCUUGUAAUUGUUGGUAUGCUAUAAUAAGCACAUUCAAUGCAUUUGUAACUAUGAUUUUUGUGACACAUCGUGCACAUUUCCUGGCUUGUUUGCUUUCGAGGUUGAAAUUGUAACAGCUAAGAAGAAACACAUAUCUAUCUAUCUAUAAUAUUUAAAAGGGUGAUUAUAUUACCACUACAAAUAUUAUUUUUUACACCACAUUAUAAUUACACUUCAAAUAAAUCUUAUUUUUGAUAAAUACACCACAUUAAUUUUACAAUUAUAGUCCUAAUCAAAGUAAAAAUUAAAAGAUCGUGGUGUACACCCCUUAUCAAUCAUUUUAUUCAUUCUUUCUCUCCCUCUCAUACCAUUCUAAUUUUGCCCCAUGGAAAAUACUUCCCUCCUCCUCUACCACCAGUAAUUCUCCCAACCCCAAUUAAUUUUGUCUAGAAAAAGGUGAAAAACUUCUCCCAUCCACCUACGAAACCCCCAUUUUCUAAUCUGUCCAAAAAUUCUCUCUCACCUGUAAGCCCUACUCUCAACCCCGUUUCUAAUUUCUGUCACACAGAUUUUACCCACCGACCCUGCUCAUCGUGAAUUAACUAUUAGAAGUACAAAAUCAUCACAAUUUAUAUGCAUUACAAGAUCAUAAUAAAAAGAACAGGUGUCGUGAGGGAAAAAUAAAUACUGCCGAUGACUUGGGACGGAUUCAAGAUUUGAUUCUUUUUAGCAUAACAUGCUUGAAACAUAAACAUCACUAAAAGAAGUAUUUAUAUGAACUACAUUCUUUAGCUCAGGAAAUUCCCGAGCAAGGUGACACAGCACUUGACAUUUGAAGUAUUUCAGCUUGCUAUUAUGUUUCUUCUUUCCAAACCAUUUACCCCCCUUUUUUUUUAAGGUCCCUGACCAGUUUUUUUCCUUUCCUUUCCUACCUUUGAAACAGUUCUUCUUACGCUUAAGCCUGAAGUUUUUCCAAAACUAGAUUCAGCCACAAAAGCUUGUCCCAGAGAUUUAGCUGCAACAAGGCGCUCAUCCUCUAGUUCCACAUGGCAGGUAGCAUCAGCAAAAGUUUUUAAUGUUAUCAUUGUGAGUUGGAUUGACUUUCAGAUGUUCCCAGUUAUUAUGAAUGGGAUGGAUCAAAACCUAAACUUGUUGUUCAUUAGAGAGUGUGUGACCAGUUGACUUUCGCUCCCUAAUCAUAGUAGACAUAGUCCCACAUGCUAUGUGAUGUUGUGAAUAAGAUGUUUCUUGUUAAUUGUCAACUACCUCAGUCUAGUCACACUAGUACCACUAUAUUUCUCUCUCAAAUAUGUCCAGAUGUCAUGAGCAGUCGGGAACUGCUCACACUAGUAAAUGAGAUUGUCCGCCACAGAACUUACGAGAAUUACACAAAUAAUGGAAUCUUUCUUUUUCCAUGUAUUGUAAGUUUCCUGAUCCCUUCUCUGUUGAGUAGUUUGACCUACCCUUGGGUCUUUCAUCACGUGGUUAACGUCCCUCAAGGCAAUCUUGUUCCUCUAACGCAUACCAAAUUUUAUAGCGCCAAAUGUUAUAGUUAUCGCCAUUCAAUUUGUCACCCUUAUUAAGGUUAACUAUGAUAUUCUUAAAUGCCAUGAUCUUUCAAAAUUUUAGAAAAUAAUUAUAUAAAUAUCCAUUUGUGCACACAUCAUUUUGCGCUCAUGUAAAUUAAGUUUUAUGAUAAUUUCACACUAGACACGGAGUUGAAAGUUCAUUAAGUUCCCAAUCAUCGUCCAUUAUCCUAAUGUUUACAUUAUCAAAAAAUUAAUUUAAUAGUGCAAAAUCAUAGGUUCUAGGUUAGAAUUACUUAAACUCUUUUAACCUUAGAACUCCCACUAAAUUAAAACAUUAAUCAUGUACAAAAUAAGCAAAACAUUUUGGCUAUAUGAGAUAAAUAUAAUACAUAUAUAUAAAUCUCGAAAUGUCAAAUGUACAUGCAAUCAUAUUUAGCUUCUUUAAACAACUAUUAAACAUGAAAAAAAUAAAAUUUUACAUAGAUAUUGUUUGACAAUUUGAACUAACCACACUUAUCUAAAUUAAUUAUAAAAUUCUCAUUUUUUGAAUUCCAUUUCUUGAUUGAGAUCUUGAUCAAAUAAUUGUAGCGUAAAGGUGGCGAAUUAUCCAAAAUUUCAAUAGCAACAUCAUGCCAAUGUUUAGGAAAGCGUCCUCAUAUGACAAUACAUAAUUUCCACCUCGCAUAUAGGCUGUCCUAAAUGUAUCACUUCUUGACACAUUGCUUUGAGAUAUUUUAUGUAUUCAUAGCCCUUGCUCUACUAGCUUCUUCUCUAAGAAUGCAAAAAGUGCACAUUAAUCCAGCUAUAUCUUAUCAAACACAAGAAUUGAGAACUAGUCACAAUAGAUUGCACAACCUAAUCAAGACCCAUACAACUCAUGAACGUAUGUAAAACUUGAUAUUUUGAAUACUUUCGGAGUAUUUUUAUUUUAAAAAAAAUGAGAGCACUAAAAAAAAAAAAUAAUAAAUAAAUAACUCCCAAUAGGAGAAUACCACUUAACAAAUAUUCUUGAUUUUUAUAAAAGAAUUUUUUUUAAUCAAGUCCCAAAAUAUUUAAAAUAUUUAUAAAUUUAAUUCAAUAAAAUAAAAAUUAUUUUUAAUUAUCUGAAAAUUAUUUUUAAUUUCAUAUAAAAAUAAAGAAUAUUUUAGGGACCUUGCUGCAAUUUUCCAAAAUGGAUUUGGAAUUCACGUGCCACAAUAGGUUUCUGUUUCCUUUUAUCAUUUUUUUAAAUAUUAAAACAAAACUAGGGAGCAUUAGUGUCUCUGCACAGCGGUGGCGCGUGGUGCAAUUCGAUCGCCGAACAAGUUUUUUCGUUUCGUCUUUUCAAUUAAUUUUGACAUUCUGAAUUCAUCUGUGUGGUCAGAUUUCACAAUCUCAUUCUUUAAGGCUGUGUUUGGAAUACAGACAGACCUGGCCAAGACUGAAAUUUAAAAAAAAAAUGUUACUGUUCAUCAUCUCCACAAAAUCGACUGUUUUUAAGAUUUUUCUUAAAAUUUUGGAAGGCUGUAAUUUUUUCAAUUUAAGGCCAAAAUGUAUGUACUUUAUUGUGUGGAAGGUCUCAAGAAGAUCUAUCCAACUAUAUAAAAUAGACAGUGUGAAGCAUAACGUUCAAGAAGUUAUCACUCGAUCAAGUUUCAAUUUUCUCAACUAGGGCCCUAUUUUAAUCCCAGAAUAUUGAGCCAAAUCAUAUGAAAUUUUGUAGACAUGUUGUACAGAAUAUCAUGAGCAUAUAGUAUAAGUCUCAUGAAUGUAUAUGGAAUACAUGAAAAGUAGCCAUUAACAACAUUCAAGCUUUGAAAGAAAACAAGAAUGCAUGUAUUUCAAUCAUGCUAAAACAUUUUCAACAUGUAUUUAAACAAGAAAACAAUUUACUUAGGCUCUAAUGCCAAUGUAAAAAUGUGCUUGCAUGCUUUUAACCGAAUUUAAGUUCUAAAACUUAUUUGAAAGUCCCAAAAUGAGGUUGAAUUACUUGCCUAUUGAUUGCUUGCCUUCAACAUUGUCUAGUAUCCACUUCUUGAUCUAAAACUCGAUCACGCAGGAAGAAGUUUGUUGUUCACAAUCCAAGAAUCCAAUUUGAUUCCCAAAAAUCAAGCCUCCACCGACAUCUAUUUUUUCACUCUUUAAAGGAAUCCAAAUUUUUGCAUGUGUGUUGGUUUUGGAAGUUAUUGACUGAGGGAGGUAAACUUUCAAAUUUAAUUUUCGACACCUCUCUUCAAAAUUCAUUUCCAUACAAAUUAGGUUGGGUCAACUCACAUGGGCGAUCCAUUUUCUUCCAACAAGUAGAAACCCAAGCAACAGAGUUUUCCAUAGCCGAAGUUGUGGUGUUGAGUCAGGUCACAACGGCUUAGCCACUUUAGAUUCAUCAGAGAACCAUCAUUUCUCCAACCACACUAAACCAUAAGUCCAGAUCACGCAUUUGUUCAUUUUUUCAGUCCAAGUCAUUUGUUUUGUUUCCUCACUUUCCCCCCAAACCCAAAAUUGUGCUUUAAUUAACGGUGGUCAAUUAUUCUCUUUGUUCAUUUAUCACCACAGGAUUAUGAUGCUCUUUUUAGCUAACAAAACUAGGCACAGAUCAAGAUCAGUUACACUAUUUUCACCCUUUUCUUUAACGGGAAUGUUUGAUCUCUUCUUUGUAUAAUCAAGUACUCUUUUUGUGCUAGAUUUUGAUUGCCGACUAGAGAAUCGUGUUACAUAAAUUAGAAUACCGGUAAAAAGUGACGGAGGAUCUAAGGAACAUUGCAGCAUACAGUACUCGGAAGACAAUGUCGGGUCAUAUGACAGUGAAAUGGUCAUCAUCAAAAGCUUCUACUUCAUUUUCAACUGAUCAAUGGAGCCAUAAUCGAGAUCAUUUCAUGAAUGAAUUCAAUGUUCUUGUGCCUAUAGGCUGAAAAGUCUGUUUAAUGUACUACAUGGUACCAAAUAUGAUUCAGGAUCGCCACUUAAUUUAGUGUACAUGUUGUAAUUAUAGGUAAAAUCCAAACUUAGAACAAUUACAUUCCUGUCUUUGACCAUCUUCAUGUUGAUGAUUACUUUGUAGACUUAAUGUUCUCUGCAUUUUGAUACCUUGAUUUUUAUUCUCAGAGUUGUGAAACCAAGUCAAUUUUUUGAAAUUCAUUCUUAAAUAUUUUAUGGUAUUUCCAUCUUCUAUUUGUCUUCCAGAAAAUUAUACUACAUUUCACUAUAUUAAACAGUCACUAGUAACAUAGUUGAGAUUUUCAUUCAAGAACGAAUUGCUUGACAUGAUGAACUCGUGUCUAACAGACGCUGCCUGUACAAGCAAUGCACACACAUGCUUCACUUACUGGGCACACGUGGUGAACAUAUUUGAAAAAAAAAAAUUAUAAUUUUCUCUCCAAAACUGAAUUUUUUUACGAUAAAUUUCACGGUGGUCCUGCAAAAUUUCCAAUUUGUAAAAAUAUUGUUUCCAUUCCAUUUUUACCUCCUCCCCCCUAAACCUUUCAUUAAGGAAAAUGGCACUUUCCAUUCCAAAAAAUGUAAGUGUGUGUUUAAUUGUCAAUAUUUUUCUUGAAAAAUGUCAUUUUUCAUCCAAAUUCCUACUUUUGUGCUAUCUGAUUGAUUGAUUUUAUUUUCUUUUUUUUCAUGGAAAUUUGUUUCCUAUUUUUUUUCACCUGACCAUAUUUUCUUUGAAAACAAGUAUAUUAUUUUCUUUAAGGCAAGUAAGUUUUUAUUUUCCAGGUAAUUCACUUUCUUUCUUUCUCAUCUACUCAUUCUCUCUCUCAUCUACCUACCAAUAAAAAAUGUACAAAUAUAACAUUUUCUAAGUUGAAAAUAAAAUCAAUCAAACGCAUUUAAUUGACAAUUUUCACACAAAUAAUUUCUAGAAUUCAUUUUCUUUCCAUGUAAAUUACAUAUUUGCAAUCAAACGCACCCAUAUGUUAUUUCCACCAUUCUACAAUAUAUUUUAUGCUUAUCACUUUCAUUCACGAAUUGUACUCAUGGGCGAAAAUUCGAUAUCCGAGCUGAAAGUUAUGCUUAUUUUAAUCCAUGCUGCUCGCUUUCCAUUUCUUUUCCAAAACAUUGAAUCCAGCGCACCAAACAUGAUUUCACCUUCAAGACCAAGAUAUAAAUUGUUAUUUGGCUUGUUAACUUCAAUAUUUUGUACUCCAUAGUUCGAUGAAGUAAUUGAACGACUUUAUUGGCUCUUAGAGGUCUCGAACUUAGCUUGAUUCUUGGUCUUAGCUCCUUAUCAACAUGCGCCGAGUCCUUAAGCUUCUUAAUAAUUUUUCACCCCUCUCCUUGGAUCACAUCAUUCCCUCUUUCUGCAAAAAGAUUCGACCUCGAAUCCAAACCCAAGUUAUAGCGCUUGUUUCCAAUCAAUGCAUAACAUGAAAUGGUCCAUCUCCUCUAGGAUGCAAUUUUGACCACUUUUGAAUUCGAAUCUGGUUCCUGUGUAUCUAAACUCAAUCACCUUCACAAUGAUCAAAGUGCGUAUGUUUCAAUGUCUUCCUCUUGCAAGUAUGUGAUGCUCUAAGAAUAAUUUCAAUUGAUAAAUCACCAUGCACUCUCCUUCCUUUGCUUGGCCUAGGCAAUUGUAGCAGUGUCGCUUUAAAUGGAUGCAUGUUUGCCUACAUAUCACCUUGGUAUUUCAAUCCACUGCAUUUGAAUUCAUUCCACGAUCUUUGAAACUCCUUUACCUCCUUGGGAAUUACAAAGUUAACCUCCGAUAAAUAAGAUAUUUCCAAGCUAAGAUGAGGUUGUUGAUUAGUUCCAACAGGAUUGAUUUCCAAAUCGAUGCUCAAUUCUUGGGUUAGGUGGUAUUCCAACAUGAUUGGUUUCUAGAAUUGAGUCUUCAUUAACAUACAAAACAGAAAUAGCUAAACUAGGGAGGGAAUUGUUAGUUAUCACCAAAGCCUUUUCAACUUCUCGUUCCGUUUCACAUAGGCUCACCUCCAACUCCUCCUUUCUCUCCAAAUACUCUUAUUCAUUUUCCUCUUGUAGCACCAUUUCUAUUUUAACCACUUCUCCCUUUUCAAGUUCACUCUUGACUACCCUUUCACUCUUUUUCAGCUCUUCUCCUUUUUUUCUCACAAUCAACCACCUCAUUAUUAUUUCUCAUUGUCCUCUCAUUCUCACCUUUUACUUUGAGUUGAUCUUCAUACAUUUGUUGCGGUGUCAACGACAUAAGAACAAUAUGUGACCUAAUGAUUGACUUCUCAUUUUGAUUAUCACAAACAAAUUGCGUUUAAUUCUAACAAAUUGACUUUAAGUGUUGAUAGUGUUUAUCGUGAAAUUAACAAACAAUGAAGACACAAGAAUCGAGAACAAAAAUCACACAUAUGGACGAAUGUUUGGAGCCUAACGACCAACAUAUAGGCAAGAUUGAAAGUUGACGAAUGUGGAAAUAGAAAUCGAGCCUUCACAUAAAAAAUUGUACUGGAAGAAGAGAUAGAAGACUUUAGCUAUAGAUGCGUUUUUUAACUUAAAUGUAAAGGUAAAACACUUUAAUAUUUUAUAUCGAUUAUAGUUCAAAAAAUUUUUAUGCACGAGACACUUUUACGACAAAUAAUACUUGCAUAAAAAUUACCUUCAAAAGACAAGUAUCUCGAUUUUCAAGAUUAAAUAUUUACAAAAUACUUAUCUAUAAAAUAUAAAUAAGAAAAUCCUUCAAGUACCUACAUGAAAAUUUCAUCACAAAGGAGAAAGUUCAUAGGGCCAUAACACUUUUGGACAUCUGAAUGGACCUCCAACUGUCAUUUUAUUGACCGUUUUUCAAACAGCUAGUUACCCGUCUAGAUCCCAAGUGGACGUUGGGAUCUAGUGUCUGAAUUGUCAGAUUUUUAACCAUUUGAAAGCUAUAGGGUAUCUUUCUACCUCAUUUAAAAACACAAUUUUUGAGCAUUAAAUUGAAGCAUUUAUUGAUCUUUUCUACUUUAGUUUUCAAUUCUUAAAAGAUCAAAUCAUUUAAUUUUUGAAAAACUUUUUGAGUGAUCAACAACUUGCGAAAAUCAUUUAUAUCAAUUAAAGUUUUUCAACCAACACUUGAGCUAUUUUUUUGCAAUCUAUUAAAUUGUUGUACCUACUUCUUUCUUGAUACAUAAUUGAGUUUAUAUAAUUUAUUAAGAGAGAAGCUUCACUUGUAACUUUUCAUUUUCUUGUUUUUUGAUUGUGGGUCGUGUUGAGGUCUCAGAAAGCUCAACAUUGUAAAACAAUCGGUGCUCCUUGAUUGUAAGUCACCGAAAGCAUUGUAAAGGUUCUACCAUAAGUCAAUCAACAAUAGUGGAAAAGGCAUUGCUCGUGGCUGAGAGCUUAGUAACGAGGGAUGUAGAUCGUUGAUUGAAUCAAACCUUUAUAACAUAUCAUUUGUGCCUUCUUUUCCAUUUCUCUUGUUAUUUUUGUGUUAUCUUACUUGCUUAUUAUCUUAUUAGAUAAUUAAGUUAAAAUUUGCACUUAUUCUAGAAAAUAUUUUAGAUAACCAAUUCACCCACCUCUUGGUUAGCCAUUGUUGGGCUUUCAAUUGGUAUCAAAGCAAGGUACUCACUUUCAAAAGAUUUUACAAUCUUGAGUAAUGGCUAGCCAAGUAUUUCAAACUCUCGAGGGACACUCCAUGAACCGACCCCCUUUCUUUGACGGCACACACUAUAAUUAUUGGAAGGCCAGGAUGAUGAUAUAUGUGCAAUCUAUUGAUUAUAACUUCUUGGAAGUUAUUGAAUAUGGUCCAUAUGGUCCUACCAAGACUAUUAAAAUAGAUGGUAGACCAAACCAAACUUUACCUAAAUCUAGGGAAGAGUAUAAUGGAGAAGAUAAGAGAAAAUUAUCUUUAAAUGCCAAGGCUAAAUAUUUACUUUAUUGUGCACUAGUUAGAAAUGAAUUUAAUCGAAUAAGCAAAUGUGAAUCAGCAUAUGAUAUUUGGCAUGCACUUGAAGUUACUCAUGUUGGCACAAGUAAAGUUAAGGAAAAAAAAAUUUGUUAAUUAAAGAAUUUGAAAAUUUCUUCAUGAAACAAAAUGAGCCUAUUGUUGACAUCAAAAAAUAAAAAUAAAAAAUAAAUGAAAUAAAAUGGAUUGGUUCGAUUUAAAUCAUUAGCCCAAUUAAACUUUAAGUCUACUAAAGUUCAUAAAAUCCAAAUGCCCACAUAACAUUUUAAAAUGAACAAACAAAUAAAUAAACAAGUAAACAAAAUCAUAAUUACUCAAUUAUUCAUUUUAAUUAAAUAUAAUUGAGUAAUUACCAAAAUUAGCACGAAUUUCUCCCCCAUAAAUAGGACCAAAUGGUCCAUAAGAUAGGGGUAGAAGAAGAAAAAGGUGAAAGCUGAAGCAAGAAAGAAAGCAGAGAACGCAAUCACAAAGUGUUGAAGAAAUUUCAAGGCCGGAGGGAGGGAAGGAAUCCUCUCAAACCUAAACUCGGUGAACUCCAAGAAGAUCAAAAUCUCCUUUGAAUCAAGCAGGUUCAUGCCAAGUCCAAGAAGAUCAAAGUCUUCUUCAAAUCAAAUCAAAUUCAAGUUCAAGUUUAAGCCCCGAAAUUCAAGUAUCGAAUAAGUGAAGUCUUAAAAAUCAAAAUUUCAAUAAAUUCUCGAAGAUCAGGAUUCAAGCCAUGUGGCCCCUCAUCUUCAAAUAUUCAGAUAAUUAAUUAGAAGAUUUUUGCAAUUUUACAAUUACAAGAAGUUUAACAUUACUUGUAUUUUAUCAAAAUACAAUUUUUAAUUAUUUCUGUAUUUUAAUACACGAAAUUUCGUCUUCAGUGAUUAUACUUUUCAUCGAUAUUGUAAAUGAUCUUAAAGGUUUUGAUCGAAAAUUUACUAAUGACGAACUUGUUAGAAAAAUGCUCAGGUCCUCGUCCGAGGAAUGGAGCCCGUUGAGGAUAUUGAUCGAGAAUACCAAGGAUAUAAAUACAUAUCCCUUAAAGAAGCUCUACGGCACAUUAAUGACCUACGAGCUAAAGAAUGCCGAAGUUAAGGAGAAGACAAGAAAAAGCAAUGAGGAAUCAAAGGAGCCUCCCAAAUGACAAAUUGCCUUAAAAUUGAAAAUUGAAGAAUUUGCCCCAAAGGAAAACAUGAGCAGUAAAGAGCUCGAUGACUUGGUUCUUCUUGUUAAGAAAUGGAGAGGUCUUUGCAAUAAUCAAAGAUUUCAAAAGAAUGAGGAAAAUAGUGAAGAAAGAAGCAAAAAGAUUAUUUGCUAUGAUUGUGAUAAGUCCGGACACAAGAGAACUGAGUGCCCUAAGAAAAAGAAUAAUUUCAAGAAAAAGGUACUCUAAGCCACAGGGAUGAUAGCAACGAUGAAGAACAAAAUGGGAAUGUGUUCGUUAAAGCUUCAAACACUAUAUGUCGUUUUUGUAACAAAAAUGGACAUAUGGCCUUUAAUUGUGUAGCUAAAAAGAAGCUAUUUUUUUUUUUAAACAAGCAUAAGUGGAUUCAAGAGUCCACUAAAGCUAACAAUCAAGGACCCAAGUUUGUGUGAGUUCCAAAAAUCAAAUCUUGAUUUUUUUUGUAGGAACCGAAGAAAACUAAAAGCAAAUGGUUCUUGGAUAGUGGUUGUUCAAAGUACAUGACCGAAGAUCGAUCCUUGCUAUCAAACUUCAAAGAGAAGAUUGGAGGACAUAUAACCUUUGAAGACAACACCGAUGAUAAAAUUAUUGGUAUUGGAAACAUUGGUAACACACAUCCCCCUCUAUUGAAAAUGUUUUACUAAUUGAUAACCUUAAAUAUAAUUUACUAAGUAUUAGUCAAUUAUGUGAUAAAGGUUAUAACAUAAAAUUCAAUUCGUCAAAAUACCUUAUUAAGGAUGCUAAAUCAAAAGAAGAAAUUUUCAUAGGAAGCUGAAGUAAAGAUGUUUAUAUCAUUAAAAAUAGAAUUUGAAGAUAAUGAAAAUUGUUUGCUUAGCGUGAAAAGAAUCAUGGCUAUGGCAUAGAAGAUUAGGCUAUGUUAAUAUGGAUCUUCUUUCAAAAAUUUCCAAAAAAUUGUGUUGUAAAAGGAUUAUCGAAUUUGAAAUUUGAAAAUGAUAAAAUUUUUGAUGCAUUUCAAUUUGGAAAACAAGUGAAAAUUUCUUUCAAGUGAAAACUUUAUGCUUCAACUACAAAAUCAUUACAACUUAUCCACAUGGAUCUUUUUGGACCUUCUAGGAUGACUAGCUUAGGAGGUAAAUAUUAUACCUUUGUUAUAGUAGACGAUUUUUCAAGAUUUACUUGGGUUAUAUUUUUAAGUUUGAAAGAAAAAGCCUUAAAAGCUUUUAAACACUUUUGUAAGAAAGUUGAAAAUGAAAAAUGUUAUUAAAUUACAACCAUUAAAAGUGACCAUGGUGGAGAAUUUGAUAAUGUUAGUUUUGAUGAUUUUUGUAAUGAACACGGAUAUGAACAUAAUAUUCGACUCCUAGAACUUCUCAAGGAAAUUGUGUAUUAGAAAUGAAGAAUCGUACAUUGUAAGAAAUGGGUCAGACCAUGCUAAAUGGAAAUAAUCUAUCAAAAUAUUUUUGGGUCGAGGCCGUUAACACCGCUUGCUACAUUGUCAAUAGAGUUCUCGUAAACAAAAAGAAAACUAAAGCUCCUUAUGAACUUUGGAAAAAUAGAAUUUUGAACAUUAACUAUUUCAAAGGUUUUGGAUGUAAAUGUUUUAUUUUGAAUACAAAAGACAUUUCGGGAAAAUUUGCUUCAAAAUCCGAUGUGGGAAUUUUCCUAGGAUAUUCAUUGACUAGCAAAGCAUAUAAAGUCCAUGCAUAUUACUUGUAAUGACGAUGUAGGCUUGGAAGCUCCAUUUGAACAAAUGAAGAUUCAAGAUCAAAGCAAGGAGGCUCCAAAUGAAGAAGAAAAAGAGGAAUCAAAUAAAGAAAAACAAGUCGAAGCACAAAGAGAUCGUUUGCUCCAUCUCAUCCCAAAGAACUUAUCAUAGGUGACCCAUCGAAAGGUAUCACUACUAGAACCUCUUAUAAAAAUUAUCUCAGUAGUUGUACAUUUAUUUCUCAAAUCGAAUCUAAAAAUUUCAAAGAAGCCGAGUUCGAUGAAUUUUAGAUUCUAGCAAUGCAAGAAGAAUUAAAUCAAUUUGAAAGAAAUCAUGUUUAGGACUUAGUUGCUAGACCAAACCAUCAAACUAUUAUUGGUACUAAAUGGGUUUUUGGAAACAAAAGAGAUGAAAAUAGAAUAAUUUUGCGUAACACACUAGAUUAGUCGUCCAAGAUUACAAUCAAGAAAAAGGUAUUGACUUUGAAGAAACAAAUGGAGCUUAAUUGCUAGACCAAACCAUUCACAUGCUUCUUGCAUUUGGAUAUAUUUUCUGCUCGUUUUUCCAUAUAUCUUCCAAAACAUUGAAUCCAAUGCACCAAACAUGAUUCCACCUUCAAGACCAAGAUAUAAGUUGUUAUUUGGCUUGUUAACUUCAACAUUUUGUACUCCAUAGCUCGAUCAAGUCAUUAGAAGACUUUAUUGGCUCUUCUAGGUCUCGAACUUAGCUUGAUUCUUGGUUCCUUAUCAACAUGCGCAGAGUCCUUAAGCUUCUUAAUAAUUUUUGACCCCCUCCCCUCGGGAUCACAUCACGACAUGAAAAUGAGGAUGGAGCAACACAAUUCAGGAACUCAUUCCAUUUAAUGAAAUAUGAAAACUAAAAAUAAAAAUAAAAUAAAAUGGAGCAUUGUGAUGACUUUGUUGACUUAAUAAAAGUAAGUUUACUUUUAUAUUCAUAUAAGGUGCUAUACAAUCUUGGAGUUAUUGCACAACUCUCUUUGGCCAUCUUCAUCUUGGUGAUUGCUUUCCUUUUCAUUUGGAUAACUUGAUUUUUCAUUCUCAUAGUAAUGAAAACAUAUUAAUUUUUUAAGUUCAUUUGUAACUAUUUUAAGGUUAAUAAAUCAUUCACGAUUAUAUACAUAUCCUCAUUCUAUUUAUCCACUAGAAGAUAAUAAUUCUUUUCAUUAUACUAAACGUUCAUUCGAAAUAUAAUUAUGAUUAUCCCAAGAAUAUGCUUCACUCAUGAUGCACACACGCUUCAAAAAUGUGAAAUUUUUUCAUUCUAAGAUUUUGCCUCCAAAUUUUAUUUAUUUAUUUAUUUUUUGCAGGAAAAAUUUUACUAUGGGUCCCCAACAUUUGGAAUUUGUAACAAUUCCGGCUCUAUUCAAUUUUUAUCCCAUUCCGUCCCCAACCUUUCAUUAAGGGAAAUGUCACUUUCUAUCACCAACAUUUGCGUUAUGUUACUAGUAGAUCCUCAACUUUUUCGGCACCAGAUCUAGCAUUUUUUUAUUUUUACUUUUGCUAAAAGUUCACCUUUAUUCAGGGCUUGUUUGUGCGCCUUUAAUUUCAAAAAGUGUAUUAUGGAAUAGUGAUUGAUGUUGAAAUGUGUGGUCAAAAAAGAAGGAAAAGUUUUUAAUUUAUCUAUAAUAUUAUUUUAAUGAAGAAUGUGUAGUUGAAAAUGAGUAUUGUAGAAAAAAUAAUGUAGUAGAAUGGUUGACAAACAAAUGCUUAAUUGUGGUUAAUUAUUAUCUCUAUGCUCAUUUAUCUGCACUGUGUUUUGAUGCCUUUUUUAUCCAAUAAAUACAUGCUCGGAUAAAGAUCAAUUGUAUUAUUUUUGCCCUUUUCUUGAAAAGUAAUCUUUAAUCUCUUCUCCAUAUAAUCAAGAAUUCUUCUGUGUGCAAGAUUUCGAUUGCAAACUCGUGAAUCUAUUACAAGAAUUGGAAGGUAGAUAGAAAAGUGAAGGAAGAUCCAAGGAACAUUAUAGCAUACAAAGACAUUUGGUGGAUUGUAUGACCAUGAAAGUGAUAUCAUGAGAAUCUUCAACUUAGCAAGGUAGUUUCAAGGCCGGUCCUGUGAUUGUCGCGGCUAGAGGUGAAGUCCAUAAAUUAGGCCUUCGAUGAAAUCAACGUAAAUACAAAAUUCUAUGGCAUAUUAUGCAACCUAUUGCUAACGUAAAAUAUACGGCCACAUGUUAACCAAUGUCCAAUAACCAAUUAAACAUGUAUUGCACAAGCUGAUAAGCCAAACUUAUGGUGGAAAUAAGUAAGUAACAAUCAGUAGCAGUUUGCAUGAGACCAACUUGGUAAAAUGACCCUAAAAUUUUCAACGUAAGUGCAUCUCGACUGCAUGAAUAAGUUAAACUGUUAAGCUUAGAUUAUUUGUUUCUAAAUAAAUAUUAUAAGGCUAGUGAAUAGAAGGCAGAAACUUCAAUGGAUUUUUCUAAUUUUAAUGUUUAAGAUAGAUGUUUAUCAAUACUACAAACUGUUGCGAGUUCAUAAUUUCUGUUUUUAUUUUUUGCCCAUUUGAGAAUCUCUAUUUCAUCUAAUUCCCCAAGCAACCACAUUUCCAGAAAACUGCUUUCCACAACAUAUUAGAAUUGCAAACUUCUCUCUGUUCACUAAUAUUUUAAUCUUUUCGUUCUUAGCAACGCUUUCAUAGAAAAUAAACUGGAAUGAGGAAUCUAAAAUUUAAAACUAACACUGAUUUUGAUUCUCCUUUACUCCAUUCAAUUUUUCUUUCAGGAACCAGAAAAAUAACUACAUCUUCGCAAAGUAAGAGGGCAAACUCAACUGCUCACCUUCUUCUCAAGGAACCAUCGCCUGUGCCUGUGAUUGAAGAGUCACGAGAAGUCGAGCAGGCCCUAGGAAAAAUGGGAUUCUGGAUUUGGAAUUUCAGAUUUGGGAAAUUUUAUUUUGGGUAAAUGGAUAUUAUGGAUUGUGUGAUAUAUAAGUUAGGUUGGGAAAAUGUUGAUUGUUGCUCUUGGGUCAUUGGCAAUUGGGUCUGGACAUGAGGCCUUUUUUAAUAAAAAAAAUACUUUGGCCAAAAAUAGGCCCCCUUGGUUCUUGGGCAUGAGGCGCAUGCCUCAUUAGCCUCGCCUCAGGACCGAGCCUGGGUAGUUUCAUGGAUGACUUCCACGUACUUGUGGCUACAAGAUGCAAAGGGUCUUUAAUUUACUUCAUGGAGCCAAACACACUCAGGAUUGCUAUUUAAUUUAGCACAAAUAUUGUAAUUGUAGGUAAAACCCGGACUUAGAGGAAAAUAUGUACUCGUGCAUCUCUUUGGGAAGGAUAGACCUAACAUAAUACAAGCUGAAUCAAUACUGGCCAUACAUUCUGUCUAUUGUUCUUUAAAAUCUCCUCAUAUCUUGAAAUUCAAAUUAUUUACUUACAAGUUCUAUUGAAUCACGACAUCAUUAUUGAAGCUUAUAUAGAGUGUCCCUAUGCCAGAAUCAAUCAAGAUACAAAUAGGCACUUUAUAUAUUAAAUAUUCAUGUGGGUACAUGUGAAACUUAAAGUAUUAUCUUCCAUGCACUUGGUGUGUGAGAAAAUUGCACAAAGUCCAUCAACAUGUUGGCAGAAGACAAGCAUGGCCAAUUUCCAAUACAUGGUGGUUUUGUUAAAAGUUCUAGAGUAAUUUGUAAUCUUCAUCUAGACCAAUUCAAAAUUGGAAACUUCAAUAACAAAAGAAGAUUCAAAGAGUUCAAAUCCAAAUUGAAUACUUCAACCAAGAAAGGCUUUAUUCAUUGAGUGGUCAAAUGAUAAGAUUUUCAAUUCAAGUUGUAUACUCAACUUAUGCAAGCUGGAAAUUAACAAAGACAGCAGCCAUGAAAUGUUAUGGAAUCUGAAAAUAAACAUUGUAAUUGUAGGGAAUUAGUAAGACUAGUUUACUCAAUGUUUUCUAUAAAUAGGGAGGUAUCCAUCAAGUGUUAUGUUUGUGGAAAAGUGAGAAAAAUCUCUUUAAAAAAUUAGAAAGAGUGUACUGUAGUAACUCCUUUGUAAUUCCUCAAAUUUCACAAGAAAAUUUUCAUAUUUCUUUUACCUAUUUCCUUCUACACCUAACAAAUUUUGGUAUUAGAGCUUAGGCAAAAUACAUAAACCAAAUCCUAUCAAAAGUUGAAACAAAAUCAGCCUCAAAACCACCAUAGUAGCAACAAAUUUUUAAUAGAAACUAGGCAGUUGUGGCAACAAAUUUAACAGCCUCCUUGUUCACUUAGUCACCAAGCCAAGUACCAAUCUUUGAAGGUAAGCACUAUAAAUAUUGGAGUAGUCAAAUACGAACUUUCUUCAUCUCUUUAGAUUUAUGGGAUGUCAUUGAAGAUGAUGAGGUGAUAGAAGAUUUGACCGAAGGAGAUGGAGAAUAUCCAAAGUUACAAAAGGAAUAUAAAAGGAAAGAUGCAAUGGCGUUGUGAUAUAUUCAACAAGGAGUUGGAAAAUUAAUUUUUCCUCGUAUAUUUGGUGUUAAAAAAGUUAAAGAUGUAUGGAAAAUUUUAAAUCAAGAAUUUCAAGUUUCAGAGAAAACUAUGGCCUUGAAACUUCAAUCUUUAUGGAAAGAUUUUGACAAUCUCAAAAUGGAAGCACAAGAGUCGGUUCGUGAUUUCUCUUCACAAGUUUCGGAGAUUUUAAACCAAAUCAAAAGUUGUGGAGAUACAAUUAAAGGCAAAAUAAUUAUUGAGAAAGUGUUUCGAUAUCUCCCUUCAAAAUUUGACCAUGUAGUAGUUGCAAUUGAAGAAUCAAAGAAUUUGUCUAAGAUGAACAUGUACGAGUUGACCGGAUCACUUCUUGUACAUGAGCAAAGAAUAAAUCGUUCGGCUAGUCAACCAACCGAACAAGCUUUCCAAUCAAAGCAAGUAUUAAAAAUAAGUUCAAGCAAUCAUGGAGGUUCAAAAAACAAGAAGGGAAAGUUAAGCAAGUAGAGUCAAAAUGAAAAGCAAAGCAAUUGGAAAGCCAAUGCUCAAUCUUGCAUUAUUUGCAAAAAGAACAAUCAUGAACCAAAAGAUUGCUAUUUUACAUGCAAAAGAUGCAAAGUUCCUAAUCAUUCUCAAAAGGAUUUUUGGUUUCAAAAUAAGGAGAAAAAUGAAGAUACGGCAAAAUUUUUAAAAGAAAAUGAAGGUGAAAUUCUAUUUUAUUCUCAUCAAAAUAUUGACUUUGAAUCCAAGAAUCAAUGGUAUUUGGAUAGUGGUGUUAGCAAUCACAUGAUAGGAAAUAAAAAUAUCUUUGUAGAGAUUAAUCCAAAUAUGACCUCUCAAAUUAUUUUUGGAGAUAGAAUACAAAGAAGCGCAGAAGGAUAAGGCAUCAUUGCAGUCCAAAAAAAAGGAGGUAACAGAGAACUGAUUAUUGAUGUUCUUUAUAUGCCAAAUCUUUCAUAUAAUCUCUUAAGUAUUGGGCAACUCUUACAAAAGAAUUUUUCAGUACACUUUGAUGAUGAAAGAUGCAAGAUCUUUAAUAAAAAGAAAAAUGUCACAGAGGCAAAUGUUGAAAUGAAAAACAAAACCUUUUGUUUCAUGUUACCACUGACAACAAUUAUGCACUUAAAGUUGAAAAUACAGAUUUCUCACAUCUAUGUCAUUUACGAUAUGGUCAUUUAAAUGGCAAAGGUCUUCAUUGCUUAAGGAGAAAAUUAUGGUGAUUAGGCUUCCUAAAAUUCAAAUGACAGACAAAGCGUGUGAAGGCUGUGUAUACGGGAAAAUGCAUAAGCUUCCAUUUCCUAAAACUUCAUGGCAAGCAAAAAUGCCAUUGGAGCUUGUCUAUUCAGAUAUUUGUGGACCAAUGCAAACUUCCAUUCUUGGGAGCAAGAGAUAUUCAUUCUCGUAGUUGAUGAUUACACAAGGAUGAUGUGGAUUUUCUUUCUCAAUCAAAAAUCUCAAGCAUUCUCUACUUUUCUUCAGUUUACAGCACUUGCAGAAAGACAAAGUGGAUUUCUAAUAAAGACGUUGAUGACUGAUCAUGGAGGAGAAUUUCUUACAAUCCCUUCAUUGAAUAUUGCAAAGAUACUGGCAUUCAAAGGUAGUUGACAGUUAGCAAAACUCCACAACAAAAUGGAGUAGCUGAGAGAAAGAAUCGCACCAUUGUUGAAAUGGCAAGAAGCAUGCUAAAAGGCAAAGGAAUUCCAAAUCUUUAUUGGGCAGAAGCUGUAAACAUGGCAGUAUAUAUUCUCAAUCAAUUUCCUACAAAAGCUGUUACAAAUAAAAUUCCUUUCGAGGCAUGGCACAAAAAAGUAGCCAAAGAUUGACCACUUAAAAAUUUUCGGUAGCAUUGCCUAUGCCUUCAUUCCAUCACAAAACAGAGAAAAGUUUGAUGAGAAAGGACAAAAACUUCUAUUCAUUGGGUAUAACGAGUCUAAAGAAUAUCGUUUACUAAAUCCAGAGACAAAUAAAAUAACUAUUUUCCGAGAUGUUGGGUUCGAUGAAAAUACAACUUAUGAUUGGAAGGGAAAGCUAGUCAUAGAUUCUAGACCUUAUUAAUUUGAUGAUCCAUCGACAUCUCAAUUUCCAACACUGAACAACAUACAUCUCCAAAUAUUCCAGCAAUUGAAAAAGAAUCAGAAACCCCUCCAAGAAAAAUAUGUCCACUAAGAGAAAUAUACGAAUCAUAGGAACUCAGAUUAUUCUCUUGUGAACCUCAAUCAUAUGAAGAAGCUUCAAAAGACAAAAGUUGUACAAAAGCAAUCAAUGAAUUCACUAUUGAGCAAAAUAAAACUUGGGAACUCGUUGAACUACCAGAAGAAAAGAGGACCAUUGGUUUGAAAUGGGUCUAUUAAAUCAGAUACAACGAAGAUGGGUCAAUUCAAAAAUAUAAAGCUCGGCUCAUGGCCAAGGGAUAUUCUCAACAACCAGGAGUCGACUUCAUAGAGACAUUUGCUCCAGUUGCAAGAAUAAAGACAAUACGUACAGUUUUGGCACUGGCAACUCAAUUUGAGUUAAAAGUUUUUUAGCUCGAUGUAAAAUCAGCAUUUUUAAAUUGUGAAAUUCAAGAAGAAGUAUAUGUUGAAUAGCCUGAAGGAUUCUAAAUCAAAGGCAAAGAAGAUAAGGCUUAUCAUCUUCAAAAAGUAUUAUAUGGGUUAAAGCAUGCAUCCCAAGCAUGGAAUAGAAAAAUCAAUAGCUAUUUCAUUCAAAAUAUCUUCAAUCGAAGCACAAGUGAAUCAUCCCUCUAUGUGAAAAACGUAGAAAAAGAUUUUCUUAUCGUAUGCCUUUACGUGGAUGAUCUUAUCUACUUUAGAACAAAUGAACACAUGGUGGAUGAAUUCAAAAAGAAAAUGAUUGAAUAUUUUGAAAUGUUUGACUUAGGACUUAUGAGAUAUUUUCUUGGGAUUCAAGUAAAGCAAGGCCAGGAAGAAUUUUUCUUUUUCAGAAAAAGUAUAUUGAUGAUCUUUUCAAAAAAUUCAAAAUGAGUGAGUGCAAGCCAGUCUCUACUCCUAUUGCCUUAAAUGAAAAAUUGCAAGUUUAUGGUGAUGUAGAAAAAGUUGAUGCCACACUCUAGGAAAUUGAUUGGUUCAUUGAUUUAUCUUAAUACAAUGCCAAAUAUUACAUAUUCAGUCAACUUAUUAUCCAGAUUUAUGAAUGAACUAAGUAGACUACAUUUUGCAGCAGCAAAAAAAGAAUUUUGAGAUUCCUUAAAGGAACCAAGAAUCAUGGCAUAGAGUUUAAAAAGGAAAAUAAUUGCAAACUUGUUGGUUAUACAGAUAGUGAUUAGGCUGGAUUAGUUGAUGAUAGGAAGAGCCCUUCUAGAUACAUUUCUUUUUAUCUUGCAUCAAAUGUGAUUUCCUAGAGCUCAAAAAAGUAGAAAUCCAUUGCUUUAUCAUUAGCAGAAGUAGAGUGCAUCGUUGCUACAGAUUCAGCUUGCAAAACUGUUUGGCUCAGAAGAAUUUUGAAAGAUUUGAAUUUGAGCAGGAAGGACUAACAACAAUUUAUUGCGACAAUAUGUCGACAAUUGCGAUGACAAAAAAUCCAGUCUUCCAUGCUAGGUCAAAGCAUAUUGAACUUCGACAUCACUUUAUAAGAGAAUUGGUAAAUCAAAAAGAAAUUUGCAUGGAGUUUAUAAAUACCAACGAUCAAUCAGCCAAUAUGAUGACGAAUCCAAUAAUGAUUGAUAAGUUUGAGAAAUUCAAGAAGCACUUGAAGAUUACAAUUUAAGAGUGGCUGUUAAAAGUUCUAGAGUAAUUUGUAAUCUUCAUCUAGUCCAAAUCCAAAUUGGAAACUUCAACAACAGAAGAAGAUUCAAAGAGUUCAAAUCCAAAUUGAACACUUCAUGACACAACCCGUCCCAAAUCACCCUAGUGGAUCCAAAAUGUGACGUGCGCUGAUGAUAGAUGCUGACUAGAUGUCAAAUCUAUCACUAAGGCUGACUAUGAGUUACUUCAAAAAAUGUAUCAAAAUCAAAUACUAUGUGAAAUAUAAUGAGAUGGGCCCAAAUUAUUUACUUCGUGUUUCAUCAAUAUGAGUUAUAACACUUAAAAUGUCGUGUGGCUCUCAUUUUGAAAUCAUUAGGCUCUUCCAGCUAAAAGGAAUCAAUUGCUACCUGCAGGAAAAUUCGUGAAAAAAUAUAUGAGUUGAUAGAUCAGUGAGUGGAGAAGUUCGAAAAUAAUUAUAUUUGUUCAAUUUUACAUUUUUAUAGAAAAUCGAGUUCAUAUCAUUUAAUAAUUCACAAUAUAACAUCAUGUAGUUAUAAUCAAAAGUGAAAUAUUCACAUAAGGUCGUAAAAUAUCAUCUCAAAAUAAUGAUAUAAACAUCAACUGAUAAUCACAAUUUAAUCUCAUCACAUAAACAUAUUGAAAAAUUCACAAAAAAUGUACCAUUUGACUGAAAUAUGUAAUCCGCACCUUGAGCUAAGAGCUUUCGCCACAGGCCUUUGGCUCCAUCCGUGAACGAAAGUCGGUCUCAAGACCUCUAAUCAAUUCUAGAAUACGGCCAAGGCCCUUCGGUAAACUAUAUGUACACGGUCAAGACCCCUUCAUCCCCGAUCGAAGAUCCUUUAUUGUAGUAUAGAACAUGACAAAAGCCCCUUAGUGAACUAAAAGAAAUAUAUAAUCAUGGGUACUUUUCUGGAUUAUCUCAAUAUCACAUAUCUAACAUACCAAACAAUUCUUAAUAUCACGUCUUACAUACCAAGUCACAAACAUACCAUAAAUAAUCCUUGAAACUCUCCAUGGAUCAUAAUAAAAGAAAUUUUCAUCUAAUCACAUAGUGGAGCAAAUAAUUCACAUAAUUGCACAUACUUUGAUAGUAUCCUUAAUUUAUGAAUACUUUAAAAAUAUUUAUAUUUUUCCACUCACAGAGCUAUGUUCAUAAAAUCAACUCGAUUCGUAAGCUGUCUCAAUAUCCGUAUCGCCGUCUGAAAUAUAAUAUAAUUUUUAAAUCAACAAUUAAUUAUUUUAAAUAAUUUCAAUAAUUAAAUAGGCGAUAUCUAAAUUUAAUCAUUUCACAUUUAAGCAAUUUCUAAAGUCUCUUUAAUCACUAAAACUAGUUUUCCUUUCAUUUAACUCAAUUUCAUAGUUUAUUAUACUUAACCCUUUCAAGAAAAUUGAAUUUAAUCUAACAAUAUAACAACUAUAAAAUUAAACAUAACUUCACAAUAAGUAACUUCUUACUUACCUUUCAAAAUUGGGGAAUUCAAGCCUAAUAGUUGGAAUCACUUAAUUCAUAAUAACUUGGAAAAUUUGAUAGGUACCUAUUCUGAGUUGCUAAUUCCAAAAUGCUACUUAAUGGUUUCUGACUGUACCAACCCUGGUCACACCAAGAGAUAGGAUUAGAAGUCGACUUCGUCACUCUGAAACAAUAAUAGAGUAAUAUUUGCAGGAAAGUGACACAAGAAUGUAAACUGAUUUAUUGAAAGAUAUGAAGAAAAUUGGGACAGUUCCCUGGCUUUUGAGAGGCCUGGACUCCCCCAAUGACUCAAUAGAAUAAACGUGAAUGCCCCCCAAAUUUUCCCCCAUUACAUUUAUUUUCAUUCCCUUACAAGAGACUCUUCCUAAAUUAGCCCCAUCCCAUUACACGAUUCUCCCAAAUUUACCCCUAUACAACUAACUGACUGAAGAAUCAGUUACAGCACCCCACCCUUUUCUUCUUUUUGCGUAGGUGUACUUAACCGGGGAUCUAUAUGAAAUGGAGAUAACUGAUUAUAUGAAAUAGAAUAUAAAUUGUUAUUGAUGGGAAAAUAGAGACACUAGGAUUGAACAAAUGAUACUGAAUGAAAUACAAGAUACUCCCAAGCACUUUGAGAGGCCCGACUCUCCUCACAAUACUUGACUAUUUCCCUCCUUUGACGUCGACUCUUCUUUCUCUAGCUUUCCGUUCUCUAUCUCUCGGUUCAACCCAUCAAACUACUUCCAAACUGAAACUUACCGUCGAAGGUCUGCUUUACGUGGAAUCGAGCUAACGUCAGCACCUUCAAUUCUUCCCAGGUUUAUAUUGGACAGCAAUAGUCUAUCUCUAGAAACCAUGCCUAAGCCUCUCCAAGGAAGCAAGCGACUGUGGCUUCUACCUUUUCCCUCUCUAGUAAGUUUCAAUUCUUGUUUAUGCAUUGCUCUGCCUUAAACAGCCACGAAUCUAAAUUAUCCCUAUAGAAUAUCUGUGUGUUGAGUCGGCCACAUGAAUCCAACCCUGAAUCAACGACUUGACCUCCUUUCUGUUGCAUCACAAUAUUCUCCGACUCACUCCUUAUCGAGCUCAACUCUCUUUUGAUUCUCUGCUGCUGAAAAUAUUUUUCCUUAGUCCAAGAAUCGAUCGCUCUGAUACCAAUUUGAUAGGACCCUGUUGUUGCUGAGAUUUUCUAAGGAUGAAUAAUGAUGUUAUUGCUUGAAAGACUACAAUUUGUUAGGACCCUGCGAUUGCUGAGAUUUUCUAAGGAUGAAUAAUGCUGUUAUUGCUUGACUGACUACCCUGCAAAGCUGUUAACCAGAUUACUUCAACUGGAGAUAACUAAUUAUAUGAAAUGGAAUAUAAAUUGUUAUUGAUGGGAAAAGAAAGACACUAGGAUUGAACAAAUGAUAUUGAAUGAAAUACAAGAUACUCCCAGGUACUUUGAGAGGCCUGACUCUCCUCAUAAUACUCAACUAUUUCCCUCUACCCUUCUUAUCCCCGCUCCAUCACAUUUAUAAGCAAUCCCUUGACCAUAACUACUUGAUUUAUUACGCUUUUGACCCUCUAACUAACUAUCGAACCUUCUGGAAUAACAAUUGAUGUGGCUGCCUCUAUGUUUGCAUAUGUAAACUGAAUUGGGGUCUAUCAUUACCUGCUGCCCCAAAAUUCACCUUGUCCUUAAGGUGAAAGUGUGGUACGCUACGAAAUUCGAAACUCUACAUAGCUGAACCAUUUCUUUGGUAAGAACUCUUGCCAUGACAAAUGUCAAAAUGGAAAAUUUCAAUCCAAAAGCAAUUAAAAAGUUGUGGUGCCAUCCACAUCCAACUAGAAUGUUUUCCUGACAAAUCCCAUGUCCAGUUGGACCCGCAAAAGACAUUUCCAAAGUUUGAGUCCAUUUAUUCAAAAUAACGUUGAGGAUUAUUCUACAACCCAGUUUGUACUUUGCAUCACUACGGUAACACAAACUUUUGUCUCUUUUAAUCUGCAAAUCGACAUCUGUAAAUUUCUUGAACGGAAGAGCUUCCUUAUUUGCCGUCGCUGGUCGUAAAAAGGAGGUUGUGGAGGAUUUGGUAUUGAUGGUGUUAGUUUGAUAUGGUGGCUAGGGAGCUGAGUUACGUGGGCGGACAGGAAAAUUAAGUGAAUGUGGGCUUGGUCUGUAGGUAUUAAUUUUAGCUUUCAAUGGGCCAUAAAGUAGAUGGGCUUGCUUCCUUACAUGCCAAUCUUCAACCUGUGGGCUAACUUACUGAUCUGGCCCAAACCUUGAGGGAUAAGCAUUGGGACUUCAGCCUGUAUUAGUGAAUUGCACCCACUGUCGCCCUUUCCUUCCAGAAUCUCCUUUGAUCUCCCUGACAAUGGUGUAAUCUGUCUAGUCUCGACCUUUGCAUUUGCAUCUUCCCUGUUCCUACCACACGGUAGUUCCAAUCGUCUAUACUUGCUCCACUUUCCUCAUAUUUGAGUGGAAUUUUAGAAUUAAUAGUGGCAUUAGGCAAGCUCGCUGCCUACCCCUUCUCCUUCAACGGAGAUAUGUUUCUCGUGAAAUUGAGCCAUCAUCAACACCUUCAAUUCAUCCCAUGUACGCACCGGUGGUAAUCGAUCUAGCUACUUAUACCAAUUCCAUGUUUACCAGUCAAAACCGACAUCCUCUAUUUUCUCUACUUUCGACAACCGAUUUUUAGAAAAAAAUCUUCUCUGCCUCUGACACCCACUCGUUUGUGUUGUCACCAUAGAAUAUCGACGUGUUGAGUCGGCCAUAUGAAUCCAGCCCCAAAUCAUUGUCUUGAUUAGCUUCCCAUUGCAUUACCAUCUUUUACAACCAAUUGAACACGGAACUCCAUCUCUCUCCCCAAUCGCUUCUGAAGUUUGUUUCCAUUCGUCUGAGAAUUGAUGGCUUUGAUAUCAAUUUGAUAGGACCUUUCUAAGGAUGAAUAAUGAUGUUAUUGCUUGACUGACUACCCCGCAAAGCUGUUAACCAGAUUAAUUCAAUUGAAGAUAACUGAUUAUAUGAAAUGGAAUAUAAAUUGUUAUUGAUGAAAAAGAAAGUUACUAGGAUUAAACAAAUGAUACUGAAUGAAAUACAAGAUACUCCUAGGCACUUUAGAGGUCCGACUCUCCUCACAAUACUCAACUAUUUCCCUUCCCUCUUCUAAUCCCCUCCCCAUCAUAUUUAUAAGCAAUCCCUUGACCAUAACUAGAUUUAUUACACUUUUGACCCUCGACUAACUAUUGAACCUUCUAGAAUAACAAUUGAUGUGGCUGCCUCUAUGUUUGCAUAUGUGAAAUGGAUUGGGGUCUAUCAUUACCCAUCGCCCCAAAAUUGCUUAGAGUUGACAGGUACCUACUCUGAGUUGCUGAUUUCGAAAUGCUGCUCAAUGGUUUCUGACUGCACCAACCCUGGUCACACCAAGAGAAACGAGUAGAAGUCGACUUCGUCAAUCUGAAAUAGUAACAUAGUAAUAUUUCCACCGGUAUGGAAACAGGAGAAUAGUGACACAAGAUUGUAAACUGAUUUAUUGAAAGAUAUGAAGAAAAUUGGGAUAGCUUCAAGGCUUUUGAGAGGCCUGGACUCUCCCAAUGACUCAAUAGAAUAUACGUGAAUGCCCCCCAAAUUCCGCCCCAUUACAUUUAUUUUCAUUCCCUUACAAGAGACUCUUCCUAAGUUAGUCCCACCCUAUUACAUGAUUUUCCCAAAUUUACUGCUAUACAACUAAUUGACUGACAAAUCAGUUACAACACCCUACCCUUUUCUUCUUCUUGUAUAGGUGAACUUAAUCGAGGGUCUAUCAUUACUCUUCCCUCCCAAAAUCCACCUUGUCCUCAAGGUGGAAGUCCGAAAACUGUUGCCGAAUCAGUUCAAUUGGUUCCUAGGUAGCUUCAAAUGCUUGAUAAUCCUUCCAUUUGAUCAUUACUUCUGGCCCCGCACUAGACAACCCUGGUCUGACUUUUAACACUACCUCUGGUUCCACAAUAAGCUGACCAUCUGCUGUGAGGUGUGGUGGAAGUUGAAGUAGUGUGCGCAGCCCCAACAGCUUUAUGGAGUUGCGACAUGUGAAACAGGAAAUGUAUAGUAGCCUUCGCUGAAAGCUUCAACUUAUACGCCACUUGCCCUACCCGGGCCUCCAUUUUAAAUGGACCAAAGUACCUUGGUGACAGCUUGGCAAAGGAGCGUUGAGCUAUAGAUUUUUGUCUGUAGGGCUGAAGCUUAAGAUAUACCAAGUCUCCCACUUCAAAUUGAAUAUCCUAGCGAUGCCCAUCUAUCUCCUAUUUCAUUCUUUGAUGAGUAUGAAAAAGUUGUAACUUCAAUUCAGUAAUAACUGUUCCACAAUCGACAUGACUGUAGUACCCUUCUCAAAGGCUAAAAUUGGUAGGAGAGCAUGCCCAUAGAGGAUCUGGAAGGAGGUGUGUCUAGUUGCAGUAUGAAAGAAGGUGUUGUACCAAUACUCUGCCCAAGGUAACCUCUAACUUCACGAACGUGGUCGAGCUAAAGAAAAAUACCUCAAAUAUGCCUCCAAACAACGAUUGACCACUUCGGUUUGGCCAUCCGUUUGUGGAUGAUAUGCCAUACUAUGCUUAAGUGUGGUACCUUGAGCCUUGAAAAGAGCUGCCUAGAAUUUACUCAAGAAAAUCCGAUCACGAUCAGGCACAAUGGACUGAGGCAUCCCGUGCAACUGCACAAUCUCUUUGACAAAGAUAUCAGCCACCACUUGUGCUGUGAAAGGAUGCUUCAGCCCGAUAAAAUGCCCAUAUUUUCUUAGGUGGUCCACAACCACCAUUAUGGUGUCCAUUCCCCUUGAUUUUGGCAACCCCUCUAUGAAGUCUAAGAAGAUGUAUUCCCAAAUUAAGUCCGGUAUUGGAAGUGGCUGCAGCAGCCCUUUAGGGGAGAGUGCCUCAUACUUGUUUUGCUUUCAAAUGGCACGACAUGCCACAUACUCCUUUACAUAUUUCUUCAUCCCGCCCCAGUAUACCUCUCUUGCAACUCGUUUGUAAGUUUUGAGAAAUCUAGAGUGUCCCUUCACGCUAGUAUCAUGACAUUCAGUUAACAUCGCAGCUACCCAUUAAGAGUUUUUGGGCAAGACCACACGCCCUUUGUAGUAAAGGAUUCAUUCAGUUAAUGUGUACCCGGCCUCGACCCUCUACCUAACUGUAGCCUCGCUACUAACUCCUUCAGUUCAACAUCUGCCUCCACCUCUCUCUUGAUAUCUUCCAACCGUAAUACCCAGGGCGAGAAAAUGGACAAGAAACUCAUGGUUAGCUCAACUCUUGAGAGGGCAUCAACUAUCCCAUUUUCUUGACCUGGUUAGUAUUGGAUGUCAACGUCAUACCCCAACAGUUUGGUCACCCACUUCUGGUGAUCAUCGCUGACUAUGCGUUGCUCAAGUAGAUACUUUAAACUCCUUUGAUCAGUUUUCAGCACAAAAUGUCCACCCAUCAAGUAAUGUCGCCUUUUUUGAAUGGCAAGGACAAUAGCCAUUAACUCUCGCACAUAGACCGGCUUAUUUCAAGUGGUACUGGAUAACACCCGGCUGAAGUAAGCAACUGGGAGCUAAUUUUGCAUCAAUUUCCACUACAAAUUCUUGGGAAAAAUCUGGCAAUGCUAGAACUGGAACCUUCGUCAUAGCCUUUUUUAACUUGAUGAAAGCUACCUCUGCCUGCUCAUUCCAAUUGAACCCAUCUUUCUUCAGUAAGUCUGUCAAGGGCGAUGCUAAUUUAGCAUAGCCUUUCACAAAACGACGGUGAUACCCCAUCAGCCCCAAGAACCCACGUAAUUCCUUAAGACUGCAAGGUUUGGGCCAUUUCAGCAUCGCCUCUAUUUUUGUUUGGUUUACUAAUACACCUUCACCAGACACCAUGUGACCCAAGUAGUCCAGUUUCUGCUGUCCAAACAAGCAUUUUUUUUCGUUGACAUACAAUUUGUGUUCCUGCAGACAUCUAAGAACUGUUUCCAAAUGGCCUCGAUGUUCCUCCACCAAGCUACUGUAUACCAGAAUAUCGUCGAAGAAGACAAGCACGAACUUCUUGAGAUAGGGCCUAAACACUUCAUUCAUCAAGCUCUGAAAAGUGGCCAGAGCAUUCGACAAUCGAAAGGAAUGACCAAGAACUCAUAAUGGCCCUCGUGUGUUCGAAAAGUCAUCUUGGGAAUAUCCUCAGGCCUCAUUCUUAUCUGAUGGUAUCCAGACUUUAAAUCCAGGUUCGAGAAAAUUCUGGCCCCAUGUAAUUCAUCUAGAAUUUCAUCAAUCAUAGGGAUCAAAAAUCUGAUAGGGAUAGUGAUUUUGUUGAGGGCACAGUAAUCGACACAAAUCACCAACUGCCAUCUUUCUUCUUCACCAAUAAUACCGGGCUAGAGAAGGGACUGAGGCUAGGUUGUAUGAUCCUUGCAGCUAACAUCUCCUGCACUAGCCGUUCAAUUUCAUUUUUUUUGAAAAUGAGGAUAGCGAUAUGGCCUCAUAUUUAUCGAUAGAGAACCCGGCUAUAAAUUAAUGGCAUGAUCCCGAACCCGAAAUGGAGGAAGCUCGUCUGGCCAUUGAAAGACCUCCUGAUACUGUCUCAGAACAUUAGUGAUAACAAGUGGAACCCCUGGGCAUUUUUCGUCACUUUCCACACUCAUGCUGUCCAGUUCUAACAGAACACCCUGCCUCCCAUCCUUGAAUGCCUUCACCAUAGUUUUCAGGGACGCCUGCGAUUUCAUGAGACUGAAAUCACCCUACUGCAAGAUGAUUUCCCCCUAGCCUAAAUUACACAGUUAAGUUGCCUCCAAUUCACUUGCAUUUUUCCUAAACUCUCUAGCCAUUUCAUUCCCAAGAUCACGUCAAUAGAUCCUAAUUGAAGCAGAAGAAAGUCGUCUACAAUUUCAAUACUGUCCACAAAGACAACAACCCCUUUGCAAACACCACCUCCUCUGACUAAUAAGCUCGUUUCCAUUAGAACACUAUAGCUUGCAGUGUCUGAGGUUGGAAGUCGUAGCUUACUGGCCAACUCUACUAAGAUGAAAUUAUGUAUAGCCCCACAAUCGAUGAGCACCACCACAGGUUGACAUUGAAUGGACCCCUUUAGCUUCAUUGUUUUUGGAGUGGUCAGCCCAACAACCGAGUUAAUCGAAAUCUCCACCAUUCCUUUCACCUCUUCUUCAGCGUCGACACCUCCAAGCAAGUCCAACGGUUCAUCCCCUUCUUGGACCACCAUGACCUUCAAUUCUUUAUUUCUACAAUGGUGGCCUGGGCUGUACUUUUCUUCCGUUUCGCUUGUAGCUCGCCGUCAGUGAGCUUUUUGAACGGGGCACCCCCUUCGCACCUGCUGGAAAUCGUGACCCAAUGUGGGUCGUGGUUCUGGAAGCCAAGAUGCUUGAAGUUAGGCUGCCAACAGGUUGGGGAUAAUAAACAGUGGAUUGUGGGCUGCUGUUUAGGAGUGGACUGGGAAGAUUUAAUUUCAUUUUAUUUGGGCCGACCCCCAGUUGGGCCUGUUUGAUGUACUCAUUUCGAUCCUCCACACAUUGGGCUAAUUCCAUGAUUGGCCCAAAACCCUUGGGUUUAUGCAUCCUUAUCUCAGCCCGUAUUUCUGCCUUCAACCCAUUAGUGAAGUUUCCUUCUAGCACCGCCUCUGGAACCAUCGACAAGGGGACGGCCAGUAACUCAAAGUUCCGCUGGUACUCUUUCACCGUCCCUUCUUGCUUGAGUGCCAAAAAUUUCUCUAAAUUAGUCCCCUCCUAAGAAGGUCGAAAACACUCCAGUAACAAUUAUUUCAAUUUUUCCCAGCUCCUAAUUGCUUGCUGGUUGUCUUCCCAUUGUAACCAGGCAAGUGUGUCACCCUCAAAACAUUCGAUUUUCUCCCCACUUGUCUACUGAUUUAUAUUGAAAUACCGUUCUGCUCGGAAGACUCAUCCAUCCGGAUUGUCUCCGUUGAAUGUGGACAAUUCUAAUCUUUUUCCACGAGUGUCUUUCCUUCCGAAUUCUCCAUUCGUACUCCUGCCCUCACUUCCUACUUCAACUGCCAUAGAUUUUGGAGCCUCCGCUAAGACCACCAUCGAGUCCAUUGAGUUCUCGGCUAUUCCCUUCUCCUUCCUUUCCCUCUUGCUUCCUUCCCAUUUCCUCAUCAUCAAUUCAAAUUUCUCUUUUAUUUCUAACAUAUCCCUCUGUAAUUCCAAUUUCGUUAUACCCACUCCUUCUUGUAGCUCACCAUGGAUUCCUUCGAUCCCCGCUUCCAAAAUCCCCACUUGAUCUGUCAACGUCAUUUUCCCCAGACAACUGCUCUAAUACCAGAUUUGAUAGGUACCUGCUUUGAGUUGCUGAUUUUGAAAUGCAGCUCAAUGGUUUCUGACUGCACCAACCCUAGUCACACCAAGAGAAAUUAUUAGAAGUCGACUUCAUCAAUUUGAAACAGUAAUAGAGUAAUAUUUCCACCAGUAUGCAACUAAGAGGAAAGUGACACAAGAAUGUAAACUGAUUUAAUGAAAGAUAUUAAGAAAAUUGGGACAGCUCCAAGGCUUUUGAGAGGCCUGGACUCUCCCAAUGACUCAAUAGAAUAAACGUGAAUGCCCCCCUACCCCCCAAAAUUCCCCCCAUUACAUUUAUUUUCAUUCCCUUGCAAGAGACUCUUCCUAAAUUACCCCCACCCAUUACAUGAUUUUCCCAAAUUUACCCCUAUACAACUAACUGACUGAAGAAUCAGUUACAAUAUCUUGUCCUUUUCUUCUUCUUGCGUAGGUGAACUUAAUCGGGGGUCUAUCAAAAUUUUUCUUUUUCCUUUUUUUUUCUUUUUCUUCUUCCUCUUUCCUCUUUCCCUUUUUCUCUCUGCCUCGUUUUUUCCAAUGUGUGUAGUGUGUACUUUUGUGUAACAUCUUGGGUUUGAUAAGUUUUGGUGAAUAUAUAUCGAUUCCACCGCCUAGUGUAAAGUUUAUUUUAUUGUUUCAUUUUUUUUGUUUUUAUAUAGCAUGAUAUGUUUGACUUUUCUUUUCUUUCUUUUUUUAAAAAUUUUUUAAAUUAAGGUAUUACAGUUCAACCAACAAAGGCUUUAUUCAUUAAAUGGUCAAAUGAUAAGAUUUUCAAUUCAAGUUGUAGACUCAACUUAUGCAAGCUGGAAAUUAACAUAGACAACAAUCAAUUCACGUUCUGAUGUUCUGCAAUAUGAAAAUUACAUAAGGCAACCACCAUUUGACACUUAUGAUGUUUAAACACAGUUCCAAAUACAUAUGUUCCAGCUGUAAAUGAUGAAGAAAAAUAACUUUUACUUUGUUGUAAUUGUAAAGAAUUAGUAAGACUAGUUUACUCAAUGUUUUCUAUAAAUAGGGAGGUAUCCAUCUAGUGUUAUGUAUGUAGAAAAAGUGAGAAAAAUCUCUCAAAAAAAUUAGAAAGAGUGUGUUGUAGCAACUCCUUUGUAAUUCCUCAAAUUCCAUAAUAAAAAUUUCAUAUUUCUCUUAUCUAUUUCCUUCUACACCUAACAGGUUCAACCUAUAUACGAUUCUAAAAGAGGCUAAACUUUGAUGUGGGUCAAGACUCCACUCUACAGGAGUCAUUACAAAAAACUCAUAGAGUGGGUGUCUAUGUACUUGUCUUUAAUUUGUGUCAUAUGUUUAUAAAACCACAUCGUUUGUUGUUCCAAUAAUUGUUGACUGUUAUCAUUUUAAGAUCAUUGUGGACUUGCAAGUAGAAGAGUGGAUAUUCUUCCUAGUUUUGGGUUUUAUGAUAUAAAUCUGGUGUUCAGACGUUACUACUUUAAUUUACUUUAGUGCAUGCGUAUUCCACUAACUUGAACUAGCUGAUCAAUGCAGUUGAAAGUUGAUAUAGGUUGGUAGAAGAGGCCACCCUCGACGUACAAGUAAGAUGGAUCAUUGCACUUCGACGCGAGGUCAUCAACCCCCGGAGGCACUCUACCACUACGCAAAGCCGUUGACCUCCCAGGAGCGCUCUACCAAUACCCCGGGGGGUUCUCUACCACAACCCCCAGGGCGCUCUACUAAUACCCCCAGGGGGCGCUCUAUCAACACCCCCGGGGGCGCUCUACCACAAUCCCCAGGGGGGCGCUCUGCCACUACGCAAAGUCGUCGACCCCCCAAAAGCGCUCUACCAUUGUGCGAGGGCUUCAAUGGGCAUGGAAUUGCCAACCCAAACACUUAGCCAUAAAACCUCUAGUAAAUUGACUAGGUUCCAUGGUAGUUAACAUAGGUACAACCUCCAGGCGGGAAGAUAAAUACCCCCCACUCAGAAUGUGGGGGUAGUGGGAAUGCCAACGUGGGACACGUGACACCACAACCGCCCAGUGGUUAUCCAGUUCCCAAUAUCUAUAAAUAUUCCGAAUGUGACACAGGUAAAGGGCUCUCUCUCUCUUUCUCUCACUCUUUUUAGCUAUCUGAUUUCCAAUUGCAAGUCUAAAAAUUAAUUCUCACGCCGGAGGUAAAAUGGGGGAGGAAGCCCCGCCUUCGUUUUUCAGGUCAUAAACACUUGACGGAGUAGUCGGAAUACCGAAUGCCACUAGGUAGAUAUAAUGGUAUUGUUUCACAACCAUUUCAUUGGCACCGUCUAUGGGAAUCAUUUGAACUAAAAAGCUAUGUCGAGAAAACGAACAAGGAGUGAUACUCGUUUAGUUGGAAAUAUGGCAGAGACAGAGUCGGAGUCAGUUGUAAGGGGUCACGAGCCAUCGCCGCUUCCGUAGUAUGUGACGUAGAGUUAGUUUAGCACUUUGGAGACUCAAAUGGAAACAACGAUGGCGCUUUUGCAAAACCAAUCUUAGAGAGACACGGUCCCUCCAUUGAGUCCGACGGAAGCGACAAACCAGCAAUCGCCUCAAGUGCCAACUGCGAUUGUUCCACCCAUCCCUCUGCAGGGGACGAGAGGAGCGGGGACCCCAGUGAUCGUAGCUCAGCAGCCCCAUAAGCCAUGGUGGACUUGGAACAGAAAACGGAAGAAAUCAUGACCCAGAAGAUAGUUGAUGCACUAUCCCAGAGAAAGGAUAGACGGAGGCAGAUGGUGUUGGAGGAAGACCCGUUUGCCCCUGAGAUCAUGGCGGUCCUCUUGCCUAAAGGCUUCAAGCAGCCCAUGAUAGAAGCAUAUGAUGGAGUCACAUAUCCGCUUAACCACUUCUGGGCCUUUGUAGACUUGAUGAGACUUUAUGCCACCCCGGACGCUGUGAUGUGUUGGUCCUUCCCCGCCACACUUAGAAGGGAGGUCGGGGACUGGGUAACAAACCUUGGCCCCAUGGUCUAUCAAGACAUUUGAUGAGCUCUCCAUGAGCUUUGUGACUUACUUCUUAAGCAGCAAGUGGAAGAGGAAGACUGCCAUUGGGUUGAUGCAGGUCGUACAGGAGAAAGAUAAGUCAUUGCAGGAAUACUUGGCUAGGUUUAGCCAGGCUACUCUUGGCAUAAAAGACCUACAAAUGUCCGCAAUGGUUACUGCCUUGAUGAACGAAACUCGAAAUCGAGCCUUUAAAAUGUCACUCUCCAAAAACCCCCCAGAGUCAAUGCAUGACCUAUUGAAAAAGAGAGAUAAGUAUGUCGAUGCAGAGGAAACGGAGAAAGUGACCAAAAAUCUCAGGGACGGAUGGGAAACGGAAGCACAUAAGCGAAAAGCGUAUGAUGAGUGAAGGCACACUGAUAAGAAUAAGCCGAAGAAUGAACGUAUGAACAAGGGUUAUGCCCAAGACUGAUCGGUCAAGCAGAAGCGAGAGGAGGCCAAGGCACCCACCCCUUUGAACAUCCCACGUACGAAGUUAUUAAUGGAGAUACAGCACAUGAAAGAGCUCGAAUAGCCUAAAUAGAUGCUGACUUCCUCCAGCAAGAGAAAUCAAAGUAAGUACUCCCAUUUUCACAAAGAUCACGAACACGAUACAGAAGAAUGUCUACAGUUGAAGGAAGAAAUUAAGUGCCUAUUAAGGCGGGGAUUAUUGGCCAAGUAUGUAAAAAACGACAGGGGUAGACAAAGGCUCGAAGGGAUACCCCCACCAAGAGCAAGAGUGAUAAACAUGAUCAUUGGAGGAGUAGCAUCGGGUGGCGACUCGAAUUCAGCUAGGAAGAGCUAUGCGCGUUCUGCAGGGGUCUGCUCUAUCCAAAAAAGGCAAGGUUCAACCAGAGCAUUACUUUCGACGAAGAGGACUUGAUCGGUAUAACGCAUCCCCACGAUGAUACCUCAGUGAUAAUGGGCGAUAUAGCUGAUUUUGACGUAAAGAGGGUCCUUGUCGAUGGAGGAAGUGCAGCAAAUGUCCUCACUUGGGAUGCCUUCUUGGGUCUAAAAAUUCCCCCAGAAAAGUUGAAGAUAGUGAUUACCCCUCUAUAAGGCUUUGGAGGGGCAACAGUGAUACCAGAAGGAACUGUAGAGCUCUAAGUUACGCUAGGCACAUACCCUGCGACAGUGGUGAUUGUGACUAAUUUCUUGGUUGUCAAGACCCCCAUGGCCUACAACACCAUCUACGGCUGGCCAUUGCUAAACGUAGCUAGCGCUGUAUCAUCGACCUACCAUCAAAUUAUGAAGUUCCNNNNNNNNNNNNNNNNNNNNNNNNNNNNNNNNNNNNNNNNNNNNNNNNNNNNNNNNNNNNNNNNNNNNNNNNNNNNNNNNNNNNNNNNNNNNNNNNNNNNNNNNNNNNNNNNNNNNNNNNNNNNNNNNNNNNNNNNNNNNNNNNNNNNNNNNNNNNNNNNNNNNNNNNNNNNNNNNNNNNNNNNNNNNNNNNNNNNNNNNNNNNNNNNNNNNNNNNNNNNNNNNNNNNNNNNNNNNNNNNNNNNNNNNNNNNNNNNNNNNNNNNNNNNNNNNNNNNNNNNNNNNNNNNNNNNNNNNNNNNNNNNNNNNNNNNNNNNNNNNNNNNNNNNNNNNNNNNNNNNNNNNNNNNNNNNNNNNNNNNNNNNNNNNNNNNNCUUUAAAUCGUUUCAUGAGCCGGGCGGUGGACAAAUGCUACCACUUUUUCAAGGCUAUAGGGGGUUUCUCCAACUUCGAGUGGACCUAGGAAUGUGAAGAGUCGCUUAAGAGUUUGAAGCAGUCAUUAUAGGAGCCCCCGAUCUUGACCAGCCCACGGCUCGGGGACGUGUUGUGUCUCUAUUUGGCAGUCUCACCAAGGGCAGUCAGGGUGGUGCUAGUGAAAGAGUUCUCAAAGGCGCAAAAACCGAUCUAUUAUGUAAGCCAAGUAUUGAGGGGUACAGAGGCAAGAUACAACCUGGCUGAGCAGCUAGUGUUUGCAUUAAUUUUCGUGGUUAGGAAGCUGAGGCCUUACUUUCAAUCUCACAUGGUGCAAGUAAUGAUCGACCAACCUAUUAAGCAGAUCCUACAUCGACCAGAGACCUCCGAGAGGAUGUUGAAAUGGGCAAUUGAGUUAAGUGAGUUUGAUAUUGAAUUCAGGCCAAGGAUGGCUAUUAAGGUACAGGCUCUAGCAGACUUCAUCGUUGAGCUCACCAUUCCGCCCGAGCAACCGCUGGGGGAACAAGCAGAUUGGAAAAUUUAAGUGGAUGGAUCUUUGAAUGAUAAGAGAUCCGAGGCGGGGAUCAUAAUGGUAGGUCCAAAUGGUGAAGAGUUGGAAUACUCACUGCGUUUUAAAUUUCCAGCUACAAAUAAUGAUGCCGAGUAUGAGGCAGUGAUCACAGGUUUAGGACUGGUAGCCAGACUCGGGGUAGCUUCAGUAGAGAUUUACAGUGACUCUCAGUUGAAAAUCGGGCAAGUGACCUCCGAGAGGAUGUUGAAAUGGGCAAUUGAGUUAAGUGAGUUUGAUAUUGAAUUCAGGCCAAGGAUGGCUAUUAAGGUACAGGCUCUAGCAGACUUCAUCGCUGAGCUCACCAUUCCGCCCGAGCAACCGCCGGGGGAACAAGCAGAUUGGAAAAUUUAAGUGGAUGGAUCUUUGAAUGAUGAGGGAUCCGAGGCGGGGAUCAUAAUGGUAGGUCCAAAUGGUGAAGAGUUGGAAUACUCACUGCGUUUUAAAUUUCCAGCUACAAAUAAUGAUGCCGAGUAUGAGGCAGUAAUCACAAGUUUAGGACUGGUAGCCAGACUCAGGGUAGCUUCAGUAGAGAUUUGCAGUGACUCUCAGUUGAUAAUCGGGCAAGUGACGGGGGAAUUCGAAGCUAAAGAUAGAAAGAUGGCAGUAUAUUUAAUGGAGGUCAAAAACUUGAUGAAGGGGUUCACCAGGUUCAAAAUAACAAAGGUCCCCCAAAAAGACAAUGAGCGGGCGGAUGCACUGGCUAAGCUCGCAUCUACAAACCCCAGACAUCUGCCUCGCACAGUGAGCAUGCAAAUCUUAUGGUGACCUAGUAUCCAACGCACGGUUGCUGUUGUGAAUGUAGAGCAAGGAGAGAGUUGGAUGGACCCUUUAGUUGAAUAUCUCACAAAGAACAAGUUGCCGAAAGAUGCACUCGCAGCAAGAAAGCUAAAAGUUCGAGCAGCCUCGUUUGCCGUCAUCGAUGGACUACUUUACAAGCGAGGUUUUACAAUGCCAUAUUUGAAAUAUUUGCGGCCAACAAAAGCCCACGAGGUGCUAGUCGAGAUACAUGCAGGAAUUUGUGGCAACCACCAAGGGACAACCGCCAUUGCGUUCAAGGCACUACGAUAAGGAUAUUAUUAGCCUAGCAUGAAAGAAGAUGCCAAGGAGUUGGUGAGGAAGUGUGAUGCAUGUCAACGUCAUGGAAAUUUGAUGCAUGUUCCAGCCGAGCAACAAACAGCAGUUUUUGGGAUGUGUCCCUUCUUCCAACGAGGGAUGGACAUCCUAGGGCCUUUGCCCCUAGCUAAGGGACAAAGGAAGUUCCUUCUAGUCGCCAUAGACUACUUUACUAAGUGGGUGGAGGUUGAGCCCUUAGCCACCAUCACAACUACAAAAGUACAAGGAUUUGUCUAGAAAAAUAUCAUAUGCAGGUUUGGCAUACCCAGAGUGGUUAUUAUAGAUAAUGGCAAACAAUUUGGCAAUCACAAUUUUACAGCCUUCUGCACAAGCUACCACAUAGACCACAGGAUAACUUCAGUCGCUCACCCGCAGUCAAAUGGACAAGCCGAAGUGACCAACCGAGCCAUACUAUGGGAUUUGAAGACAAGGCUUGAAAACAAGAAAGGGCUUUGGGCAGAUGAGUUGCCCAAUGUGCUAUGGGCGUAUCACACAACUCCCCGAGAGCCGAUCGGGAAGACAUCGUUCAGACUGGCCUUUGGGAUGGAGGUCGUGGUUCCAGUUGAGAUCUUAAGCGAGACAGGCAAAAUGAAAGUCAAGCAGCCCGACGACGCAGCGACUAGGGGAGAACUCGACCUUCUUGAAGAGGUAAGGGAGAAGGCGAAAAUAAGAAUGAUGGCUUAUAAACGAAGAGCCGUCGAGUACUUCAACCGGAGAGUAAAUCCAAGAGUCUUCCAGCCAGGAGAUCUCAUGCUAAAAGAUGCAGCAAUGGCAGGACACCCCUACCAAAGCUUGGUCCAAACUGGGAAGGCCCGUACGAAGUAAUCCGCGGGCUGGGAAAGGGAGCUUACAGUUUGAAAGAUAUGAAAGGAAGGCCACUAGGUAGGCCGUGGAACGCAGAACGCCUCAAAAAGUAUUAUCAGUAUAUUUCGAAAUAGAUGCACAGGCUACACUUUUGUAAAUACAGUAGAAUAGGUUGCAUCGUUAUUCUCUCCGUGUAACGCCUCACGAAGGCGCCCUUAGUCUUAAUAUUUUAUCUUAUUCAAUGAAAAACCUUGGCAGUGGCAGAUGAUGAGGGUGCUAUGGAAGGGCCAACCUAGCUAGGACAUCCCUAUGCGCCUACUGAGCUCACAAAUCCAAGAAUUUUUUAUGCUAACAGGAAUCUUGAAUCUCAAUGCUCAUCCCAUGAAGACAUGUGGUCGACACAACCCAAGAGGCUAGGCGGAGAGCCAUUGAAACCAAAAAUUUGGUUAAGGCCCUAAACCGCUAGACCAUGCCCUCGACGGUCAACAUAGCCCAAGAGGCUAGGCGGAGAGCCAUUAAAACCAAAAAUUUGGUUAGGGCCCUAAACCAUUAGACCAUGCCCCCGGCGAUCGACAUAGCCCAAGAGGCUAGGCGGAGAGCCAUUGAAACCAAAAAUUUGGCUAAGGCCCUAAAUCGCUAGACCACGCCCCCGAUGGUCGACACAGCCCAAGAGGCUAGGCAGAGAGCCAUUGAAAUAAAAAAUUUGGCUAAGGCCCUAAACCGUUAGACCACGCCCCCCGACGGUCGACACAGCCCAAGAGGCUAGGCGGAGAGCCAUUGAAACCAAAAAUUUGGUUAAGGCCCUAAACCGCUAGACCACGCUCCCGAUGGUCGACACAUCCCAAGAGGCUAGGCGGAGAGCCAUUGAAACUAAAAAUUUGGUUAAGGCCCUAAACCGCUAGACCAUGCCCCCGACGGUCGACACGGCUUAAGAAGCUAGGCGGAGAGACAUUGAAACCAAAAAUUUGGUUAAGGCCCUAAACCGCUAGACCAUGCCCCCGACGGUCGACACGGCCCAAGGGGCUAGGCGGAGAGCCAUUGAACCAAAAAUUUGGUUAAGGCCCUAAACCACUAGACCAUGCCCUCGACGGUCGACAUAGCCCAAGGGGCUAGGCGGAGAGCUUUGAAAAGUCAAAAAAUUAGCUAUGGCAUGCGAAACAAAUGACAUUCGCCCAUGCUAUCAAAUAGCUGAACGCGAGAAAUAACGCUAGGAGAAACAAGCUUCAACAUUAAUAACCGUCGAUAACAUAGCAUUCAUACGAAAAGCAUGUAAUGUAGUCUUGCCCACACCCUGGACAAGUAGGAAACGAUGCUACAUGUAGAAAUAAAAGGUAACACAAAAAGGGGGGGGACUGACAAAAGGCACUACUGCUAAGGGGAAACACCAUCACUGCCGCCCAACGGCGAAGGACCAAGUGACCUAGAUGACUGCACCCCACUCUCCUUCCCCUUGCGCUGUGUAAGGAACUUGUCAAAACUUGAGGGGUUAAUGGAACGAUGCUCGGUCGAUAUCCAUUCCUUGGUCAGUUUGAUAGACGCUGCCAUCACCUUCUUCUUGUACGAACGCAAAGCCCCGGCAUAAUCAGACGAUGACUUGUACUGCUCAACAGACGCCUCCAAGUCCCUAGUGUAUCCAGCAGAGGCCUUAUACCUUUGAACCGCCUCCUCCUGAGCACGAGCCAACUCAGACUGCAAAUGGUCGUUCUCUGUCUCCUGCUCGCGGGCUCGAGCCUUCGACGCCUCAAGAGAUUUCUUUAAAGAAGAUAUCUUCUUCUUGUGGUGAUAAGCCUCAUUUUUCUUUUCCUCUGCAAGACUCUUCAGCUUUAAGGCCUGGCGACGACUCGAUUCGACAAGCCCGGUCUGAAGGGCCACCACCUAAAGGAUGAGAAGACAAUAUAAGAAUCAAGUGGUAUAACCAUGCAAAAAAAUAAAUAAAUAUAUAUGUGUAUAUACAUACGCAUAGAAUUAGAUGCAUACCCUUUGAAGAUAGACAGCCGUAGCCCUCUCAAUAUCAUCUGCGCUACGUCUUGCAAUCGACCUGGUCCGCACGAGUGUCACUAAGGACUUAAGUACCUUCAUCUCCCGAUAACCCUGGGUGGGAGAAAACCCGAAAACAGGAAGAGACCCCUCACGCUCCCCCUGCAUACGACUGGAAGAGCCCGGCCUAGGAGUAGGAGCAACCUCAAUGGGCUCGUCUGAGGGCUGGGGAGCCUCUUCUGCUACCUGAGGACUUCUCCUUUGGGCCACCAUCUUUUUACUCUUUAAGGGGACGGGGCAUGGCUUAAGAUUACUUCCAUGCUCAAGAUUACUUCCAUUCCUGUACAUGCAAGGUAAGGCUGGUCAAAUAGCAAAACAAAAGAAUGUGAGAACGCAAAACAAAGAAGGGGAAGCUCAAGAGUUUACCAUCAAUGGGAGAGAGAUCCUCGUCACCGCCCGGCAGGGUCCUCAACACCUCGUCCAAAUCAAAAUCCAUAUCUGCAUACACAUACCCAAAUAUAUUAGUUCCAAAAAGCACAAAUAAGAAAUAUUUUCAAGUCAAAAAUAAUAAAAAUCGAUGUAAGCAGCCUACCAGUCGGACGACUCAUCCCCACUAUCAACAUAUUUCUCAUGGUCAGGACCGAUCCUAAGUUGGUGCAAGAGGGGGUGUAUCAACCAGCUGUUGAAUUUGAGCUUUUAGAGUAGAGGAAGCAUCUACUUGACUAUUAAAAAGGCGAGUUUGAGGGAGCCGCCAAUUGGUAUUGAAAGGAAACCGACCAGCUGAAGGCCGGGCAAAGAAAAAUCGAGAUUUCCAACCACUAUUUGAAUUCCUAAACUUAGGAAACAACAACGGAACACUAGCGGUAAAAAAGACGAACGCAUUGCACUGAGCUAACACGUGCAUCUCCAAGACACACCUAAAGAGGUCUAUGGAGAGCGAAACUCGCCUCCUAAGGCAAACAUACAAGAAGUAGAGUGCUUUUCUCCAAGCAUUGGGAUUUAUUUGACUAGGAGUAAUAUUAAACUCAUUGAAAAUUGACACAAAGAAAGGAUGGAUGGGUAACCAGAAACCACCAUCCAUGAUGUCCUUAUACAACGCUAUCUUGCGGGGGUCGGACCCGGGGAGCCUCUCUUUAGGCCCGGGGGCUCUAUAGAUGUAAUCGUCGACUCGAUCAUACCUAGCAAGACAUUUCUCUAACUUAAGCAGAGAAUUAUAAAAGCUAAAACUUUUUGGAAUUUCAAGGGGAACGAUUUCGCUAGCCGGAUCUCGCUCGAUUUCUAAGUUUUGAUUUGGAGAUUUGGUAGAGCCAACAUGUCCCUUGGGGGAAUUUGAAAUAAAGUCUUGAGAAUCAAGUGAAAGGUUUUAGCUAUCAGACUCAAAUGGAAACCCAUUGGACGAAGGAAGAGAAGCCGAAGGACUUCGAUCGGUCAAACUCCCGACCAACUGCCCGGAUGCGCGAAGGGGGCUGGUCAGUCGACCGGCCACGCCAGACCGGUCGUCCGACCAGUCGGCCAGAUUUUUUUUGGCAUCGAUCGGCCCCUCGUUGCUACUCUCAUUGGAAGGAGAAGAAAGAAUUGUUUUAUACAUGGUAACAAAAAAGAUGAAGAGAAAUUCAAAGAAAGACUUGGGAUUAAAAAGGAGAGAAAAUUACCUUAGAAGGAACAAAGCCUAGGAUGUUGAGGAAAAAUGAAAGUGAUUCUUUGAAGUAAAAAUCACCUCCUUUUAUAAACACAAGAAUUCAAACUUUUUGGGUGGGGGGCGGGAGGGGGGGGGGGAAUUCCCUCCAACAUUAGGACCAUUGAUGGGGUGCCAUGUGUACCAUAAAAUUGCUAUUUGAUUUUGAUUGCAUUGCUCGACUUGCUAAUAUGAACUACUAAUUUAUCAUUUAUAUGUAUUAAAUUUUUUUUUAAACCAACCUAAAUAAAGAAAAUUGCUACUCCUCGCCGAAAACAUCGACAAGGGAUGGGGAGGCUAAUGAUAUAGGUUGGUAGAAGAGACCACCCUCGACGUACAAGCAAGAUGGAUCAUUGCACUUCGACGCGAGGCCAUCGACCCACGGAGGCACUCUACCACUACGGAAAGCCGUCGACCCCCCGGAGCGCUCUACUAAUACCCCCAGGGGGCGCUCUACCACAACCCCCAGGGGGCGCUCUACCAAUACCCUCGGGGGCGCUCUACCAAUACCCUCGGGGGCGCUCUACCACAACUCCCAGGGGCCGCUCUACCACUACGCAAAGCCAUCGACCCUCCAAGAACGCUCCACCAUUACGCGAGGCCUUCAAUGGGCAUGAAAUUGCCAACCCAAACACUUAGCCAUAAAACCUCUAGUAAAUUGACUAGGUUCCAUGGCAGUUAACACGAGUACAACCUCCAGGCGGGAAGAUAAAGACCCCCCACUUAGAACAUGGGGCAGUGGGAAUGCCAACGUGGAACACGUGACACCACAACCGCCCAGCGGUUAUCCAGCUCCCAAUAUCUAUAAAUACCUCGGAUGUGACAUAGGUCAAGGGCUCUCUCUCUCUCUCACUGUUUUUAGCCAUCUGAUUUCCAAUUGCAAGUCUAAAAACUAAUUCUCACGCCAGAGGUAAAACGGGGGAGGAAGCCACGCCUUCGUUUUUGAGGUCACAAACACUUGAUGGAGUAGUCGGAAUACCGAACGCCACCAGGCAGAUAGAACGGUAUUGUUCCACAACCAUUUCAAAAGUGAUUCAAACACUUAUGAAUGUAGUCAUUGCAUUCAAUAUUUCAAUUUAUAUAUUAAUUUUGUGUGUGCGCUUAGUUAAAUUCAUAAUCUACUUUGAAACAGCGAAUAUUAAUUAUGUCCUGGCACUCAUCUUGAUCUAAUGGGGAAAAAAGUCUAGAAAUUUAAAUUUACAUAUACAACAUAUUCAACCCCUUAAUAAGAUAUAUUUUAUCAUAGGUAAAAACCAUGCAAAGGUUGCCAAUUUAAAAUUUGAAAUUGAAAAGUUCUCGUGCAUUUAGUAUUGGCUCUUUGAUCUUUGCACUAAAGUUAUUUAAGCAAUAUAAAUUACAGAACAAAAAAAAAAAAGAAAAAGUAAUUUCUCAAAAUAUAUAAGAAAAACACUAAAAUUAGAAAUUAAUAGAUAAGAAACAUAACGUAAUAAAAACUACCUUUUCAUUGGGUUUCAAAUGGUUUUCCAUGUUUCACCACAUUUCUGUAUUAUAAUUGCCGAUCUGUUUUACCUUUUAUGGUUCAAGAAGUUGGAAGUUAAGAAAAUUCUGGAGAUCAUUUGGUAGGAGGAGUAAAAAAUUCAUCCCCUUUCUUAUAAUUGCCCCACUUUGAAGUUUAAGCUCUUCAGAUUCACAUUUCGGAUUAGAAGAAUUCAUCCUCAAUAAUGCAGCAUGAAACAGGCAAAUUUAGGUUAUGAGUAUAACUGUAUUCCUUGUACUAUCCUUCACCCCCAUAUAACAGGAUAAAACAGCAAAUUAAAUCAUGCUAAACUAUUCUCAUCCUACCAGUAUCACUUGGCGAACUGUGAAAAUAUAAGAAGAGAACACAAAAACAACAGGAAUUCUAAUGCCUUUUAGAGAAAAUUCUUAUAUCUGGCUUACAUUCUUGUCAUCACCCGCUACAGGCGCUCCAAUUGGGCCAUCCAACCACCAAGCCCAACAAUGUGAGAAUCAUCCAUUGGAUGUUCUACAAUAUCUCUAUAUGUAUGCGACUACGGUAUGCGUGGAAAUUAAUAUGACAAUAAAGCAAUGGGAAUAUGGGGUAGGAGCAACAUACGGCAAGAACUCAUUCCCUUAAAUGAAAUAUGAAAACUAAUAAAACAAGAAAAUUAUAAUGAUUUUGUUUACUUAAUAAAAUCAAGUUUAGUUUUGUAUUUAUGCCAACAUGCUAUAGAAUCUUGGAGUUAUUGUGCACCUCUCUUUGACCAUCUUCAUUAUGGUGAUUGCUUUCUAAAAUUAAUGUUCCUUCAUUUGGAUACAUUGAUUUUUUAUUCUCAUACUAAAAGAAGUCAAUUUUUUAAAAUUCGUUCGUAAAUAUGUUGAGGUAAGUAAAUCAUAGACGAAUGAGUAGAAUCCGAAUGCACAAAAAAAUGGAAUUCUAAUCAAUUGAGGACCUGGAUAUAGUUUUAUUCUUUUCUAAAGAAGCUAAAGCCAAAGCCUCUGGGUAAGGCAAGCAAGAAGGCAUUAGCUUCCUAUCCGUGAGGGAAAGAUUCUACUUUAAAAGGUCUUGUCCGCACAUCGUAAAGGAAGGUUUACAAGGAGGAGAACCGCAUUCCGAAUGUCCGAUCCAAGUGUGUAUAAGCUGUAUCCGCAAUCGAAUUUACUUGGAUGGAGAACUGGGCAGAAGGCCGCCACUCUUCAGGAUUAGUUAGGCGAAACUUGGACACCUGAGUUACUAAAAAAAAAAAAAAAAGGAUUCUACUUUAAAAGACCGGAUCACACUGUUAAUGUAAUAAAUUCUAGUUUGAGGGUAGUUUAGUCUUUUAUAUUUCCUUUUCCUUGGUAUUGUAGUAUAUGAAUUCAUUGUAUCCUUCGUAUUUUGCCCUAAGUUUGGAGGCUCCUCCAUUCUUCACAAUCUUGUGUUCCUCUUCUUUGAUAGAUUUAUAAAAUUAGUUCUUUAUCAAUUUGUUCUCCUCUUUUGAUAGGUUUAUCAUAUUGGUUUUUUGUUUUCUACAUGGUAUCAGAGCCACGCUUAAUCUUGGGUUGAACUUGCAAGCUUCUGUUCUCCGACUAGUGGCCUUGUGCGGCUCGUCCGGUGGUCUAAAUUUCUUGAUGCUUUGUGGUUUAAAAAUUUCUGAUGUCAAAACCAAAAAUAUGUUACUAAACUUCUUCAUCAGUCACUAAACCUAAAAUUUACACUUACGACAAACUAAAUCGAUGGUCUAAAUGUUAACAAACCAAUAUGAUAAAUCUAUCAAAAGAGGAGAACAAAUUCAUGAAGAACUAAUUUUAUAAAUCUAUCAAAGGAGAGGAACACACGGUUGUGAAGAAUGGAGGAGCCUCCAAACUUAGGGCAAAAUAAGAAGGAUACAAUGAGUUUAUAUACUACAAUACCAAGGAAAAGGAAAAGGAAAUGUAAAAGACUAAACUACCCUCAAACUAAUAAUUUAUUACAUUAACAUCCCCCUCAAACUCACGAUGCUAUAACAAGAAGCAGGAGAGUUUGACAAGCAAUUGUGUGGGACUUUGUGGAGAAGUCGACAAACUGCGACGACGAAGAACAAAAGUUAGGGAAAUAAUGCCGGUAAGCAGAUGAAGGCGAAUCAAAUGAACCAACCAAAUCACACAAUCUCAACUAAAUCAUACUGAUGCAAAUUUCAAAUUCCAAUUGAACUUGACAUAACAAUUCCAAAAUCCAACUAUGUCAAAUUCUCGACCCCAAAAACUGGGCAUAUACCAUACCAAAUUUUCAAUCCUGUGAACUGGGCAUACCAAAUCAAAUUUCCAAUCCCAUGAACUGGGCAUACCAAAGCUAACAACAAAUACCCAUCUUUCUCACAACUUAUCAAACACACAACUUGUCACUUUCCCAAAUCAUAAAUAUAAGUCACAUAUCCACAAAGUCCAACCAACAAAAAGGAACUCCAUAAUAAACAAAAAGGAACAGCAACAUAAAUGAAUGGCCCUAAAUGGCAAUAACCAUUAUUCUUGGUAGGAAGUGACUUUCUCAAACUAGCACCCAUUUGAACCUGACUCUCUACAUCCAGCUGGCCUGAGAUUUCUGCCCAGAUUCUUUCUUCACUUGCUGCAAACAUAUUUGUGCAUAAUGUGUAGACACAGUCCUUGCCAACAACUCGACAACCUUAUCGUAUGACUGGUUCCAAAGUGAGACAUCCUUCAAAUGAUUCACUUCUUGUUUCGGCCACAUCAACUUCUGUUCAAAAGCCUUCCUACUCUCCUCGAGCUGGUUCUGCUAAAACUUCUAGGUGACUGCUUCAAGCUCUAUCUUCCUUUCAAAUUUUCUUCCAAUUCAAGAAGUCCAUUAAAUAAAAACUAGCACAAGAAGCCCCAACAAUCCAUAUAAUGCAGCCCAAAACACCAAACCCAAAACCUUAACCUAACAGCCCACAAAAGAAACCAAAUUGCUGUCCAAACAUAUUUUACCCAAAAAUCAGCCAAUAACUAACCAAAAAAGCCCAAUCUACAGCCCAAUUACCACAAAAAUCGGCCUACAACCCAACACAAAUAUCUUCCACUUCUAAAAUCAAAGUCCAAGAUAAAACCCAAAUAAAUAAAUCAGCCCAAUAUCCCUUUUUUGGCCUAACACAAUAGUUUAAGCCCAACAAACAACCCAUAUAUAUUAAACAUAACUCCCAGCAGUCACAAGUGGAGACCCCGCACAAUAGCAUGCAAACCAUAGUACCAUACAGAAACUAUAAUCAGAAGAAAUCACCAACUGCACAAAUGGACGACUACCACGGUGAUGGGGUUCACAAGGUGAAUCCGACUAGAAAUUUUUUAACCACAAAGCAUCAAGAAAUUUAGACCAUCGGAUGAGCGACACAAGGCCGCUAGUCGGAGAAAGGAUGUGGUGAAACAAAUGCGGUGAAACAAGGAAAACUAUUUACGACAUAUUCAACCCUUAUUUGUUAUAUGUUAACAUAUGUCAAAACCAUACAAUGAUUGCCAAUUUAAAAUUUUUAAUAGAAAAGUUCUAUUGUGCAAUUAAGUAUUGGCUCUUUCAUCUUGGCACUGAAUUUAUUUAAGCAAUAUAAAUUAUAGAGUAAACAACAUAAGUGAUUUCCCAAAAAAAUUAAAAAAAAUUAAAAAAAAUAAAAAUCAAUAGGCAAGAAACAUAACUCAAUAAAAUCUAACUUUAUAAUGGGUUUUAAAUGGUUUUCUAUGUUUCGCCACAUUUAAGUAUUAGAAUUGCCAAUUUGUUUUACCUUUUUGGUUCAAGAAGUUGGAACUUAAAUUUUUUCUUGGAAUCAUUUGGUUGGGAGGGAAAUAAAUUUCAUUGCCAUUCUUGCAAUUGUCCUCCAGAAGUUUAAGCUCUUCAGUAUCACAUUUCAGAUUAGAAGAAUUCAACGUCAAUAACGCAGCAUGCGGAGCGUCAAAUUUUUGGGUUAUGUGUAAUGUUAUAUAAUGUUGGGUUUUUUUAUACCCAAUAAAUCCCAGGAUAUGAUGUUAACGUGGAUUAAUAUUAUUUCAUAAGUAUAGGCCGAUGAAUGAAAUAAGUCCAACAACCAAGUCCAUGAGCUACACUCGACCCAAUUGUAUUCCCUUAUGGAUGGCUUGAAUCUUGGCCUGUUAUCUCUUUAAUGGUCCAACUUAAAGCCUAUCCCUAGAGUAUACAUAUGGCUAUAACCCUAGCCACUUUCUCAUGAUGUAGUGUGUGAUUUUGAGAGAAGAAAAAGAGAAUCCCGGCUACCCUCCUUUUUGUGAGAAAAAAGGUCUCCAAGAGUGUUCAGAACGCUUGUAUAACGUGUGCAAUUGAUGGUUCCUUCAUAGUACACCUUUGUGGUGUCUCUUCCUAGCCUUUGUGGCCACAAAUCAUCAUCUUUUCUUGUCCUAUGUGGGCAAGAUUGAAUAGCAACCGAGGUGAAUCAAUUGGUUGUAGUUUGUAGCAGAUUGGACUGGUUGUUGAUUGAGAAAUGUGCGUUGGACUGAGUCCGAAAAUCACCGAUUUAUAGAUCUUUCAAGAAAGCUUCCGCAACAUAUAGCAAUAAUUCUCUAAAGGUUACAAUAAUGAGGGUUCCUUGUACUAUCAUCCACCCCCAUGUAACUGUAUAAAACAACAACUUGAAGAAUGCUCAACUAUUGUCAUCCUUCCAGUAUCACAUGGCGAAGUGGAAAAUACAACAAGAAACAAGAAAACAAUAGGAAUUCUUAUGCCUUUCUAGAGAAAAUUCUUAUAUGUAGCUCACAUUCUUGUCAAAGCCGACUACACGCACACUAAUUGAGCCAACCAACCCCGGAGUCCAACAACAUGAGAAUCAUCCAUUGGAUGUUCUAUAGUCACUACACCAAAAAUGGUCAUUUUCAGCACAUAAAAGGUAACAUUUGAUAUUUAAGUGUUGCUAAAGGGGGUCUAUUGCAACAUUUUAAUAAGUAAAUGUUGCAAUUAGUUACUUUUCGCAACGCUAAAAAAACAUUGCGAAAAAUAGCCUUUUGCAACCUUCUUUUAAACGUUGCAAAAGGAUAUAUUUUGCCACAUUUUCGAAUGUUGCAAAAAGUCUAACUUUCGCAACGUUUAAAAAACGUUGCCGCAUCCUUCUGCUCUACAGCAGCACUAAGAUUUACAACAUACGUCCAAACGUUGCAAAAGGUAUUCAGCUAUGUUUUUUGAACAUUGCAAAAUGUUGUUUUUGUUGAAGUGAGUAUCUUUAUAUGUAUGGAACUACUGUAUGAGAGUGAAUUAAUAUGAUAAUAAAGUAAUGUGAAUGUCAAGAAGGAGCAACAUAUGGAAGGAACUCAUUCCCUCCAAUGGAAUAUGAAAACUAAAAAACAGGAACAUUGUAAUGAUUUUCUUGACUUAACAUCAUUUGCAAAUUAAUACUUUAAGGUAAAUGUAUACAUUUCCUUGUUCUGUUUAUGCACUAGAAGAUAAUAAUUGUUUUCAUUAUAUUAAACAUUCUAGAGAAGCAUAAUCAUGGUUACCAUUCAAGAAUGUGUUUCUUCACACUCUGCACUCUGUCACUCUGAUGAUGCAUGAAAAGUGCAUAUAUGCUUCACGCAUGUUGCGCACAUGAUGCACAUAGGUGAAAUUGUUUUGUUUUAGGAUUUUGCCUUCAAAAUUAAUUUUUUGUAUGAAAAAAUUUAUUUUGGUUCCUAUUCUCCAUUCAAAUUCUAUCCCCACCCAUUGCCAACUAUUAUGGAAAAUUUUCACUUUUAGUCCCCAACAUUUGCAAAAUGUUAUUAAUCUGGCCUCAACCCUUUUAGGCACCCGUGACCCUUGAGCUUUCAGAUGUAUAGUAAAAUUUGUCCUUCCGUCUACUUCUAUCAUUAAACUCAGGUAAAAUAACAAAUUUACCCCAUCUUGAAUAAAUACGAAAAGAAGAAGAAAACAUAAUGAAAAAAAUAAGAGAGAAAUUGUUGUGAAAGUUCUAAAUAUUUUCAAAACAAAAUAGAUAAUACUUUUCCCCAACCAUCCCCAUUCCUUAACCCAAUCCACCCCACCGCCACCAUUAUAGCCACACAACCUCCCACCACCACUCAAGGGCGGACGCAGGAAUUUUUAGCUCAGGGAUAAAAUCAAAUUCUGUACAAAUUGAAUAUCUUUUUAUUGAUUUUUAAAUGAUUUAUAUUUGAUCCAAGAAAAUGCAGAUUUACAUGUAAAAAAAAUUUUCAUUAAUAUUUUGCUCAUAAUUUUCAUUUAUUUGAUUUCGAACAAUCAUUUUAUUAAUAUUUUGCUCAUCACAAGAAAAUUCAUAUUUAUGUUUAAAAAAUUUAUAGUGUAUUUAAUACUUUAAUCAAUUCAAGUGACUCAAAAGAAAAACUUAUAACCAAUAUUCAAUCAAAUAAAUAAAAUUUGUUAAAUAUAAGUUAAAUUAAAUAUAAUCAGUUCAGACACAUUCUAUGUAUGCAAAUAUAGUAGGAGAAAAUGCAAAUUUGGAUUCUAAUUAAUUGAAAAUUUGAUUGAAAUGUAAAAAAUUGUGGUAGAUGUGUAGAUGUGAUAAUUUGUAGAAAAAUUUUAAACAAGUUUUAAAAAAUUAGAAGGAUUAAGGCUUGGUAAAAUGUGUGAAGGAGAGAGUAAAUAGACUUAGAGAAAAGAAAAGAAAAAAAUUCAAAUUUAUUGUGAUUUUGCCCGGUGGGGAUUAAAAUCAAUUUUUUAGUAAAUUUUGAUAAAAGGUAAAAAGUUAAGGAUUUCUUGAAAAUAUGUUAUUAAAAUUAAUUAUUAACUUUGAUUAAGAUUAAAAUUAAAAUUUUAAUCGAUACCAAAUAGGACUUAUCUCAAAAAAAAAAAAAAAAAUAAUAAUAAUAAAAAUGGUAUCUCAAAAUCGAGGGGGUCACUUGACCCUGCAAGGCCCCCUUGGGUCCGCCCCUGCCACCACUACUAUCCAACCAUCCACAUACGACCCUCAACACCCAUGCAAUUUGCAAUUAAAAUAAAAAAUGAAAAAUGAGAAAACAGAAACAUUCACAUCUCCAAGCCAUCCCACAUCGAAUCGAACAUAGGCCAAAUCAAGAAAUGGAAAAUUUUCAAAACAAAUUCAUGCCCCUUUCUCUCCUACCUAUUUAUUUAUUUUAGUUGAUGGGUUAUAAUCGAGCAGUUCCAAACAUGGCUAAAAUCAAAUCAUCGAGAAAUCUUUUCAAAAUGUUUCUCAACCACCAGCUAAUUGUCAUCGGCAACAGUAGCAGCAUCAGUGGUGCGCUUAGUUGGGUCACAGAUUCCCAGAGAAUCAUAAUUUCUCCUGCUUUUAGCUUUGUAUUUAAAGAUUUAACCUUAAUUUCAGAUCUUGCCUCCUCAAAGAGAUGAAUGAGUACAUAAAUACUCCUAAGUCCGGGUUUUACCUACAAUUACAAUAUUUACACUAAUUAAGUGGCAAUCCUAAGUCAUCUUUGGCACCAUGUAGUACAUUAAACAGUCUUUUCAUCCAAUCGCCACAAGUACAUAGAAUUCAGUCGAAAGAGAAGGAAAAGAUUCUGAUGAUCACACCAGUGUCUUCUGAGUAAAAACUCCACUUUAUGCUCCGUUUGUUCCUUGGAUAAUCUGUAACUUUUUUAUUGAUCAUCAGAUUUAUGUAAUAUGAUUCACGAGUGCAAUCAAAAGAAAGUGACUAAAAUAAUAUAAUUGAUCCUGAUACUGAUCCGUGCAUGUAUUUAUUAGCUAAAAAGAGCUUCAAAUCCUGGUGCAGAUAAAUAAACAAAGAGAUAAUAUACAUAACCAUUAAUAAAGCACAACUCGACCUUAUAUUACAUAUGCUAUGGCUAUAAUGUCUAAUAUCCAAUCUGUUCAUCUGCACAAUCUUCUCAUAUCCUGAAAUUCAAAAUAUUUAUUAAGAAGGUUCCAUUGAGUAUCUCCAGGGGAGGAUUGCCGCCCUAGUUCGAUUCGUUGGGGAGAAUUUUAUUUUAUUUGCUGAUAAUAGAUAGAACUUUUAGAUUAUAUAUUUGAUAAUUCAUAUUAAUAACAAACAUCUUUGGUAACUCAGCUGUUUAGCCCUUCCACUAUUGAAUUGGAGGUGCCGUGUUCAAAACUUUUCAAGAGCAAUAUUUUUUAUAAUUUUUGUAUUUAAACAAAUUUUUCUUUAAACAUAUUGACCACUUACCACCGUGCACUUAUUGAUUUUUAACACAUAAUGUAACAAAAUAAUAGAUGUUCAAUUUUACUGAAACAUUUUAACCGGUGCUUUGUCCCUCUUUUUGAUUUUCUUGCUCUUUUUUCCCCCUCUAAUCAAUUGAUUUGAUAGUUCGGUCAAUUAAUGGUGGAUGAAUUUGUAGGAAAAUUGACCUUAGUGUCAUAAAGAAUAUUCCAAUAGAACUUAUUUAAUUAAUAAAAUGUUACACUUUUCAUUCACAAAAAAUCAAUUGUGAAAAAGUGGAAUCAUACAAGCACAUAAAAUUGAUAUAAGCACAUCAAUAAUUUCAAUUUUGUUAAUAUAAUAAUACUUGGAUAAUUAAAUUUAAUUGUAAAUUGAAUAUUGGCAUUUUGUUAAUUUAUAUUGCAUAUUUAAUUGAAAAAUAAAUUAGGGCAUUUUGCAAAUUAUGAAGCGGAUUUUUUUAUCCAAAAUAAAAGUUUGUACCAAAUUCUAGUUCUAGUGGUGUAUCUAGUUCUAUUAGUUCUAAUCUGUACGAUUUUUUUGAAUAUUAUUUAAUUAAUUAUUAAUAAAAAACUCCACCAUCACGGAUGUUGGCCAUUGAUAGUGAACUUUUAACACUCACGGUCCUCCUUAACUGAACUCGACCCUUGGAUUUGCCCUUGAGUAUCUCCAUGCGAGAAUCAAUCAGAUCCGAAAAGAUAAUUUAUCCAAUAUUCAUGUGGGUGCAUGUGAAACUUCAAAUAAUAUCUUCGAUGCACUUGGCGAGUGAGAAAAUUGCACAAUGUUGAUCAAGGUGUUGGCCGAAGACAAGCAUGGCCUUUCUUCCAAUACAUGGUGGUUCAACCCAAUUACAACUCUGGAGGGGUUUAAACAUUGACGAUGGUAAAGACUCUACAAGGCAUUACACACAACUCACAGAGUGGGUGUCUAUGUACUUAUCUUUUACCUCAUAUUGGUAUAAGACAGAUCAUUUGUGUCAAGUUGUUUGUAAUUUGAAUUAAUGUUGAUUGUAAUCAUUUUAUGAUCAUGGUGGAUUUGCAAGAAUAAGAUCGGAUGUUUCUCUAGUUUUGGGUUUUACGACGUAAAUGUGUUCAAGCAUUACUAAUUUAAUUUACUUUAUUGCCUGCUUAUUCCACUAACUUGAACUUAUUGAUCAACGCAAUUGAAAGUGAUUCAAGCAAGUAUGAAUGUGGUCAUUGCACGCAUUAAAGGUUGAACAUUUCAAUUUAUAUAAGAAUUGUUGCGUGAGCUCAAGUAAAAUAAAUUCAUAAUAUGUUCUGAAACAGUGAAUUAAUAUUUCCAGGUAUUCAUGCAUAUUGACUAUUUUAGAAAAAAAUGUCACGAAAUUUAAAAUACAUUUACAGCAAAUUUAAGCCCUUCUAGGUUAUUUUAUCAUAGGUCUAAACCUUGAAAAGGUCGCCAAUUUAAAGUUUGAAACAAAAGAAAAGUUCUAUUGUGCUAUUAAGUAUUGGCUCUUAUAUCUUCGCACUAAUUUAUUUUAGCAAAAUAAAUUAGAGAACGAAAUAAAAAUAAACAUAAUUUCUCUGAAUAAGAAAAACACUAAAUUAAUAAUUAAUAGGAAAGUAACAAAAAACAGUAUUGGGUAUUAAAUGGUUUUCCAUGUUUUCCUGCAUUUAGAGUACUUGAAUAGCCAAUCUGUUUUACCUUUUGUGGUUCUGAAAGUUGCAUGUUAAAAACUUAUUGAGAUCCUUUGGUGGGAAGGGAAAAAUAUAUUGCCAUUCUGGUAAUUGUCCUUUUUAAGUUUGAGCUCUUCUGAAUCACAUUUCAUAUUAGAAAAAUUCAUCCUCAAUAAAUCGGCAUGUGGAUAGUCAAAUUUAGGUUAUGGCAUUAUUCGGUAGAGAUUUUGAGAAUUGAUUUUUUGACCGUUAGAAGAAAAGUGGGAUCACCUGUGAGAGAAGAAGUCCAAAACUACGGCUAAAAUAGUGAAAUAAUGGUUAAAAAAUUAAUUUUUUAUGGUGAAAAAUCACUCCCAAACAUUCUCUAUGUCUAAAAUUAUAUGGCAAGAAUAUUCUACCUACACCAUAGUGAAAUGAGGGUUCCUUGUACUAUCCUUCACCCCCAUAUAACAGAAUAAAAAACAACUUAAAUAGUGCAAACCUAUUGUCAUCCGUCCAGUAUCACAGUGCUGCAGUGGAAAAUACAAGAGGAGAACACGAACAAUUGGAAAAUUCUAAUGUCUUUCAGAGAAAAUUCUUAUAUGUUGAUUACAUUCUUGUCGGCCCACUACAAGUGCACCAAUUGGGCCAACCGACUCCAAAGUCCAACAACGCAAGAAUCUUUCAUUGGUUGUUCUACAAUAUAAUAAUUAAAAAAAAAAAAAAAAGGGUUGAACCCCAACCUUGAGGGCCUCCACUGCCCUGCCCCUAGAGCUUUGCGAGGGAGGUAAGUCGCGAGAUGUGCCUCAACAGACCAGAGAACAAGAGCUGGCUGUACAUUGCGCCUACAAGGAGUCCAAUUCCAUGUCUCAGGAAUCGAACUCCCAUAUUGCGGCUGCUAUCAAAGUAUGAGAUAACAUCACUCUUGUCCUUUGCACCACUUGAUUAUGCUCCGGAGGGCGGUUGUUCUACAAUAUCUAUAUACGCAUGUGGCAAUGUCUCAAUAGUAUGUGGGGGAAACAAAUAUGUUAAUAAAACAACGUGAAUAUUAGGAAGGAACAAAAUAUGCAAUAACCCAAUUCCUUUAAUAGAAUAUGAGAACUAAAAAAAAAAAAGAAAAGAGCAUUGUAAUGAUUUUGUUGAAUUAAUAAGCUAAGUUUAUUAAGUAUAUAUAUCAAUAUCAGGGCGGGGGAAGGGGGUGGCCCAGACCUGACCCCAGGGCCAGUUACUUUAAUAAGGUAAAAAAAUGUGAAAAUUACAAGGACUACUUGUUUUCAAUAUCACAAUUAUAAUUAAGAGUUAUAAGUUUUGUCUCCAUUUGUUUUUUUUUUUUUUUCAAAAGUCGGAUAUAAUUAAAAUUCUAAAUAUUGGUAAUAAUAUAAUAAAAUUAAAUUAAUUAACAUACUCCUUCCACCCCAUCUCCACUCACAAACCCUAAAUUCAUUUUCAUUCCUCCCUCUCCUUUCUCGCCCCCUCUCUCAUAUCCCAUCCAACCCAUUCAAAUCUUUAUCUAUUGACUCUAUACACUCUUUCUCCCACAUGGAACGUCAUCGUCGAAGAACUCCAUCACUUGUGAUGAUGCUUUUUUGUUUUGUUGGAUGGAUGUUGGUUUCUUCCAUAUUUUGACGGUGUCAGGGUUUUUGGAUGGUUUUUGUUGGUGGCAGUGGAGUGCGGUGAAUAGCGUUUGAUCAAGUAUUUAAAUGUUGUGACUAAUAAAUUGGUUAAUUUGAAAUCAAUAAAUAGUUUAUGACCUAAAAUUAUUUGAUAAUAUCUAAAUUUGGAAUUGUAACUCAGUGUUGUGACCAACUAAUUCGACAAUUUGUGACAGUGAAAAAACUUAUGACUCUUAAAAUUAGUAAUUUGAUCAAUGAAUAAAUUGUGACCUAAGAAAUUUUUGAUUUGUGAACUCUAUGAAUUUUUUUUUAUUUUUGACGAGAAAUAAUUUUUUGAUUAAUUAAUACGAUAAUUUGUGACCAUAUUAUAUAAAAUUUUGAUCUUAAUAUAUUUAAUUAAUAAAGUACAUAUUUAAUUAUUUAUUUUGUAAAUAAAUUUUAAAUAGUGUUUGAUUUUUGAAGUAUUAAACUUUGUUUCUUAAUUUUGAAUGUGUCAUAAUUAAUCUAUUAGAAAUGAAAUUUUCCCAAAAACAUUUGUGGAAAACAUUUUUUCUAUGCAUCAGUCCAAUAUAAAAUAUAACUUUUGUCCCCAUGGCUAUGCCCCUGAGUCCCUGACCAAGAUGCUAUACAAUCUUAGAAUAACUAUACACAUCUGUUUGAUCGUUGUCAUCUUGGUGAUUGCUUUGUAGACUAUUGUUGUUCUUCAUAUGGAUCCCUUGAUUUUCGUUUUCAUAGUUAUGAAACCGAAUAAAAAUUUUGAAACUCAUUCAUAACUAUUUUUAGGUGAGUCAUAAAAAAAUAUUUAUAUAUUUUCAUGUUCUAUUUGUCUUCCAAAAAAUUAUUCUACUUUUCAUUAUAUUAAACAUUCAUUCAUUAUAUAGUUACGAUUAUCAUUCAAUAACGUAUUGCUUCACACAAUGUAGUCAUGUUAAACAAUAGGUGCAUGCACGGCACACAGAUGCUUCACUUUUUAUGCAUUAAGGGAAAUUGACACUUUCCAUCCCCAACAUUUGCAAUAUGUUACCAAUCUACCCUUUUCUAGGCACCAAACAUCCUCGACGUUUGGUAAAUGUUGCAAUACUUGUCCUUCCAUCCAUUUUGAUUGUUAAAGUCAAGUAAAAAUGAUGAAUUUCCUCCAUCUUUGUAUAAAUAUAAAAAGAAGAAAGAAACAAAAUAGACAAACAAAAAUUGCAGCAAAAGUUCUAAAUCUUUCCAAAAUGAAAGCCUUCUUGUCCAACCACCACUGAUUAGUGUCUAAAAGUGCUUCAAAAAUAUAUCAUUUACAAGGCAUUUUACAUUCACUUUGUUUAAAUUCACUAAUGUUAGUCUCUAAUUUCAAUUCUCUUGCCGUAAAUUCAAUUUUCAUAAAUAUAUGAUAAAAGUGCAAUUAAUUGAAAUACGUAUUUAUAUACAUGUCGACAGGAGUAUUAUACUUUUGAAAUAGUAUUUAUUUGAUGUAUUUCACAUGUAUUUCCAAGGUAGAACAAAUGGAGCAAGUGGAGAAAAAAUGUUGAAAAGUCAAGAAUAUCGGCUGUCUCCAGUAAAGAUGCAACUGUCUCAGUAAAAUUGUCAUAACUCGAGUUGCAGAUAUCGAAACAAGGUGAUUCAAAUUGGGUGGAAAAGAUACGAUAUGUAUCUACAACUUUCAUGUUUACCAAGAAAUCAAAUUCGCAUCAUAAGGCAGCCAAAAUUACAGUGCAAAGUCCAGCUUGUUACCUACUGGAUAGAGCUUUUCUACCUGUGAAGCAACACUCAUUUUUUUGGUCAUAUCUAGAGUUAUCGAGAUCUAAUGGACUUGAUAUUUACACCAAUGGAAAUCUAACUAAAGUUAUACCAAUUUAUCUGUUGAUCAUAAGUCCAAAUUCAGGGCACAAAGUAUCUGAAAAUUGGCAUCAACUUGUUUCUGUUCAGCUUCAAGACAGCUGGAACAUGCAACUUGAUGCCAAUUUUCAGAUACUUUUUGCCGUGAAUUUGGACUUAUGAUUCGCAGAUAAACUGUUACUACUUAAGUUAGAUUUCCAUUGGUGCAAAUGCCAAGUCCAUUAGAUCUCUAUAACUUCAGAUAUGGCCAAAAAAAUGAGUGCUACUUUACAGGUAGAAAAGCUGUAUCCGGCAGGUAACAAGCUGGACUUUGCACGGUAAUUUUGGUUGCCUUACGAUGUGAAUUUAUUUCUUGUUAAACAUAAAAGUUGUAGAUACAUAUCUUGUCUUUCCAACCCAACUUAAAUCACCUUGUUUCAAUAGCUACAGCUCGAGUUAUGAAAAUUUUACCGGGAUAGUUGCAUCUUUACUGGAGACAGCUGAUAUUCUUGACUUUUCUACAUUUUUUCUCUACUUACUCCACUUGUUCUACCUUGGAAAUAUAUGUGAAAUACAUCAAAUAAACUCUUUCAAAAGUAUAAUACUCAUGCUGACAUGUAUUUAAAUAUGUAUUUCGAUUAAUUGCACUUUUAACCAUAUAUUUAUGGAAAUUAAAGUUACGACAAGAGAAUUGAAAUUAGAGACUAACAUUAUGAAUUUAAACAAAGUGAAUGUAAAACGCCUUGUAAAUGAUAUAUCUUUGAAACACUUUUAGACACUAAUCACACUCCCCGACCAAGAUAUUGCUAGUCUCUAGCAAUAAAAAAUUCAAAAAUAGUUCAAAUGAAAUAGCUUGUUGCACUUGCCUUAGGAUUUGAAACUGCUUAACAAAAUUUUUCUAAGGUUUGCUACCAAAAUAUAGUCUAACUUGUCCAAUGCUUGACCAACGUGUGUGUGCAUAAUCAAUUCAAUCGCAUACCUUUUCAAAUUGGACUCAUCCCAAUCCUCAAUGGUCAAUUAUUUCUCUCUUCUCUCGUGGGAUGCACACCCCCAAACUUGAUUUUGUAACUAUUUUCCUAAGGUGUGAUUUAUGGUUGUACUAUUACUCACCCUCUCUAGUUUGGUUAGAUUUUACUAAUUGUAGCUCAACACGUCAAUAAAUGAGGAUUCUCCUUAAUUUUGACUGAUUCAACCGUCAAGAAUCAACUAAGCUACUAAUCCCUUAUCAAAUGUCUAAUUCGUUUAAAUAAGUGUCCGGGACUUAAUCAAGGCAUGUAGUGCGUCUUCUGUUUCAUGCAUUUGCUUUUUUCAAGUUUGCUGUGCGAAUUCUGCUUCAUGCACUAGCCUGAUAUCUUUAUAUAUAUAUAUAUAUAUAUAUAUAUAUAUAUAAUUGUCGCCAUUGGGCUCUUUUAGGGUAGCUUCACAACGUGGCAGCUUUUUCCCUUCUAUGCAUUGAUUAGUGUAAUGCCCUUCAUUAAACACUAUUCUCGAAAAUCGAUCCUUAACUUAAGAUUUCCACCUAAUUAUCAUCUCAUUGGUUUUAUGCAAUCCACACAAAAUUUAACACACAUGGAAUCCACGUCUAUCUCAAUGUCUCCUUACAACAGCUCAGCCACCCUAAACUAUUAGAAUUGGUUUAGUUGGAAUUUUAUCUUUAUUUUAUUUUGGUCUAGUUAAUUCUACAUAUUCUAUCCAUUGAUCCAAUCUAAAUAAUAUGUGAUUUUCAUGAUUAUUGUGCUCAAUGUAAAUCAAUCUAACAUGAACAAGCUUCAACUAAAUCAAAGUAGCAUCCCCUAGUCACAGUUCAUAAUAUAAAAAUAAUUUCAAAUAAUAUCAUCAUCGGUUGAUAAGAACUAUUUUUUUUAAAAAAAAAAAUUGAUUCCUUUCCCCUCAACCUAAAUGAAACAUUGUUCUCAAUGUGAAGAUUAAACAUGCAAAAUGUAUGAAGAAUAGUAAGGAGCAAAAUUUUGAACAGAGGGACGGGUGUUGAGCUUUACCUGGAGAGUCUGCAUAAAUUUGGCCUAAAUGAACCUUCAAUUUCAUUAGUGAAAAAAAAAACGACAAUAAAAGAGACAGACCUAAAACAAACAUAGGACAUUAUAAAACUCAAAACAAACAUACAAAAUAAAACAAUGAGAAAAAGAUAUCAGUCUUUAAGAUCAUGUAAAGUAAUGGACUCUUCUAAUCUAGAGAAAUUCUCAAAAAAUGGUUUCAAACGAUGUCCAUUAACUUUAAAAAUAUUUUCGUUACUUGGAUUUUCAAUUUCUACAGUUUCAUGUGGGUAAACAGUUUUGACAAGAAAGGACCAGUCCACUUGGAGAAUAAGUUUUUAAGGAAAUAAAUGUAACCUGGAGUUGUACAAAAGAACUUUUUGGGAAGGCUCAAAAGUUUUUCUAACAAUGUUUUUAUAAUGGAAUACCUUCAUUCUUUUCUUGUAAAUUUGAGAGUUCUCAUAAGCUUUAUUCCUGAUUUCUUCCAACUCGUUUAGUUGAAGUUUCCUAUAGUCGAUACACAUGUGCCAACCAGUAACAGUUCUAGUUGGAAUUAACUCAUUUUCUUCAUUUUUGACUACCGUAACACUAGAUUUUUUUGGUACAACUUUGGUUGGACUUACCCAUCUACUAUCAGAAAUAGGAUAAAUGAUUUCAUUAUCUAAGAGUUUAAUAACUUCAUUUCUUACCACCUCUUUUAAAACAUGAUUAAGUCUUCUUUGCAUUUCUCUUGUAGGUUUAGCAUAUUCCUCCAAAUAAAUCUUAUGUAUGCAAAUCAAAGGACUAAUCCCCUUUAUAUCAGCUAUGGUCCAUCCUAAAUCAUUUUUAUGCAUUUUUAAAGUUUGUAACAACUUACUUUCUUGGUGCGUAUCAAGUUGGGAAGAAAUUAUUAUCGGAAAAGUUUCAUCUUCACCCAAAAAUAAGUAUUUCAAAUUAGAUGGUAAUGGCUUCAAAUCGAGUUUUGGCAUUUGAACACUUGAAAUCAUGGACAUAUUGGACUGUUGUGAUAAUUUUUCAGACUUUGAUUUCUAAUCACUUGUCUUUUUCUCCUGAAAAGAAUUCAAUAAAGAAAUUACAUGCGAAAUUUUAGAAUUAUCGUUAAAUUCAAAUUCUAGCGCAUCAGAUAAAGAUGUAGCGAUAAACUGAUCAUCAAUGAGUUGUUCAAUAAAAUCUACUUCAUGCAAAUCAUCUUUAUCUCCAUGUUGCUUGUAAAUGUUAAAAACAUUCAUUUCCACGGUUAUAUUUCCAAAAGAGAGUUUCAAGAUACCAUUUCUACAAUUUAUCAACGCAUUUGAAGUAGGAAGAAAGGGGUUUCCUAAAAUGACAGAUAUUUGUGCAUUUGAUUUAAAACAGGAUGUGUGUCCAAAAUUAUAAAGUCAACGGGAUAAUAGAAUUUAUCAAUUUGAACUAGAACAUCCUCUACAACCCCUCUUGGAACUUUUACUGAACAAUCAGCCAGCUGAAGUGUUGUUGUUGUUGGUUUAAGCUCUCCCAAACCAAGUUGCUCAUACAAAAAAUGUUAAUAGAUUAACGGUAGCACCAAGAUCAAGCAAAGCACGCUCUAUCCUAUUAUUCCCAAUCACACAAGAAAUUGUUGACAACCAAGAUCUUUGAAUUUAGGUGGAGUGUUUUCUUGAAUGAUUGAGCUCACAUUCUCUGUCAAAAAUGUUUUUUGUUGAACACUAAGUUUCCUCUUAACAGUGCACAAGUCUUUUAAAAAUUUUACAUAUGAAGGAACUUGUUUGAUUGCAUCCAAUAAUGGUAUGUUAAUUUUGACUUGUUUGAAAAGUUCAAAAAUUUCAGAAUUAUGGUUGAGUUUUGAAAUUAGAUGCAAUCAUUGAGGAAAUGGAGCUGGAAUGGGCCAUUUUUCAACACUAGGUUCAGAAAUGAUUUUUUCCUCAGUUUUGGAAACAUCAUUUUCUUGCUUUGAAGUCUCACCCGAUUUUUGUUCUUUUGAAGGGAUAGUUUUGUCAAUAAUUUUUUCACUACGAAGAGUCAUGAUGGAGUUGGCAUUUUCUUUUUGACUUUCGAAGGAACUAGAAGCAUUUACAUUAAAUUGCCCAGAAGGAUUUGGUUAAGGUUGAGCAGGAAAUUUACAUUUCUCUUGAGAAUGCAAAGAAAAGGUCAAUGAAGAAAGUGUGUUCUUGAUUUCAUUGAUGGCUAGUGAAGUUUGAUUAUUAAUGUUUGCUUGUCCUUGCAUGAAUGAUUGAUGUUUCCUCAAGAGUUUUUUUUAUUGUGGUGGUGGAAAAGAAAGAAAUUUUAAAAGCCCUUGAGGUUGUGAUAUAUGAACACGAUUAUCAUUUCUCCAACUAAAGUUGGGAUAAUUUCUCCAUUUUUGAUUAUAUGUUUCUGAGUAUGGAGAACGAAAAGACUUUUUAAAAGUGUUCAUAGCAUUGGAUUGAUCAUGUAAAGUUUCUUUGAAGACUGGGAUGUUAGGACAAUCAUGCGUUGGAUGCCCAAAAGUUUCACAAAUGCUACAAAUUUCAUUAUUUUUCACAGGUUUAACUUCCUUUACUUUCCUUAACUCCAUAGCUUCAACCUUUCUAGACAAACUAGCAAUCCUAGCACUUAGAUCAUCAUCUUGAUUCAAUUGAUAUUUUCGUCCACUAGAACUAGCAAGACUAGAUCUGAUUGAGUUUUCGAUUGGUUUUACUGUUUGCCAAGAUUGAGAAUUUUCAGCUAGAUGAUCUAGAAAUUCUAAAACUUCAUCUGGAUCUUUAUCUAAAAAUUCACCAUUGCAUAUCUUUUUUACAAAUUGUUUUGUUUCAGGAUUUAAGCCCUUAUAAAAGAAAAUUAUAGUACGUCAUUUUUCAAAACCAUGAUGUGGGCAUGUAUUUAACAAAUUUUAAAAACUUUCUAAACAUUGAAAGUACACUUCAUUGGGUUUUUGAGAAAAAUUUUGGAUUUGUCUUUUCAAAGCAUUAGUUUCAUGUGCUGGAAAGAAUUUCUUCAAAAAAUCACUUUGCAUUUCUUGCCAUGUGCCAAUCAACCUUGGUUUUAAAAAGUUAAGCCAAGUUUUUGCUUUAUCUUUUAGACAAAAAAGAAACAAUUUCUACUUAACAAUGUCAUUGGGGUAAGUUUAAUCGUUAAAUGUGGCACAUACUUCCUCAAAUUCUUUAAGAUGCAAAUAUGGACUUUUAGAUUCUAAGCCAUGAAAAUUAGGAAGUAAUGGAAUCAUACUCGGCUUGGAUCGAAAAUUAUUAGCAUUAAGAGGGAAAAUGAAACACGAAGGAGCAGAAUUUCGAGGAGGUUGCAAGUAAUCACGCAUGGUUCGUACUUGUUGGUUUUCAUUUUCAUCAUGUACGCUUUCAUUAUCAGCCAUGGUGGAAGAUGUGAGUGAGUGUUAAGGUGAGUCAAAUAAAUUACUAAAGAAAGUUUCACAAUUAUCUUUAACUAAACGAUGAGAAUUGAAAUCACGAUACCAAUAUGACAUAAAAUAACAUAAACUAGAAAUAAAAAAUGAAAAUUAGGUGGCAUGGCCAACCAUAUAAUAAUGUAAAAAAGGAAAAUUAGGUGGCACGGCCUUCCUUUUAAAGUAAAAUAACUAAAGUAGUAAGAUCGAAAAGGAACGAGUCUACCUAUUUUAUGAAGAUUAGAAAACCUCACAGAAAGUAGCAGAAAAUAAUCCUUGACGCAAAUCCCUAGCAACGGCGCAUCUUCCACCUGUCUUGAAGCUAGAUAGAAACAAGUUGUAUUGUCCACUUAUAUUUUAAAUAUUCCUUUGCCUAUAAAAGGGGACCUUGGCCAAGAUUUUGAGAGCAUCAAUUCCUCUCUAUCAUAUUCUAGUUUCUUUCAUUUUCUUUGUAACAUUUCAUUAUGUAUUUCUAAACCAUUAGCUAAAGCUAGGGGUAAAACUUUGGUAAAUGUGUAGUAUUGUCUUUGAUCUUUCACUUUGUUCUUCAAUGUUCAUCUUCUUACUUGGUUGAAGUAUAUGUUCUACAAAUGAUUUUGGUUUGUUAAAGACUUUGAUUUAUUGUUGACAAUUUUGGCACAAUAAAUGCUUAGAUAAUCUCUACAUACCAACAACUUAUUUUGACAUAUUCUCUCAAAUAAUUAUCAAGAUCUAUUUUUUAGUAUAUUUGCGAUCAAUGUUUUAUCUUCCAUAUGAGAUCACUCCUUAGUUGAUGUCCAUAUGAGUUAAGUAAAAGAUCAAGAGCAAUUUCUACCCAUUUAUCCAAAGUGAAUCCCCAACGCUCUAGUGCUCUGCUCCAUCGUAUUUCCACCUACCAUUUACCACUCAUAGAAUAGUUUAUUUCCUUCCAAUUGUCUGUGGUUUGACCUCGGACUUUCGAGUUUACUACUUGCAACAACCUGUACUUGGGUUUGCAACCUCAAAGUUGUAGCAACCACCAAUCCCCACCCGAUCAGCCCCGCACACAACCUCACAACACAACCAUUGCUACCUCUAUUACCUACCUACAACUUUCCUCAACUCCUUAGUUGAUGUCCAUAUGAGUUAAGUAAAAGAUCAAGAGCAAUUUCUACCCAUUUAUCCAAAGUGAAUCCCCAACGCUCUAGUGCUCUGCUCCAUCAUAUUUCCACCUACCAUUUACCACUCAUAGAAUAGUUUAUUUCCUUCCAAUUGUCUGUGGUUUGACCUCGGACUUUCGAGUUUACUACUUGCAACAACCUGUACUUGGGUUUGCAACCUCAAAGUUGUAGCAACCACCAAUCCCCACCCGAUCAGCCCCGCACACAACCUCACAACACAACCAUUGCUACCUCUAUUACCUACCUACAACUUUCCUCAAACCUAUGCCAAUUGGAACAAAAAAAGAAACAUCCCCAUCGCCAACCCAGCUCUAUCAAAUCAAGCUUAGGCCAAAUUAAGAAACGAAAAAUAUUAAAAAUAGAAAUUGGUCCCCCCUCUCUCACACACAUCGAGAGUUCCUCACAUUGUUCCUUUUGUGGUUAUCUUUGUUUCAGUCAAUGGGUGAUAAUCAUGCAAUUCCAAACAUGGCUACAACAUCCAAUAUAUUCAGGCUGAAAUAGGGUUUAAGUUGGUGGAAUCGUAUUCGGUGAUGUAUUUCAAUGCGUGAGGGAUGCUAAGGCGAGGGUUGACCAGACAGAGAUGGACUUUGAGAAUGAUCCCACAUCAAAAUACCAUAAUUUGCUACAUCAUGCACAGGCUAAUUUGAACGAACCUUAGCUAUUGAUGAGGUUUCUAGAAGCGAAAAGCUGGGUCUCGUUGGGCGUGUGAAAGGGACCAUAACACCCGAUAUUUUCAUGGGAUGGUCCAAGGAUGUUAGAUCAAAUCUCAUAUCAGGACUAUCAUGACUUAUGCAGGGGAAGAUCUCUCUACUCAUGUAGAUAUUAAGAGCUCGGUAAUCUCAUAUUUUCAGGAUUUAUUAUCUGCUCCAUCACGGCCUUUGGAUCCCAUACAUCCUAUCAUUAUACCUAGGUGUAAGAGAUGAUUUUUAGUAUUGAUGCUAAUAGUAUUGCUAGCUUAAUGAAUUCUCUUUCUGCUUCUACCAGCACUGUUGGGAUAUUUUAAAGGAUGAUGUGUAUGGUGCAGUUAUUGACUUCUUUGAGCAUGGUCAUCUACCACGAGGCUUUACUACUACCUCAAUUAUCUUACUCCCAAAGAGGGAGAAUGGUUAUAGAUGGAUGCAUUAUCAACCUAUCACCUUGUGUACAAUAAUAAGCUUAUCAUUAAACCAGUGAACACCGAAUUGAGUUUAUUGCUGCCUCGUAUCAUUUUCUCUCAGCAGAGUGAUUUUGUCUCCGAUUGCCUUAUUGGGGACAAUGUUUCAUUGACUCAGGAGCUCAUCCAUAUGUUGGAUGAUAGAAUGUGUGGAUGAAAUACUAUACUAAAGCUAUAUAUGGCAAAACCAUAUGAUCAUACGGACUGAUGAUUCAUUUACUUUAUACUGGAUUUAUUUAGUUUCGACCAGUAUGGAUUGAUAGGAUCAAAUGGUGUAUCUCGGAGUACUGAUUUUUCUGUGCUCUUAAAUGGUCAUCCAUGUGGCUUCUUCUCAUCCCCACAUUGAUCCUAUCUCCCUGGCCAAUUGGUGAAAAGAAAUAAGAGUGGUCUUAUACUGCCUCGAUGAGCAAUGAAUAUACAGAUACUAAAGUCAGUGAUUUUAAUUGGAUUUUUACAUCAGCAAUGGCCAUUUACAUACUUGGGAGUCGCCUUAUAUAAAGGGGCUAAAAAGUGACCUCAUUGUGAAGUUUAGAAGUAGGAUUUCAGCAUGGGCAUCAUGGUUUCUAUCUUAUGGUUGUAGGAUUACUCUGCUGAGAUCAAUUCUCUCCUUUUUACCAUUAUAUCUCUUUCAUAUUUUACGACCUUCCUAGCCUCUACUGAAAAAGUUGAAGAGUAUAUUUACACGAUUCUAUAGGAAUUCAAAGGAUCAUGCACGGUGCUCAUAUUAGUAAAGUUGGAAGAAAAUUUGCCUCUCUAUUGAUUAGGGUGAAUUGGGCUUCAGGAAAUUACAGGUUAUGGUGGACACGUUCUCCUUAAAACUAUGGUGGCUAUUUAGGUCUCAGAGUUCUCUUUGGGCUCAAUUUUUGUUGGGCAAAUACUGUGGAUGGACACAUCCGUCACUUGUAGCAAUUCCUUAUUAAUGUAGGAGGGUCCGAAUCAAGCGAUGUCGAGUUGUCAAAUAGCACGUUGAUGGUGCUAAGAUACCAUGAGAUGGCAGAUCGGCACAAAUAUGGCAAUUGAUCGCAAUCUUUUCCUAAUUGGGGAAGUUUUGAACAUGUUUCAGUAAUUUAACCAUAACUUUGGCUACAAUUAUCAGAAUUGCAAUUAUGACCCCAAUUCAGAAAAAGUAAGGCGUCAGUGAGGAGGUUGUUUUCGAGGCCAAAGUCCAUUGUUUUCCCUUCCAAAUUCCCAUUUCAUUUAUUUUUUUAUAUUUUUGGUAAUAUUUUGUUUGCCAUUUUUGAGAUGAGUAUGAACCUGAUUUGAGUCAAAUUUUUGGCAAGUUACUUCUUUUAAUAUGUAGUUUAUUUUGGUUUAAGUAUUGAGAUUUUGCUAUUUUUGAUAAAAUUCUGAUAACAUCGUUAUUCUUUAGCUAUAUAGCCUGAUUUGUUGGCUAUUUUUCGUCAUUCUGCAUUUUUGAAUAAUAUUGAGUUGAAUUUCAAAGAAAUCUCUCUAUUGCUGGGCGUUUCAUUUGUAUUUUUUCCUUGAAUCACCUGUUGUAACUAGCCUAUGGGAUAAUCACUAUCCUGCCCCACGUCACUUAUUCAGCUUUUCCUAUAUGGAAGAGACUAAAGAGAUUUAGUCCACGUGCCAAGCUAUCCGUGGCAUCUUGGGAUAGAUAAGAUUUUUUUGGCAUGAUUGUUGGAUGGGUGAUACUACAUUGGCAUCCAUCUUCCCACAUAGAUAGCACACAUCUUCGAGGAUGUGGAAUUUUUUCGAGGAGACUAGAUGGGCUUUGGACGGUUCCUAUAUACUCUUCCACAAGUUAUGGCAGAACAAAUUGCGACCAUUCCACUAUUUAUCGAUGCCCCAGAUCGUAUUUUUUGGUAAGUUACAUGGAUGGUAUAUUCACAACCAAGUCAGCUUGGCAGUUGAUUCACUCUAAUAGGCUAGAGAAGGACUUGUUUCGUUUACUUUAGAGCCUUAUCAUACCUACCAAAGUCUCAUUCUUCUGUUAGAGAUUAUGGUUGGAUUUGAUUCAAGUAUAUGCUAUUAUUCAAGGGAGAAUAGGCAGUCAACUGGCUUCUUCGUGCCACUAUUGUUCUGAGAUUGAGACCAUUGGUUAUACUUUCACUGAUAGUAGUAUUUCAAAUUACAUUUAGUAGCAUUUUGUCCAUAUUUUCUAGAUUCUUAUGAUUGCUAGUGAGAGCGUUAGAUAAAGAUUUCUGAUAUGGCAAUUUUCUAUACAGUUUGCACGGAGUGGGCAUAUUGUAUCAUUAUCCCUCUACUGAUCUUCUGGUCCAUAUGGACAGACAAGAAUUAUGCGAAACAUAGGAAUCUACCCAUGAGACCCAGACGAAUCAUUUGGAGGGUAUAUCAUAUGAUGUCCUUCCUAUGCAUUAUUAGUUUGUUUCGACCACUACAUUAGCAUGCUAAACGCAAUUUUCCUUCUACUUCUUCCUUACUAUGGUUCGGUGGUGCAAUCAUCGGAUGGAUCUAUCAAGAUCAAAUACUGAGGGAUGUGACGUCACGGAUCAUGCAGGUAAAUGUACCAAGUCCUUCUUAACUUCAUAUAGACAAUGUAUGAUAUUAGAGACCGAGCUUAAAGCUAUUCUUUAUGGAAUACUAUUGGCUAAGGAUUUUGGGUUUUCAGGUAUUUGGUUUGAGUCGGAUUCUAUUGUGGCUAUUCCAUGAUUACGCAGUGUUACUGAAUGACUUACAAAUCACAAGCAUUGUGUGGCAAACUCCAAUAAACACACAAAAAGAUGCUUAUAAAAGAAUGACUUCCUAAAAGUGGAAAUGCUAGGGUUUUAUGCUUGUUUGUUCUUUUUUUCUUCUUCGGGCUGUUCCACAUACCCACUCAUGUGAGACGCUGCAUUGCCUUCAUCAGUUUCCAAGGCUUCUGAAAACACUAAAAUUAAGCAUACUUCAUUCUUUUUUUAAUACUAUUUACGUUUAAAAGAGUUUUCCUCAAAAAUUCAAUUUAAAAUAUAUGUUACACAUUACUAACAAAAGAAUUUGUAUAUUAAUUUUUACUUCAUGAAAUCUAUAUUCAAUAAAAGCCUAAAUAAAACUGAUGUAAUCGUAAUGGUAACAUGAAUAAUAAUAAAUUUUGACGCUAUAUCUGAACCUAACUAGAGAACAAGGGAAUACUUAUACCUGUUGUAGCACUUGCACAAAGUUCUUGUAUGUUCAAAUGCACCUAACCACUUGACAUAGUAAUAUUAUUCUCACUACGAGGUGUUGAAUCUGAAAUACCAUGAUUAGUGGGUUUGAGUAAAGUAUGCCAUUCGUCAAUACAUAUUGAUCGGUCAGGUGAUAGAUUAGGAAUUUCAUGCUUUUGAAGAGCUUUUAGAAUGUCUUGAGGUUCUUCCAAAAGGCAUGUUGCUUCCUGCAUACUUUUCUCCCGUUCUACUAUGGUCCUAUUGUUGCAUUUCUUGAGUAUAGCAUGAGGUAAAUUGGUCAGGCAUGUAGCAAAUAUAUCUGCAACAAUAACUGAAAAUCUCUCAAACACUUGAGUAUCUAAUGCCGAAUGAUAGCUUUCCUUAUAGACCAAUAGCAAACUGUUACUUAUUUUGUACAUUUAAUUGGAAAUUAUGAUAUUUUCAGACAAGUUAACUAGCUUUCCAUAGCAUUUUCAUUCAUUUUACUCAUGAAUUUCUUCACUUCUAUUUGCAAGAGCCUGAAGAGUUUUUUUUUUGGGAAGAUUUUGAUACCCUGGAAAUUUUUUGGAGAUCCACGUCUAACCACUUGCGCCUCAAUCAACUAAAACCCAUGCAAAAUAUGUGGCACUCGUGCUGCUUUUUGAUACAUAUAAUACCUCUCAUAAAGUUAACUCUUUUGUUUAUUGAACAUAGAAAUUCUAGGAUACGUAAAAUCAUUAUCUACAUUGUUUAAAUUGAAAUUUUAUCGAGAGUUACUAAUUUUCAUCUAAAAUAACAUUUCAUUAAUGACCGUUAAAAAUUGAGUCCCAAAUAAACCACUUAAAUUGAGAGAUACAUUUUCACAAUGAUUUGCUUGGACUAAUUAAACCCUACAUUUAUUAAGCAUAUUGUAAACAUUUCAAUAUCCCAAGUAAUUUGGGUUUGACGUUGUGGUCUAAAUAUGAAAAUUUAAUUAAGUUAUGAAAAACAUAAUGUCACUGAAAUCUCCUCCCAAAUUAUGACUUUUAUAAAGGUAUGAAUUAAAUUAUACUCUUUUAUCUAUUGAAAUUUUCGAGUUCUCCUAUCUGAAGAUCAUUGUCUAACAUAUUUACGUAGCUAAUAUUUUAAUGAUAGUACUAAUCUUCGUUAAAAAUAACACGUCAUGAUUGUUCAAAAAAUGAUGUGGUAGUAAAUUAUCGAUAGCAACAUUAUUUGCGUGGAUUAGUUAAUCCCAACAAUUCGUACGAGUAAUACUAGUGGAUAGCUAUCAUAUUAUUUGAUGAAUUUAAAAUAUUUUUAAUUUGUUGAACAAUGUAACAUUGACCGUAGAUGUAAUAUGAACUCAAUUAGAAAUGAAUAGUUCUCCAUGUGUUCUAUAAAGAUAGACUUGCUUUCAUUUUCACACAAAUUAAGAAAAAAUAUAAUUAAUAUAAUUGAAAUUAUAAAUUUUAUUAACAUUUUCCCUCUGUUUUUAUACUACUAGCUCUCAGGUUGGCUAAAUUAAAAGUUAAAUUAGAAUAUUUCUUAAUUAUAAUUGAAUAAAAGAAGAAAUAAAUAUAAAUAAAUAAAAUAGUAUUUUCUUUGUCAAUUAUUAUAAUAAUAAAAUCAAAAUAAACGACUUUUGACAAGACGAAAAAAAGCAUUUUUCACAUGGGCUCAACUAAAUUUUCAAUGAAUUCAAAAAAGAGAAAAUUCCAAACACACACACACACACACACUGUGUGUGAUUUUUAACAUUCCAAUUCAAAAAUUGGAUUUAAAAGAUUUUGGUUCAAAAAUCAAAAGAUAAUUCAACUUUUGAAUAUUAAUAAUAAUAUUAUAAAAUAAAAUUAAUAUACAUCCCCGUAACCCAACCCCCACCCAACCCAAUUUCACUCCUAAAUCAUAAAUCAUUUCUCAUUUGUGACUCUUUUGAAGGCAAGGAAGAUCAAGAGAAUGUGGCGCCGCUGUGCAUCCAUCGAAACGAACAACACACAAACCCGAGCCAUGAUUGAAACCAACAACUCGAACCAACCCUUUAUUAAUCUCGUAAUGCUUUUAAACUCAUCAAUUAGCUAAGGGAUUAAAUCUAGCUGAGAAUUGGGAAGCUUAGAAGAUUCAUGUGUAAAUAGCUUGUGAGUAAUGAAUCGCUGAAAUUGUUGAUUUGGAUCUCCAAAUGUAUCUCCAUUUUCCAAAGAAAUGUUGUGAAUAAUAUAUUUUGUUCUUCAUUUUUUUAAUCACAUUGUCGAAGUACUUAGUGUUUCGAUCCCCCAAUUGAAUCCAUUUUAUUCCUACUUUUUGUCUCAGGAAUACCUCUUAGCACGCUAGUAAAUAGUUGUAGUCUAAAUUAUAUUUGUAAAGCUUUAUUCUCGUUGUUUCUGAUUGCGCAUAGUAAAGCGUUAGUUCCUUUUCUUUCAAACUUUGUGAAGAAUUAUCAAACACUUGUUUAUUCCACAACUUAAGGCUGAUUUUUAAUCUAGAUAAUAUAUACUAGAAAACCAAGAGCCUUGUCUCUACUUUUGAUUGUUUCUAAUUCCUUACAAAAAAAUCCUGAAAUUGGUCACCUCGAAUCCAAAUGUUCCAGAUCCAGAAAGUAGAUGGGCAGUUGGCGAUUCCAUUUAUCAAUAAUCUACAGUAGGGGCAAUGGCCUAAAAUGUUCCAAUUCAAUUGAUAAAAAAGAAUGAUAGAGCAAAGAUCCAUGGCAAAGGAGUUACCAUUCAUUUACCACAUAUGCCAGUUUGUACAAGUAUAUUGCAAGUCUUCAUAAUCUGCAUUUUCUAGGUUACGAUACCUUAAAACUAUUGAAAAAUCAUCAAUAACACCUAGAUGUGGCUGUUUGACACUGAGUCUUUAUUGGCUGAUAAAAGAGCACAUUAAAAUCACCCCUGAAAAAACCACGGUGGAUCACAUUGCUUGAGAGAACUUUUAGACUACCCUAAAGUUCCACCCUUUCGUGCGUGGUUGAUUUUGCAUAUACUACAGUAUAAUGGAAAGAGUCGGGCUAAUAGAAUUUUUAUUCAGGGUAACUAAGUCAUUGUUCGAAUCCAUAUUUUGAGCAUUGAUUUUGUAAGAAUGAUUUUUUGGAGAAUGUGUAAUUAAAAAGUAAGAAAAUUUUUUGAUUACUUGCAAAAUUAUUUUAUUGAGAGAAUAUGAAUGUUGAAAACUAAAUUUAAAGAAAGUCAAUUUUAAAAAAUGAGGCUCAAACGGGGGUUAAUUGUCUCAAGUCAUUAGCAAUGUUACAAUUAAUAUCAAGGGUCCACAGCACCCAAAUUUGUUUCAAGGGAAAAUUUCAUAGCUAAGAGAUUAAGUAUAAUCAAUUUCAAAACAAAGAAACAAGUUAUAUUAAUUCGAAAUUCAGUUAUUGAUUAAAUUUUAUUUAUGAAAUAAUUAAUUGAAAAUAUAUUUUAUUAAUUGAAUAGAAUUAAGGUCACAAUAUUGUAUAAAUUAUUGUUACAAUUAUAUAUUUGUCACAAUUAUAUACGUCAAUGUCACAAAUCACAAAUUUCAUAUGUCACAACUUAUUUCUCGAUCACAAAUUUAACAAACUAAUAGGUCACAUAUUAUUCAUUGGUCACAAAUCAAAAAUUUUAUAAGUCAAAACUCAUGGUCACAAAAUAUCAAAUUAAUUGUCACACAUUAUUUCUAGGUCUCAAAUUAUCAAAUUAUUCAUCACAACUUCACAUUUUUUUAGGUCACACAUUAUUUAUUGCUCACAAAUGAUCUAUUUCAUUGCUCAUAUAUUAUUUAUUGAUCACACAUUAACUAAUUUGGUCAUAAUUAACCAAAUAAUUUAUGACCACUACAUCAUUUGUGACCAGCACAUCACCACUACCUCCUGCAGCACUACCGUCGUUAGGAUUUGUAUUGUAUUGACAAUUCUUUAGAUAAAAGGACUAAUAUAAUAAGUUGUAAAAGUCAAUGAGUCAAUUAGAAUAUUGUAUAGAUGAAAUAGGUAACUUAGGGUUCCAGUUUUGAACAAGAAAGAAAGAGUAGUCGAAUUUAUGCUAGCCUAUCUCCCAUCUGAUGCUCGAGCAGGAAAAAUAGAAACACUAUCUCCUACCCAUCAUUGAUCUCUCACUCGAGUGACACACCGAUCACUCAAUCGUUGCUAUCCUAGUGCUCAAGCGACGAUGUUACGCACAAAACUCUAAUUCGCAUUUUUAAAGUGUUUUAAUCGGUCUAUGCUAGCUAGUUGACUUCUACUAUAUGUACUAUUACCCUAUCACUUUUUAAGGGUAGUUGUUCAUUACAUUGUUUCUUCAUAUCAUCAUUCAAAGAUUCAAGAGCAUAUUCAAGCAUUAGAUGUAUUCUUUAAUUCUUAAGUCCAUACAACCACAUUUUUGGGAAAAACGUCAACAACACAUAAUCAAAAUACCCACUUCCUAUACACAUAUAGGAAAAUACUUUCUCAAUAGCUUUUAGCAAAGGUGCUAAAAAUUGAGGGUAGUUGGACUAGAAGCACACAAAGAGCACAAGGAAAAUGAGCUCUUGUUGAUCUAUAAGAGAUAGACAAAUUCAGAAGAUUGGGAACAGUUGUGAGUGAAGCACGUUUUAGCGGGUCUUGUAAAUUGUAAGAAUUAGAUCAGCGAGUCUAAUGAAUUUUCUAGGCUGGAUCAUACUUUAAGUUCGUAUUGUCUAUAGUGGAGGUUACUAACUAAAUCCCGAGUUUUUAUCUAGUUGGGUUUUCUCUGUAAAAAAUGUUGGUGUUGUUGAUUGCUUUAAUUAUUGAUUGUGGCAUUCAAACCAUAGGAUAAUUUGGUAUGUUUAAUUAACCAUCUAGAAACAAUAAAAAAGUAACUUGUUGCUUUUAAUUGUAUAAUUCCUAAUGUUGGUUUGACAUAAAUUGGCUAAAUCAAACCUUUUCAAGUGUUAUCAGAUCUUUUCAAAUGGUAUCAAAGCUUUUCAAGCGGUAUCAGAGGCUAAAAUUGAUCCUUGACCUUAUUAGUUUAGAUGAGUCAGUAAUUAUCCAUUCACCCUUAUUUUCAUGGCAACAAUCAUGCCUAUUGAAAGGUUAGAAUGAGAGCUUUACUUAAGUCGAUGGAUGAGCAUAUCUAGUUGAGUGUAGUAAAUGAUUGGACUAUUCCUACUAGCACCGUUAAUAAUGUUGUCAUCCCACGCCUAUAGCAAAUUAGUCAAAUACAAUUUUUUAUGAAUGCAAUUGAAAUAUAAAGCCCUACAUGCCUUACUUAUGGUAGUGUCUCCUGAAAAAUUUAGGCAAGCAUCUAUAUGUGAGGUUGCAAAAGAGGUUUGGGAUAUUUUACACAGCACACAUGAGGGAGCUCAUGCUAUUAAGAACUUCAAGUUACAGAUGUUGGCUAUUACAUUUGAAAAAAUUAGGAUGAAAGAGGAUGAGACAUUUGAUAAAUUCCAUGCGAGCUUGAAUGACAUCGUUAAUUCAAGCUUCAACUUAGGUGAGAGAAUCCAUAAGCCUAAGAUUGUUAGAAAAAUCAUUGGAUCCUUACCUAAAAGAUUUAGGCCUAAAAUCACGACUAUAGAGAAAACUGAGGACUUAGAUACUAUUUAGAUUGAAGAGUUGGUUGGAUCUUCCAGACUUACGAACUAACAUUAGCUAAACUUACAAAAGAUAAGUCUUUGCCUUGAACACCAUUAGGGAUAACUGCAAUGAGUCUUCUGAUUCGGAAUCGUCCAAUGAUGAGGAGAUAGCUUAUUUUGCUAACAAAUUACAAUAAAUAUUUAGAAAUAAGAAGAAGCCUCAAAAGAGACAUGUAGGUACUCCAAGAGAUCUCAAUCUGUAAUAUGUCAUAUAUGUUAAUAUUUUGGCCAUUAUCAAAGUAAGUGCCCUAAUAGUAGGAAAAAUAAGGAUAAAGCUAUGAUGUUACUCUCACUGAUGACGAGUCUAACUCAGAUAAUCAAAAUGGGAAAUCCACUUAGGAUGAGAAUGGGAAAUAUAUAGCCUUCACUGCUAGGAGUACGAGUGAAUUUGAUACGGAGAGUAAGAAUAUUAAGGAUGUAGAUACAGUGAGGAUUUUGAAAAUGAGGAAGAUAUGUAUGAGGCUUAUGAUAAAUUAUAUGAGGAGCGCCUUAGGAUAUAGAUUAUCAAUAAAUCCUUGUGUACGAAGGUCAAAGAUAUUAAGUUAGAGAAAGAAAAACUAAUAGCUAACAUUCAAGAAUCUAUCUUGCACUUGAGUAAGUUGAACACUGUUAAAAUCCCUAGAUACUCGCGUUGAGAAUCCUAGAGAGAUCUUGAGAAGUCCUUUGGGAGACUUAACAAGUUGAGUACUGGCAAUGAAUCUUUAGAAAAUAAGGUUAAGAAAUUUAUGACCAAUCUCGAGGAUUCCAACACCCAAUUCAUUACGUUUUCCAGUGGCUCAAUAAUGCUUAAUAGCAUUUUAGAAAUGGGCAAGCUUGCUGACAAUAAGGGAGGUCUAGGAUAUAAAGAGAAUGAUCACAAUGCUGCUAGUAUUUCCAAGACCAUUUUUUUCGGUCAUUGACCAGCUGAAGUAUGUUUCUAACUCAACAUCCAAUAAUAAGAUAAUCAUAGGAUAGAGGCAUACUAAAUAGUAUAGGACCUACCAAUUUAGGAAUAGAAAUCAGAGACUACAUAACAUUGGUCCUAGAUAUACCCCUAUUUGUUUCAAUUGUGGUGAGGUAGGAUAUAUAAGGCCUAUGGGUCAAAAAUUCCUGAAAAGAAAUAGACAUCAAAACUUUAAUAGAAAUAAAAAUUAGAAUUUUGAUAACGGGAUUAACUUUCUUACUAAUCAGGUAAGUCAAUUAACCGAUAUAAUGACAUAGCUAACUACGAUAAAUUCUUCCGUUAGGCAAGUUGCGUGAAGAUAAAAUAGAUCACGAUGCUCUUGAAUGUAAAAGCAUUUGUAUACCUGACUAAUUAUGUAUUUCUGGUACAUAAUUGUGCUCAUUCGGUGUGAUUCAUUCAUUAUUACAUGCAUCUCAUUGUGUUUGUGUUGCAUGCAUAUUUUUUUGUUUUGUAUGCUGAAAUUUUUAUUUUGUGUGAUUGGUGCAUUCAUAUUUAAAAACAAAGGGGGAGGUUUUUUUAAACAACAAUAUGAUAUAUGAUAUACUUAAACUUGUGUGUUGUGACCAACUAUGAGUUUAAUUGAUGUACUGCAGCAUAUUUUAUAUUUUUUUGUUUAUUUUUAUAGAGUACUUAGUAUAGGUUUCUUCGUGUACCAUUCGCACUGCACACACUAUGAUAUUGUGAGUGGGACUUGAUAGCGUGUGUGAGAUUUUGGAUGGCAAUCACAUGUUGGUAAGGUGACUUUGAGCGUGAAUUGACAUUAUUUUAGUAAACCUAAGCUCAAGUAUAUUUUCUUGAAAGAAAAAGCUCAAUAUCUUAUGAUCUUCUUUGGAACCUAUUUGACAUGAGCAAUUAAGUUUGAGGGGUUUCUCAUAACUUGGUGCCUAUGGCCAACUGACUUGGUUUAAUCGGCCUAAAGCUCGUACAAGGGUCAUCUUAGUCACUUAAUGGAUAAGAGCCUGUAUUCAAGAUUUAAAAAAUUGAUGAGAAAAAUGAUGAGCUUAAAAUUUUAGAAAAUGUAUAGAAAUAUAUAUGUUCAAAGUUAGGGGGAGAAAAGAAUAAUAUACACAUGCAAAAUGAGCUUCUUUUAUAGGUCCUAAUGUGCUAUUACUUGUUUGACUUUCACAAGUAGAAGGAUAAAUUAUUGACAAUGAUGUUUAGCAUGUCCUUUCUCGCAAAAUUAAUGUUUGGAGUCCUGCUUAGAAAGGAUUAGUGAAACUUUACAUACAUAGGUCACUUAUACAAUUUACUCCAUUUUAGCUUGAACUGAGUAUGUGGGAAUGUUUACUGAUCAUUGAUUAUGAUUUUACAUGCUAUCAACUACAUCUUCGAUUAUAUAUUGGUGUUCAAUUGUAUUUGACAAAGUUCCCUUAGUCAUUUGUGACAAAAAGGGCAAGAGACUUAGAGUUUUGAUUAUAUAGUUUUUGAAGUACGGGGGAGAUAAAGAGAAAACAUUCUAUAUCCUCUGCAUUCUAUAUCAUCUGCAUUUCUGGGAGAGAUGAGUGUGAAAGGGAGAGAUAAUUGUAUACCCACUUCUUUGUGUUUUGAUGUUUGGUGAUAUUAACGUUUUAGUUGUGUUUUGGUUAACAAUAGUAUUACUUUUCAAUCUAGCUAGCAUAUUUAUGAUUAUGUGUUUUAAUUGCUAUAUUUUCUGUAUCACGUAUUACACUUGGUAUUUGAGGUGUUGAUUUCAGGAAACAUGCUUAACAAGGAAUGCAAGAGAGGACAUUCAAUUUGGGUUUAAGUAGAUUACUUCAUUGUAUUUAUUGUAGAAUUUUGUCACAGAAUGCUAAAAGGAGAGAUUGCUAGGAUUUGUAUUGUAUUGACAAUUCUUUGGACAAAAUUACUAAUAUGAAAAGUUGUAAAAGUCAAUGAAUCAAUUGAAAUAUUGUAUAGAUGAAAUAAUAGGUAACUUAGGGUUUAAGUUUGGAACAAGAAGGAAAGAGUUUUCGAAUUUACGCUAGUCUAUCGCCCAUUUGAUGCUUGAGCAAAAAAAAAUAGAGACACUAUUGCCCUCUUGUCACCGAUCUCUUGCUUGAGCGACAGUGUUAGGCCCAAAACUCUAGUUCGUGUUUUUCAAGGGUUUUAACUAGCCAAUACUACCUAAAUGUCUUCUACUAUAUAUACCAUUGCCCUAUCACUUUUUUAGAGUGGUUGUUCAUUACACUGCUUCUUCAUAUCAUCAUUCAAAUAUUCAAGAACAUAUUCAAGCAUUAGAGUGAUCUUUUGAUUCUUCAGUUCAUACAACUACAUCUUUGGGAGUGGAGUUGCUGAAAAUUGAGGAAAGUUGUACCAGAAGCAUAGGAAAAGUACAAGAAUAAGAAGUUCUUGGUAAUCCAUAGGAAAUAAACAUUUCAGAAGAUCACGAGAAAAUGAGAGUGAAGCACGUUCUAGGGGGUCUUGGAGAUUGCAAGAAUUAGAUUAGCGAGUCUAGUGGGUUUUCUCGGCUAAUUGAUACUGUAAGUUCAUAUUGUCUAUAGUGGAAGUUACUGGCUUGGUCUCGGAGUUUUUACUUAGCUGGAUUUUCUCCGUCAGCUUUCAUUAUUGAUUAUGGUAUUCAAACCAUUGGAUAAUUUGAUGUGUUUGAAUAACCAUCUAGAAACAAUUAAAAAGUGACUUGUUGUUUUGAAUUGUAUAAUUACGCACUUUAGGUCAAAAUAAAUUGGCUAAAUCAGGACUUUUCAAGUGGUAUCUAAACUUACAAGUUGUAUCAGAUCUUUUCAAGUGGUACCAGAGCUUUUCAACCGUCAAGACCAUCGUCGCAAGAACAAAGUAUACAUACAUAUAUGAAUCUAGGAAAAAUAAUUCCAAGGUCAAUGUUUGUCUUGAUUGCGAAUGAUUUAACAUACCAAAGGAAUGAUAAUAACCAUUUCAUAUAAUCGAUCAGAAUAUUAAAAAUUAAAGAUUUUAAUUUAUUGUCGUUGUCCUUCUAGACCAAAGAUACUUGUUAACCUUGAACAAGUCCACCUUGUGAGAAGAAAGACUAUCUACAUAUUGUGUAUGGAACAAUAUACAUUCUUACGUUCAAGUUUUUGUGCCAAACAAAUCGAAUAAUGUUUGAUUUCAAGAUUUCCAAACGGUUAAAAUUUACAAACUAAAAAUGUGAUUAAACUCACCACAUUCGACCAUAUACUUUUCAAAUACAUUUAUUGUUAAAAUGAUCAUUCAUAAACGACAGUUCAUAUUUAUUUUUCUCAAACUUUUUAAAUUAAUAAUUCUCUUUGGACCAUGGAGUACUAUCUAGAACUCAUACCAAUUAUACUCUGGUUCCCUUCAAGAUUAGAGAAGAAAUAAAUUUAAAAUAAUUUCUAUAAAAAACAACGUGAUUUGGAACCCUACAAGUCAAUAUUUCUAUCCUCUCUCCCCCCCUCUCUCUCUCUCUCUCUCUCUCUAUAUAUAUAUAUAUAUAUAUAUAUAUAUUUAGUUUUUGUUUUUUUAAUUUGGGGUUGAGCUUUCAAUAUUGGUGCAAGGUAUCUUCCAUGUAACUUCAAGACAUGUAUCAUGUUUCAAUUCCACAAAAUUCAAUGUAUAUAGAGAACUUGAAUUUUCGUUUUCAAAAGUCGUCAUGUUUGAUCUUUCAAUCUUGGUGCAAAUGGAUCAUAUUUCAAUUUCAAAAAAGUCGAUGUAUCUGGAGAACUUGAAUUUUCGUUUUCAAGUCUUUUUGUUUUACUAUUUUUUGUUUGCUAAACAUUGUUUAGGAUAAGUCUAGGUCUAAUUAACGAUUGCUUAGGAAUAAAUUUUUAAAAGACGACUUAUAAAUAGUCCAAAUUUAUUGGCUCAUUGUUACUGCACUGCUUUGGAUUCAAGAGUAGCGAAAAUUUCCAGGGCAACUUCAGCUUUUAUUUUCAACGCUUUGAUGCAUCCAUUAAAGAAAAUUAUAUCCAAUAAUAAAACCUUGCAAUGAGUCAUCUCAAGGAUUAUUUUGAAUCAUUCAAUUUACUAAAGGGUAUAGAAAAUACUAUAUGUUGCGAAUUGCGACUACAUCAUCAUUCAUAUCUUAUUAAAAUUAUUCGUAAUAUUGUAACAAUUUGGAAUCUCUAACUCAUUUGUGCCUACUUCAGAUUAAUAAAUCAAUGGCUGAGGUUUAGCCUUGAAUGUUUAUGUUGAAGAAAUAAAGUCAACCUUCAAAUUUCAUCAAACACAGUUUCUACACGAACAAUGAAUUUGAAGCUUUUCAUACUAAUUCUGUUCAUUAAACUAAACUGGCCAGAAGCUGUCAAAACCAAUAUAAUAAUAUACAGAGAGAUUAGAGCCUUUUAACUCUGAACAUUUGUAAGCAUAUCGCACACUUUUUUAAAACCCGUAUUUAUAAAACCCAAGAUUUGGAAGCAAUAAGCAUAUUAUAAUGUUUUCAAAAUCCAACAUUAAUUGCUAAAAUUCUUGAUUUGGAUCUUCAAAUGUAUCUCCAUUUCCAACGAAAUGUUGUGAAUAACAGAUUUAGUUCUUCAUUUUAUUUAUCAUGUUGUCGAAGUACUUUUAUUUCGAUCCCCCAGUUGAAUCCAUUAUAUUCCAGCUUUUCGUCUUAGGAAUACCUCUUAGCAAGUUAGUAAAUAGUUUGUUGUAGUUUGACCAAAAUUCUAGUGAGUGUUGGAGUUAUAUUUAAAGUCGUCUUGGAUAAAUCAAAAAAUUUUCGCUAGCUGCAUGCUCGAGCGAAACUGUCAAAUUUGGAACAAAGAAUUUUCGACUACUUCUCGACCGCUAUCGCUCAACACUACUCAAGCAAAGUUGCUUCCCGACUUUUCCGUUGGAACGCGUUUUGGACUUCAAAUCAUCUACAACUAGGUUUCUAGGGUUUUUUAUAUAUAUAAUAGCGUGUGUUGUUCAUACAACAGAAUAUACAACAUUUCGAGAGAUUUAGAUCUUAGUUGAGAAUAUUGAGAUCUUGUAAAUAUAAUUGCUAUUGAUUAUAAUGGAUAUCUUCUCCUCUGCCCGUGGUUUUUUCCAGUCUUAGAUUUCCAUGUAAAUCUUCGUAUUCUUUAUUUUGUUCUUGUUUACUUCAUUAUUAUCAUAAUCUUUCGGUCAAUUAACAACAUAGUUGCAGUCUAAAUUAGAUUUGUAAAGCUUUAUUCUCGUUGUUUCUGAUUGCACAUAGUAAAAAGUCAGCUCCUUUUCUAUUCCAAUUUAACCUUUGCGACUGCACUUUGGAUUUUAAGAUGGGGAUACUCGAGGUCAUAGGAAAUUUCUUUGUUAUUUCAUUGCAACUUCAGCUUGUAUUUUCUACCCGUUGAUGUAUCCGUUGAAGAAAAAUAUAUCCCAUAAUGCGUUGAUGUAUCCAUAAAGAAAAACAUAUCCAAUAAAUUAUAGGGUGAGGUUUGUAGUGGGAAUUCUUUUUGGACUAAUAAGAGGAAAUACCCCAGGCCCUCAGCCUUGAAUUUUUAGUUAUAUCCUGCUUAAUAAGAAUAAGUUAUCAUUCACAUGUUAAUGCUCAUAAUAUUAUAUUAAUUGUUGAUUGAUUUAAAUUUUUAUAUACUAUUUAAGCUAAGCCUAAAAGGGACAAAGUUAGUAUAUGAAAUGAAUUAUGUUUUGAAAAACAUAACUUGUCACGCAAAUACCCUCUUAGACUGUGCCUUUGAUACAUAGAGGAUAUUUGGUGGGGAUGAAAAUUAGAUUUUUAGUAGAUUGUGAUAGAAGUUUUUAAAAUGUGUGGUUGAAAAGUUGCUAUACCCAUAAAAGAUGUAUUUAAUAUUUAUUGUUUGACUUUGACUUAGAUUUAAAACCAAACAUGGGCAUAAUACCUCUAAUAAAGUAAACUCUUUUAUUUAUUGAACAUAGAAAUUCUAGGAUAUGAAAAACCAUUAUCUACAUUGUUUAAAUUGAAAUUUCAACGAGAGUUACACAUUUUCAUCUAAAAUAACAUUUUAUUAAUGACCGUUAAAAAUUGAAUCCCAAAUAAACCACUUAAAUUGAGAGAUACAUUUUCAACUGAUUUUCGAUGAUUUGCUUGGACUAAUUAAAACCUAAAUUUAUUAAGCAUAUUGUAAAUUUUUCAAUAUCCGAAGGAAUUUGGGUUUGAUGUUGUGGUCUAAAUAUGAAAAUUUAAUUAAUUACGAAAAACAUAACGUUGCUAAAAUAUCAUCCCAAGUUAUGACUUUGAUUAUGGUAUCAUAUGAAAUUAUACUCAUUCAUCUAUUGAAAUUUUCGAGUUCUCGUAUCCGUAUCUGAAAAUCAUUGUCUAACAUAUUUACAAAGUUAAUAUCUUAAUGAUAGUACUAAUCUUCGUUAAAAUAACAUUUCAUGCUUGUUCAAAAAAUGAUGUGGCAGUAAAUUAUUGAUGGCAACAUCAAAAUAUAUUUUAAGUUGUUGAACAAUGUAACAUUGACCCUACUGACACGUAGACAUAAUAUGAACUCCAGAAUAGUUCUCCAUGCAUUGUAUAAAGCUAGACUUGCUUCUGGUUUCAUACAAAUUAAGAAAAUAUAAUUAAUAUAAUUGAAAUUAUAAAUUUUAUUAACAUUUUCCCUCUCUUUUUAUACUUCUCGUUCUCAGGUUGGUUGAAUUAAAAGUUAAAUUAUAAUAUUUCCUAAUUAUAAUUGAAUAAAAAAAGAAAUAAAAAAAUAGAAUUAUAAUUCUUUUUUGGUCAAUUUUUAUAAUAAUAAAAUCAAAAUAAUGGACUUUUGACAAUAAGAAUUUCUCAAAAAUCAAAAGAUAAUUUAACUUUUGAAUGUUGAUAAUAAUAUUAUAAAAUAAAAUUAAUAUACAUCCCCAUAACCCAACCCCCACCCUACCCAAUUUCACUCCCAACUUGUAAAUCGUUUCUCAUUUGUGAUUCUUUUAAAACUAAGGAAGAUCAAGAGAAUGCGGCACCACUGUGCGCCCAUCGAACAGAACAACACUAAACCCAACCCAUGAUUGAAACCAACAACCCGAACCAACUCUUUAUGAGAUCAUAGUGCUUUUAAUCUCAUCAAUUAGCCGAGGGAUAAAAUCUAGUUGAGAAUUGGGAAGCUUAGAAGAUUCAUGUGUAAAUCGGUCAUGAAAGUGAUUAAUCACUAAAAUUGUUGAUUUGGAUUUUCCAAAGAAAUGUUGUGAAUAAUACACUUAGUUCCUCAAUUUUUUUUUUUUUAUCAAAUUGUCGAAGUACUUAGUUUUUCGAUCCCCUAAUUGAAUCCAUUUUAUUACAACUUUUUGUCUCAGGAAUACCUCUUAGCACGCUAGUAAAUAGUUGUAGUCUAAAUUAGAUUUGUAAAGCUUUAUUUUGAUUGCACAUAGUAAAAAGUUAGCUCCUUUUCUUUCAACCUUUGUGAAGAAUUACAAAACACUUGUUUAUUCCACCACUUAAGGCCAAUUUUUAGUCUAGAAAAAUUAUUCUAGAAAACCAAUAGCCUUUGUCGCUGCUAUUGAUUGUUUCCAGUUCCUUACAAAAAUGUACUAAAAUUGGUCACCUCAAAUCCACAUCUUCCAGAUCUGGAAAGUAGAUGGGCAGUUGGCGAUUCCAUUUAUCAGUAGUCUACAGUAGGAGGCAAUGGUCUAAAGUGUUCCAAUUCAAGUGUUAAACAAGAAUGAUCGAACAAAGAUCCAAUGCAAAGGAAUUACUACAUACCACAUAUGCCAGUUUGUACAAGUAUGUUGUGAAUCUUCAUAAUCUGCAUUUUCUAGGUUACAAUACCUCACAAACUUCUAAAAAAUCAUCAAUGACAACUGGAUUUGAAAGUUUGACACCGAAUCUUUCUUGGCCAAGAAAAGAGCACAUUAAAAUCACCCCUGAAAAAACCAAGGUGGAUCAUAUUACUUGAAAGAACUUUUAGACUAUCCCAAAGUUCCACCCUUUCAUGUGUGGUUGAUUUUCCAUGUACUACAGUAGAAUGGAAAGAGUAGGGCUAAUAGACUUUGUACCUUAAAGAUAACUAAGUCCUUGUUUGAAUCCUAUUUUUUGAGUAUAGAUUUUGUAAGAAUGGUUUUUUUGGAGAACGUGUGAUUAAAAAGUAAGAAAUUGAUUGCUUGCAAAAUUAUUUUAUAGAGAGAAUGUGAGUAAACCACAUGCAGAAAGUAUAAAUAACUAGUCAUGAAUAACCUUGUCCCAUGCAAAACAAGUUUCAUUGUUUUUCCUCCAUCACGUAAACCAUAGACUUUGAACUUCAAUUUCUUAUAUAACAAAGCAUUAUUUUAUCAAGUAAAUAUAUGAUUUUGAUAUUCUCAUGUAUAUUUUGAUAUUCCAAAACAAAGAACCAAGGCCCCACUCAAAACAAGGCUACAACAGCACUAUUUUCAAAACAAAGAACAAAGUCCUAACUACAUUAAUCAUGCAUAUAAAACCUUAAAAUAAUUUGAAUUACACAUCAACUACCAUAAAAAAAUACCUUGGAUAAUUUAUGAACGUUACAAAUUUUGUCAAACUAGAGUAGGUUCCCAGGAGAAGUGUUAGACCUCGUCUAGAUUUAACAUCCGUAUUCACUGAGCAUUCAAUACCAAAUCUUCAAAAUUUUUCGAAGCCCUCUAAGACUUCUGCGCAAUCUUUUGCAAUACCCUAAACCAAUGGUUCAUCUUCCCAAAUUGAUUUACCUAAAGUUCUGAUACCACUAAUAUAAAAAUCUGAUGUGAAUUAAAGAUAAACUACACAACAAUUCUACAUCUCAUUAUAGCACUUAAAAGUAGUAAUCAGUACCAAGAUGUACACAAUUUUAGGGCUCAGAUUUUGUACACGUGUCACAAACAGUCAACCCUAGUGUUGGACCCAACCCAAAUUUUUAGCACAUAAAGUUUUGUAACUUACAAAAAUAGAGAAACACGUUUUCAUCUCAAACGCUAGGACAACAGAUUAGCCUUAAAAUCAUUGACCAUGCUUCAAAUCUAAUGAUCUAGAUUGCUCUAAACACACUGAAGUUGUUACUGAGUGGCAAUCCAAGUAAAAUAUGUUCUUAAAUUAGCACUUUAAAUGGGACAAGUUUUGGACUGAUCUUGUGAGAUUUGGACUUGGACUUGGAGAAGUCGGUUCAUCUCCAAUUUAGGCCUAAGCCUGAAGAUCAAUCGUGGAUCAUUACAGCCCAAGCACUUGUUUUGCAUCAUAUCUCAAAUUAUCUAUUGUAUUCAUACACAAAUUAUAACAACCUAACAUUAUUACACAGCACUUUUAAUGUUCACAAUAUGCAUAAUAAUGUCUAAUAAUAUGACAACAUUAGGUGCUACUAGAUUUCCAUGAUUACGCAAUGUUACUGAAUGACUCACAAAUCACAAGAGUUGCGUGGCAAUCUCCAAUAAACACACAAAAAAUAUGCUUAUAAAAGAAUGACUUCCUAAAAGUGGAAAUGCUAGGGUUUUAUGUUUGGUGGUUCUCUUUUUCUUCUCCAGACUCUUCCAAUUCCCCGCUCAUGUGAGACCCUGCAUUGCCUUCAUCGGUUUCCAAGGCUUUUGAAAACAGCAAAAUUAAUUAUACUUCAUUUUUUUAAUACUAUUUACGUUUGAAAGAGUUUUCCUCCAAAAUUCAAUUUAAAAUAUACGUUAGGCAUUACUAACAAAAGAACUUGUUUAUUAAUUUUUACUUGGUGAAAUGUAAAUUCAAUAAAAACUAAUAUAAUUGUAAUGGUAACAUGAAUAAUAAAAAAUUUCGACACUAUAUCUGAAUGUAACUAGAGAACAAGGGUAUAUUUAUACCUGUUGUAGCACUUGCAUGAAGUUCUUGUAUGUCCAAAUGCACCUCACCACUUAAAGCAGUAAUAAUAUUCUCACUGCUAGGAGUUGAGUCCAAAGUACCAUGAUUAGGGUGUUUGAGUAAAGUACGCCAUUCAUCAAUAUAUAUUGAUUGGUCAAGCGAUAGAUUAGGAAUUUCAUACUUCUGAAGAGCUUUCAGAAUUUCUUGAGUCUCUCCGAGAAGGUGAGUUGUUUCCUUUAUAAUUUUAUCCCGUUCUUCUAUGGCGCUAUUGUUGCAUUUCUUGAGUAUAGCAUGAGGUAAAUUGGUCAGACACGCAGCAAAUAUAUCUGCAACAAUAACUGAAAAUCUCUCAAAUACUUGAGUAUCUGAUGCUGAAUGAUAGCUUUCCUCAUGGACCAACAGCAAACUAUUGCUUAUUUUGUACAUUGAAUUGGCAAUUAUGAUAUUUUCAGGCAAGUCAACUGAGCUUUCCAUAGCAUUUCCAUUCAUUCUACUAGUAAAUUCCUUCAAAAUUUCUUCACUUAUAUUUGCAAGAUUCUGAAGAGUUUCUUUGGAGGAUUUUGAUACCCUGGCAAUUUUUUGGAGAUCCAUGUCUAACCACUUGCGCCUCAAUUCAAAUAAAACCCAUGCAAAAUCUGCAGCUCUCGUGCUGCUCAUCAAUUUUUUAUGAACAUCUAGACUUUUCUCCGUUAGGCGCACAUACUUAAAACCUUCAAUGACACCUCUCAACAACUGAUUCCUCUUCUCAUUUUGAACAUUGGGAAGAGCAAUCGUGAUGCUUGUUAGUGUUGCCACAGCUAGACUCCAGCAAUUAAGAGUUUCUGUGCAAAUAAUCGAAGAGACUUGAUCACUUUCAAAUUUUGAUACACCCUCGAAGCUGGUGGAAUUCUCCAUAAGCUCCAUUAGAUAUCUAGGUUGAUGCUUUGUGCCCAUCUUUAUGGAUGAAUUAAUAGAAGUGUUAAUGAACGUCAGGUAUCCAUCAUUUAUUGCCUCACUUUCUAGAUGUAAAACAAAAUUUCUAAGAUCUUGGUCAUAACCAACCGUGUGUUCUGCUUCAUUGGGAUUGGCCAAGGCUUCAGAUUGCCUUAAGAAAAAAUUUUUUACCAUCACCAAGCAUCUAAUGAUUCUCAUCCUUAAGAUACCAAAAAAGAGUACGAUGGUGAUGGCACAUGGGAGAAUUAGUAUGGAACUGGCAACUGCAUCCCUGGCAAAUAAGAGGAUAAUUCCACCAAUUGAGAUGGGAAGAAGCAACUUAUUCAAGAUCACAAUCACUAUCUGACUUCCAAUACAAAUGUUGAUAAGUAGAUUUCUGAUGUGAUAAAUAAUUUUUCUACGCUUCUGGCCUCGAACAUAUAAUGGUGGGAGUCUCCUUUUCCACUCUACCAAUCUUUUAAUCCUGUAAUUCUUUAUUUCUAAGGAAAUGCUAGAGAUGGUACAUUGUCUAAUAUUCCGUACAGUGUGAACUAAAGCUACUGAAAAUCUUCCCAAAGACAUGACAGUGCAAAGAUUCGUGCCUAAAAGUUGAGUCCAAAAAAGAAAAUAUACUGACCAUUUAUAAUCAGAAGCAGCACUUGUCUUAUAGGCUGUGGAAUACAUUCUUCCGUUUAAAGUAUAACUUAUGAUGCAUAUCAUGAAUAAAAUAACGCUAGCCUCAGAUCGUGCCAUCACAAACUGAGGGUUACCUGUUUCUGUCAUCACCCAGUACUUCUUCACACACAACUUUAACUUGUCAAAGUCCAUUAUUUGGUCUCCUUGUAGUUCCGGUGCCAAAAUUCCUGUUUGCAAUUCUGUGUACUUACGUUCCAAAUACCUUUUACUUGUAAAUACCGUUAAAGCAGCAGAACUCAAUACAAUGAACGCGUAAACAUUCAUGCAGACAAUCACCACUUGGAAAACAUCGUCAAUCACGCCUGUGAAUGCUUGGAUGAUAACAUUUACGGUAAGCGUCACUAUAAGGAUACCCAAUGCUGUCAAGUUCACUAUUAUAUCUCUAUCACUCAUGGAUCCUAGAGAAGGCAUGAAAUGAGUGGUUGAAACACAAAAGAAAGCAGUGCUACUAUUUUUAGCGGCUUGAUUAUACCCAUCUUUCAUCGGGGUAGUUAGAUCCAUUGACAACUUCACUGCGACUGCUAACACAGUCAAGGAAGCGGCGUUGAGAGAAGAAAAUCUGCAAGGGAACCAUAACUUUCUAUGGCGGACAGAGAUCACUGCAUCAAUGAAUAGUGAAACAGUCCAUAUUAGAGAUGCUACAGCAGCGUAUAGGCCUAUCCAUGGCAUUGGUGCUUUAGAGUCCAUCAUUUUGCUCAAUUAUUCAGCUCUCUUCCCACGCUGCUUUACUUUUGAUUUAAGAUGAGGAUAUGCUCGAGUGGUGGAAAUUUCUUUACUUUUGAUUUAACAUGUAUUAAAUUUUUAUUGACUUUACCUUGUGAUCUAUAUAAAAAUGAUUAAACCAGCUUUAUGUUCAGUGGUUUAAGUUUGGUGGUUAGAGAUACGGACAUUUCAUGUGCUGAAAAUAUGAAUAGUAAUCACUUUCACCAUAAAGAAUCCUGUCGGCCAUUAAUGUCUCACUUUCACCUCACCACCAUUACUGUCAGCCAGCAGUAAGACUAAGAGUUCUCCCUAUGAAACCAUAUACAUACCAUCACCGCAGUUAUUCAUCCGUGAGAACUUGAAAUUUAUAUAGCCAGCAUCCGCAAGUCUCUUAUCAUAUAUACGAGUAAUAAGUUCUUGAUUACCGACCCAAAUUCCUGACAAUGCCCAAAAAAUAAAAAUAAAAAUCAUCAAAAUCACAUCUUUAUAAGAAAACUAGUAGGGUGAACGUGCAUAAGUGUAUGUAAAAAUGAUAGGAUGACAUGGAUAGAACUUUGAGCUAUAUAAAUAAGAGGUUGAUGUGUUACUUUCAACAUUUACUACCAUUUAUGAUUCCUCGAUAAUAAAAUGAGUGAUUUUUAACUAUAUCUUGAACAAUUCAAUUUAAACUUGAUCCUAUUUUGACCUGCUUCCACCUUCAUUUUAUUUUUUAUUUUUUUAUUUUUAUUUUUAUUUUUUUAUUUUAUUUUUUAUUUUUUGUGGAUGGGUGGAGGCAGGGGCAGACUUGGGGGGGUUUACCGGUUCAAGUGACCCUCUAGAUUUUACAAAAAGAAAAAAAUUAGUUUAGCCUCUUUUUUUUUUUUAUUAUAAGGUACCCUAUAAAUUCUAUUUGUGACCCCCUAACCCAAGUCGUCUAGGUCCGCCCCUGGGUGGGGAUGAGCUGCAUAAAGGAUUUUGAGUUUUAUGAAGUUGCAUACCACAACUAUAUCGGAUUUCUUUUUGAAUGGGACAAAUAGAUAUGGAAUGAUAAUUGUAUUUUGUCGUCUUUAUUUUUUCUUACUUCUCCUGUUUUCCAUUACACAAAUCAUUGACAUAACAAAAAUUAAUGAAGACAAUAUAAAUAAAACAAUCUCGCAACCAAUCAGUUUUCUUUAAGUUGUUGCGAUGGCAAGACAUGUUCAAUAUUUGCAUAUCCUUCAUGCCUAGACGCUACGAUUGAGCUGUUUUCGUUUAGAAACGAUGCAUCACAGAUUAGGCUCCCAAAGAACUUUGUCUUGCUCCAAAGUUCACGCCAAGACCAAUUGCACUUUAUUAUGAUUAGCUUAUCAACCAAAAAUAGAUCAUCGUAGCAUUGCAUUCAGCAAGAGUCUGAACCUGCAAGGCAAAUAAAAGUGUAUAUGUGAAAACUACCAAACUGGAAAAAUAUCAAACUCUGAAACUUGAAGCAAAUUCAUGUCACUAAUCAACAUAAAAAAAAAAUAUAUAUAUAUAUAUAUAUAUAUAUAUAUAUAUAUAUAUAUAAAAUUUAAAUUUGGAAAGUUGGCGGACUAAAGUGACAUAUGGAAGAACCUCUCAAUGGAAGAGGUAUAGAGUCUUAUUAAAUAUCAUUGAGCAUAUUUUACAUGGUACCACCAGACCUAUUUUAAAAAAUAAUAAUAAUAAAUAAAUAAAAUCUCUUUUUCUUGGUUGAGUUUUCUUACUAUGGGAGGAGCCUCUUCCUCUUUAAUUUAAUUGUUCCCAUACUUCUCUUUCAGCCUCAUAAACUUAUUUUGCAAUUGAGUCCUGGUCAUAUCCACGUGUAGGUUCUUCUUAAUAAAAUCAUUCGAAUCAGCAACUAAUUGAGAUUUUUUUCUUAAGGACAUAAUCAAUCAUGCCUUUGAGAACCACAAUUUCAUCAUCUUUGCUCCCCAGCCUCUUUUUCUUUUGCGGGGCGUUUAGCACCCUCGGUAGCCUUCGACGACAGGCUGGUCCGGGAAGCUUUAGGCUUGCAUCUAGGCAGCGCUAGUAGUGGGCUUUUGUGGCUCUUCCAUUGGCUUGGAGACUAGGGGCUUUACAUUUGGGUUGACUGGUUCGGUGUGGCACUCUGGUUCAGCUCCGGACUCUUCAUCUUCCUACUCGGAUUAAGAGGAAGGAUACGGGAGCUUAGAAAUUUAUUAAAAUUAUAAUCUAUUUUGAAAUAGUGAAUAUUAAUGUCCUGGCAUUCAUCUUGACCAUUAUAGAAAAAAAGUCAUGAAAUUUAAAAUUUACAACAUAUCCAACCCCUUAUAUUUUAUCAUAGGUAAUUAAUGGGCAAGAAACAAAACACAAUAAAACUAUCUUUAUAUUGGAUUUUAAAUGGUUUUUCUUGUUUCACCACAUUUGAGUUAUAGAAUUAAUGCCAACCUGCUUUACUUUUUUUGGUUCUAAAAGUUGGAAGUUGAAAAACUUCUUGAGAUCUUUUGGUAGGAAGGGAAAAAAAUUCAUCUCGAUUCAUAUAAUUGUCCUUUUGACGUUUAAGCUUUCAGAUUCACAUUUCAGAUUAGAAGAAUACAUCCUCGAUAAUGUGACAUGAAGACUGUCAAAUUCAGGCUGUGAAUAUUUGUAUAGCAAGAAUUUUCUACAGAUUACCAUAAUGAGGGUUCCUUGUACUACCCUUCACCUCAUAUGAAAACAACAACUUACCCCUCUUGGGGUAGCCGAGUUGGUGGAGUACGUGACUGCAGAGACAUUUGGUUCGAUUCCCCCUACCAACACAUUCUCGAUCAAACCUGUCGCACCGGACUUGCCUAGUGCGGUUUACUCGGCUGACGUGGUUUGCAGACUAUUGCGUCAGCCCGAAGGUUUACCUAGUGCGCACUCGAAGAGUAAUGGCUGGGUUUCCCCAGUUAAAAAAAAAAAAAAAAAAAAAAAAAAAAGGGGAAAAAAAAAACAAAAAAAAAAGGCCAGAGGCAACAACAACAACUGAAAUAGUGCUCAACUAUUGUCAUCCUUCUAGUAUCGGAUAUGGGGCUCACAUUCUUGUCGGCACCCACUUCAGUCACACCAAUUGAGCCAACCAACUACAAAGUCCAACAAUAUGAGAAUCAUCCAUUGAAUGUUCUACAAUAUCUCUAUAUGUAUGCAACUAUGGUAUGCAUGAAAAUUAAUAUGAUAAUAAAGCAACAUGAAUAUGAGGGAGCAAUAUGUGGCAAGAACUCAAUCCCUGUAAUGGAAUAUUUUAAAAAACAAGAACAUUGUAAUGAUUUUGUCGACUUAAAAAAAUCGAGUUUAUUUUUGUAUUUAUAUCAAGAUGCUAUACAAUCUUUGAGUUAUUGCACAUCUCUCUUUGACCAUCAUGUUCCUUCUUCGUUUGGAUACCUUGAUUUUUAAUUCUCAAGUAAUGAAAAGAAGUAAUUUUUUUUUUUUUUGAAAUUCAUUCGUAUAUAUUUUAGGUAAAUAAAUCAUAGACGAAUGUAUACAUUUCCUUGUUCUACUUAUCCACUGGAAAUUAAUAAUUCUUUUCAUUAUAUUAAACAUUCAAUAGAAAAAUAAUCAUGGUUAUCAUUCAAGAAUGUGUUUCUUCACAUUCCGCACUUAGUUCCACAAACGAUGCCUGCGAAGUGCUUACAUGCUUCACUCAUGGUGCACAAGUGCUGCAAAUAUGUGAAAUCUUUUUAUUUUAAGAUUUUCCCUCCAAAAUUAAACUUUUGUAGGAAAAUUUUUACUACGGCUCCCCAAGAUUUUGAAUAAAUUACAAUUCCGCCCCAACUCAAUUUUUAUUCCCUCCCAUCUCCAACCUUUCAUUAAGGAAAAUGGCACUUUUUAUGACGUGAACAUUUGCAAAAUGUUACUAGUCGACCCUCAACCUUUUUUCUCACCAGAUGUUGCAUUUUGUUUUGUUUCUUUUUUGGAAAUGUUCAGUUUUAUUUAAUUGUGGUCACUUAUCAUCUCUUUGUUAAUUUAUCUCCACCAGGUUUUGAUGCUCCUUUUAGCCAAUAAAUACAUGCCCGGAUAAAGAUCAGUUAUAUUAUUUUCGCCGUUCUCUUUAAAAGUGAUCUUUAAUCUCUUCUCGAUAUAAUCAAGAGUUAUUCUGUAUGCCAGAUUUCAAUUGCAGACUCGUGAAUCUAUUACAUGAAUUGGACGACAGGUAGAAAAGUGACAGAGCAUCCAAGGAACAUCGCAGCAUACAGAAGACAUUGGCGGGCGGUAUGACAGUGAAAGGGUCAUCAUCAGAAUCUUCUCCUCCAUCUUCAAAUCAGCAAGAUCGUUUCAUGGAUAAAUUCAAUUUACUUGUGGCUAUAGGAUGCAAAGUCUGUUUAAUUUACUUCAUGGUGCCAAAAUAGGUGGAAUCCAGACUUAAAGAAAUUUACGUACUCGUGCAUCUCUUCGAGAAGGAUAGACCUUACAUAAUACAUGCUGAAUCUAUAUUGUGUUGGAAAUAAAAAAUAUGGAAAGAAAGACUAGAGAAAAAAUUCAGAGAUUUCUCCAAAAUUUAUUUGUAUUCUAUGGCUUGGCUCUAUAAAAUGUCUCAAGCACAAGGCCUUUUAUAGGUACAAAUGAUCCCAAAUACAUUGCAUAAACUUAAGAGAUCAAUUAAUGACCUUUCCUACAUACUAUGAAUAAUACAAUACAAACAACCAUUUGGAUACAUGAUUUAAAAUAAAUGCAUGAAUAUUAAAUAAACUAAUUCAUGUAUCAAAUUUAAUUUUACAUCAUUCAUGAAUCAAGUUUAGUUUCCAACGCCCCUUCUUAAACUUGAUUCCCUCUUGAUAACUCCAUUCCAAGUACGCAAUCUUGCAAAAUCAUCAUUCUUCAAUGGUUUGGUAAAAAUGUAUGCUACUUGAUCAUUGGUCUUCACAUAAGCAAGCUCAACUUCUUUGUUCUCAAUGCACUUUCUAAUGAAGUGAAAUCUCAUAUCUAUAUGCUUGCUUCGAUCAUGGAACAUAAGAUUUCGAUCAUGGAACAUAAGAUUUUGGGGCAUAUGAAGCAUCUCCAAUAACUUCUAUAGCCAAAUGGCACGACAAAUACACGAUGCAGCGAAAACAUAUUUAGUUUCACAAGUAGAAAGAGUCACAAUGGGCUAUUUUUUUGAACACCAAGUGAAAGCGGUGUUACCCAUGAAAAACAAAAAUCCAGUGGUGCUUUUUCGAUCAUUAAUAUCACUAGCCCAAUCACUAUCACUAUAACCAUGAAGCUUGAGAUUUGUAGAAGAAGAAUAAGCUAUGCCAUAAUCAAGGGUACCUUCAAUAUAGCGAAGUAUACUUUUAGCAAUCUCCAUGUAAGUUAACGUUGGUGACUCCAUAUAACGGUUAACAAGACCAAUACCAUAAAGAAUAUUAGGUCUUGUACAAGUCAAAUAUCUCAAGCUUCCAACAAGUUGUCUAUAGAAAGAUGUAUCCACUUUCGUACUAUCGUCAUAUUUUGACAUUUUUGUUCCGCACCCAAUGGGAGUACUCACCGGAUUGCAAUUUUGCAUUUUGAACCUAUCAAGAACUUUCUUUGCAUAAGCUUCUUGAAAAAUAAAAAUGCCAUUUUCAUUUUGUUUUACCUAAAUUCCAAAUUCUUGAGCCAUCAUUUUCUUAGAUUAGUCAAACAUGUUUUCAUUGUUGCCAGUGAUGAUCAAGUCAUCAACAUACAAGCACAUAAUCAAAAAACCUCCAAAUGCAUCCUUUUUAACAUAAAGAGCAUCCUCAUGUGGACAUUUGGUGAAUCCAUGAUUUUGCUGUUGAUCUGACUAUUCCAGGCUCUAGGCGCUUACUUCAAGCCAUAUAGCGCCUUCUUCAACUUCAAGAAUUUAUCUUCAUGUUCCUUGACAACAUAACCUAAUGGUUGUUGAAAGUAAACUUCCUCUUCAAGGUAUCCAUUCAAGAAAGUGGAAUUGAAGUCUGUUUUAUAAAUUUUCCACUUAUUUUGAGCUACGAAGGAAAUGAUUAAUCAAAUGGUUUCCAAGCGGGCAAUGGGGGCAAAGGCAUCAUCAUAGUCAAUGCCAUGCUUUUGGCUAUAGCCUUUGGCAACAAGUCUUACCUUGUAUUUAUCCAGUUCUCCUUUAGCAUUUUUUUCACUUUGUAUACCCAUUUCACGCCAAUUUCUUUUUGUCCUUUAUGACGAGACAGAGCUCCCAUGUAUUGUUCCUUUUUAUUUCUCGAAUCUCCUCAUACAUUGCAUGCCUCCAUUUUUUAUCUUUCAUUGCCUCUUCAAAUCUCAAUGGCUCGGUAUUAGGCAAGAGACAAAAUAAAGAUGGAUUAUCAACUAUUUCAGUUUCUUCAUAAAUCUUUGCAAAAUUUCUAAUACGACUCGGUCCUUUGGAUGGACUAUCAUGAGGAGAUUGAGCAGGCGAAUGCAGUGGAGUAGCAUCUUCACUUGCUUCUUGGCUAGAGUCUCCUUCUUCAAAAGGAAAAAUCACGUAUUCUUCAUUUUUCGUAACAUUUCAAUCCUAUGAGCUUCCUUCAUCGAAUUUCGCAUCUCUACUAAUAACAAUCUUCCCAUUGCAAGGAUUAUAAAACUUGUAGCUUUUGGAGCUUGGAUCAUAACCUAUGAAAACAAACUUCUCACUUUUCUCAACAAGUUUUAAUCUCUUCUCGUCUGGCACAUGAAUAUGGGUAAUACUACCAAAAACACGUAAGUGAGAAACACUAGGUUUCUUACCACUCCAAGCCUAUUGUGGAGUCAUGUCUUGAACACUCCUUGACCGAGAAAGAUUAGAUAAAUAUACGGCACAUGCAAUAGCUUCAGCCCAAAACUCUUUCUCUAUACUCUUGCUCUUAAGCAUACUACAAACCAUGUUGAGAAUAGUUCUAUUCUUCUGCUCAACAACACCAUUUUGUUGUGGUGAUCUUGAAACUGUGAGAAAAUGCUGAAUCCCAUUGGUAUAACAAAAAUUGUUAAACUCCUUGGAAGUGAAUUCUCCAUCACGAUCAGUCCUUAAUGCUUUAAUAGAGUUGCCACUCUCAUUUUCAACAAGAGCUUUAAAUUUUUUGAAUGCUCCAAAAACUUCAUCUUUCAUCUUCAAAAAAUAAACCCAAGUUUUGCGAGAAAAACCAUCAAUAAAUAGCAAGAAAUAAUUUUCUUUAUCAUGAGAAGGUGGUUUGAUUGGUCCGCACAUAUCCGUAUGAACAAGUUAGAGUGGUUUUGAUGCUCUUGAGGUGGAUUCUUUUGGAAACUUCUUCUAGCUUGCUUGCCAACGAGACAUCUGAUAAGUGCAAUUUGUGUACUUAUUUAUAUCAUUUUAUUAAACCUUUAUGUAAUCAAAUUAAUUUAGGUUCAUUUUUGUUCGUUUCAGUGUUCGACCAUUUUGAAGCAAUUAGAAAAGAAAAGGAUCAAUUGGCUAUUAAAUAGAAGUUGUGGACCAAAUAUAAAUUGAAAAAAAAAAGGAGGAGAAUUCAAGGAGUUGGAAACUUUAAUUUCAUUUGGACCUUUAUACUAGUUGGGCUGCCAACCAUGGUUUAUGUGUGUGUGUAUAUAUAUAUACAGCCAAACGUACAUGAACAAAAAAAGGGCAGGAAUAAGGUAGUCUUAGCCUUGCUGGCAGCCGCAGUGUGAGGGUUCGAUUCCUGAAAUAUGAAAUUGGACUCUUUGUGGGCACCAGUGUACAGGUAAGCUAUUGUUCCUUGGCCUGUUGGGACAUAUCCCGUGAGUUAUCUCCCUCAUGAUGCUCUAGGGGCCAGGCGGUCGGGGUUCAACCUUUUAGAAAAAAGGGCAGCCACUUGAGAUACACAUUGGAGAUUCGGGUUGCUAAAUUUGAGAUUGAUUUACACACCAACUAGGAGCAAAAAAAGGGGGACAAAACCUGGAGAAAGACAAAAAAGGCUGACCUGCUAUUGGAAAAAAAUACAAGGGUUGGCUGCUGAUUUUAUAUAUAUAUAUAUAUAUAUAUAUAUAUAUCACAUACAGAAGACAAGGAACGGAGAAUUGGGGUCAAACAUUGUGGCUGGGCUAGAUUUCAUAUACAGAAAAAUAAUUGAAGAUAUAGAAAACAACGACUGUUGGAUGAAAAAAUACGCACAGAUAGAAAGAAAAUAGUGGGUUGUUGCUGGAGAAAAACACGCAAAGCCGAUGAAAGUACGAAAUUGAGGAAUUAAUCACGUUCUGUCAAAUUUUGGUGAUGUUAUUCUACUUUAUGUAUUUAAUUCCAACAUUAUGUUGGACUAAUUUUUCUUGUGUAUUGGAUGAAAAUGAAAUCCAUUAUUAUUUAUUUUUAAUUCAAGACACGUGAUUUAGUUAAAUUCUUGCAAUUCAUAUUAAUCUUGCAUGCGUAAUUUUAUUAUUUGAUUGCUUAAUUACCAAUUAAAUAUAUGAUUGCUUGUUGUAGUAUUGAGAGGCUCACAAAAGGUUUAGAACACUGCUUGAUUAACAUGUAUGCAAUAAAUUUUCGGAAUAAUAUUUGCCACAUGUGCAAUCUCUGAGAUAAUUGUGAAAUUGAAUGCGUUUUAUUCAUUCGAAUUCGGACAAGAAGUAGAUUUGGAUCAUGAUUAUGACAGAUUUAAUUUGUCUUGAAAAAGAAAAUUAAUCACAAUAGAAUUAUCUAUUGUCAAAAAUGCAUAAACGAAGUAGUCAAGAAUUGGAAUAGAAAAUAAUAGGUGGACUCGUAAUUCAAUACAAUAUUCCUAUACUUUUUAAAUUCACAUUUUACAAGUUUUUGUAGAUUAAGUUAGAUUAAUUAAAAACCGUAGUUCACUUUUAUUUGUUUACUUUGAACCUAAUUAAAUACUAGUGCACUCAAUUAAAUUUUAUUCCUCAUGGGACAAUACUCUUAACUCACAAAAUCUAUUGCUUGUCAACGAUCCUGUGCGCUUGCGGUUUUCGCACGAACAAGUUUUUUACGUCGUUGACUGAAAAUAGUUUAUUUAAUUUGAGUUUAUUAGUUAUUUUUAGAUUUGAAGUUUUUAUUCCUUUUUUCUUUACUUUAUUUGUUUUAGGCUAUUCAUUGAACGAUCUAAGUCUCUUGUGUUUACUCUUCUCAGGAAAUCGUAGUUUAUGCAAAAUUCUGACGAGAUCGAACUUCUUCUAAUAGAUCCCGAAAUCGAAAGAACUUUUAGACAACGAAGAAGAGAACAUAGACAAGCAAGAGAAAAUGGCAAAAAAUCAACAUCCAAAUCAAGUUCAAAACCCUUUUCCACUACCCUAGCCAAUUCAGCCAAGGGCAGUAGCAAAUCAAAGAGAAGCUUUAGUGAGGGAUAAUGUAAAAUGUCAUGCCAGCUCUAGUGCAACUGACUAUCAUAUAUCCACCUUUUGGACUGGCCAACUUCCGUAUUAGGCCUAACGUUAUCAACUUAUUCCAAAAUCAUCAAGAUAUCAGGUUCUUUGGAAGAUCAACCAAAAAUCCUGACGAACAUAUUCUGGCAUUCUCGAUGCUCUGCGAUAUGAUCAACCACGAGAAAAUGUCUAUGGAUAUUUUUUGACUAUGCCUAUUUCCUCAUACAUUAAAGGAGGGCGCAAGAGAAUGAAUAAAUUCCUUAACUCCUGGGAGCAUCGUUUCACGAAAUUAGAUGGUACAGAGGUUCACAUUGAAAUUUUUCCUGCCAUCUCGAGUCCAUCAUAUCCGAAAUGAAGUCCAUACUUUCAGGCAAAAGGACCUCGAGAGCUAUCCAGAAGCAUGGAAAAGAUUCAAAGAGUAUUUCAGAAAGUGUCCUACUUUGAAUAUUCUAAAAGAAUAAAAAAUAUGCCUAUUCUAUUAAAGCUUGAGACCUGAAUUUCACAACAUCCCAAAUGCUUCUGUAGGAGGGUCGAUAUCGGAUAUUUCGUUGGAUAAUGCCUUGGAACUUUUUGAGCGAAUUGUAGAAAAUCAAUCUAGUGGCCGAGGGACAGGGAAGUCCAGAGGAAAACAAAUGGUAUAUAUAAUGUGGACGCAGUGAUAGGGUUGACAGCACAGAUGGAAACAAUAACAAGAAAGCUUGACACUUUGACCCAUCCUAUGAAUAUAUUACAAAAUCCAGCUCUAAAAUGUGAAGGUUGUAGGGCAAAUCACAUUACUGUAAGUUGUCCUUUGGUUUCUACUCACAUAGGUCAGCCAGUAAAGAUCAGUUAUGCGCAGAACUAUUAGAGGCAAAAUAGACCUUACCCACACAACUACCAUCUAAGUUUGAACAAGUAUCCCAACUAUGCGUGGUUUAACAAUUCGGAUUAAGUAAAUUAUAUGAGGAGCAAUCCACCAAGAUUCAGCAACAAGAAGAAAAGAGGCAAUUAUUGGAGGAUCUACUUGUCAAGUACAUCACUAAGUUUGAGACGGUGAUACACAAUCAGCAAGCCUCUAUACAUAACAUAGAGAAACACGUGGGACAUAUAGCAGUUGCAUUAGCCAAAGACCACAAGGUACCUUACCCAGUGAUAUAGAAAAGAACCCAAAGGAAUAGGUAUUAGCAGUUGAAGUUGUGAAUUAUGCAACUAUCGAUACACCAUCGAUCAAGCCUGCUACACCUGUUCAAGCUUAUGUACCGCCUAUCCCAUUCCCUCAAAGGGUUCAAAGACCGUCUAAAAAGGAACAAAGCUAGGCUAUCACAACGAGAAGCGGAGUUCAGCCGCCAGAAACCACAUUGAAGAAGAAAGAGACUGGGGAGAAUCAAGUACAUAUCUCGAAGGAAGAACAAGUGGGCCAGUUUAAAAAAUCAUCAAAUGUUAAUCAAGAAGAACAGUUACAGAAUAAUAAACUGGACAAACAAUUCAAAAAUUUCUUGGAUGCCUUUAGAUAACUUCACGUCAACCUACCUUUCAUUGACACCAUUUUAUAAAUUUCAAAUUAUGCUAAGUUUUUGAAGGAGAUGUUGACAAAGAAGAGAAAACUGCUAAAAGAUGAAACAGUAACAUUGACAUAUGAGUGUAGCGUGAUCAUUCAGCGUAGGAUCCCUCCGAAACUUAAAGAUCCAGGGAAUUUUACUCUACAUUUCUCCAUAGGAAAUUUACAAGAUAUAAAUUGUUUAAUUGACUCAGGAGUAAGUAUUAACUUAAUUCAUUUGCCUCUUUACAGGAAACUAGGAUUGAGAGAUCCUAAGGCUGCUUCUAUCAUCCUUCAACUGGUAGAUCGAUCACUGAAACACUUCUAUGGAAUAGUUGAAGACAUGCUUAUCAAGGUGGAAGAGUUUAUUUUUCCAGCUGACCUCAUCAUCCUCGAUAUAGAAGAGGCAUAUCAGAUGUCAAUAAUCUUGGGAAGGCCAUUCUUGUCUAUAAGCCGAGCAUUGCAAGAUUUCGAUGCUAAUGAGAUAGUCUUGAGGAUGAAGGAUAAGCAAUAGAGCUUUACAUGGAGAAUCCAAUUAAACAACCAUCGUACUUUGAGGAUUGCCAAUAAGUUGGUCAUUGGGAAAGCUACAAAGGCAAGCCAAAUGAAGGUGGAAUUGUUGGUAGAGAUAGCGAUGGAAACAUAAUUGUUUGGGGGAUGAAAGAUGAAAGAAGGAAGUACAAUCAGUGCAUAAAAUGCAGAGCUGAAUAUUCCCUCUUCCAACCACCAUGAAUACCAAAACAACAAAGUCUAACUAAAUACUAUAAAUUAAGCGCUUAUUGGAAGAUAACCUAAUUUCAUUACCAUUUAUUUAUUUUGCUUUGUUGAUCGUAUUGCAUAUAAACUUGUUUUGAUUAUUAGUAUGCAUUAGAUUUAGGCACGUUUAAAUUUAUAGGGUAUCAUCAUCCGAUAAUGUUUUCGCUAAGGCUCUUAAAUUUAAUGUUGGUUAUUUCGAGUGUUUGGGCUAAGUAAUACACGUUUUAGAUUAUUUGAUAUCUAAUGUUUGAUUUGAUUGUCAUAUGCAAAAACAUAACGUCGUCGAACACCCAAACCCAUAUAGACCAAGAAAAAGCAUGAUGAGAAAAAUUGUCUGGCCGUCACCCAUAGUCCAUUCCACAAUCAAUAGAAACAUCUAGGGAGUAUCUUUUUCCUUUUCUUUCCCGUCCCCUUAUAUUUUUAAUUAUGCUUUAAGAUAUUAAGGACAAUAUCUAGUUUAAGUUUAGGGUGGAAAAAACUUUAAAGCUUUGGUUUUUCGUAUUUUUUUGUUCGUUUGUCUUGUGUGUUUAUAAAUAAAUAAAUAAAAAUUGUUUUUGUGUGAUAAAAAAUAUCGUUAAAUUUUUUUAUUUUUUUACUUUUGGCUGUGUGCUUGUGUUAGUUAGACAGUUUAGUUAAUAAUGAUGAUUAAAUUUGAAAUUUGAUGUUGAUUUAUGAACUAUAGAUAGGGAGCAUGCUAGAUGGAUUGAAAAUUAAACUUGCAAAACUUGAUAUUAUAUACGCACUAAAAUUGAGUUUGACAUUAUGAUGAAAUGAGUUGAUUCAUGCAUUUGAUAGAUUGAUUUAGUUAAACAUAGAUGCUUUACGCAAACCAUACUAAUUAUAUAUCCUUAGACCAAAUUUAGCACAAUUUGGAGUUUACUGUUGUAGGAAAAUACGGAUAUGAAUGUGGAUUUCUCUUGUGAAAAAGUUUGUGUGGAUUGUCUUAGCUUAACAAGAUAAAAUUGGGUGAAAGUCUUAAAUUGAAAGUCAAUUUUUUCGAAUGGUUGUGUGGUAAGGGGCAUUGCACUGAUCAAAGCAUAUAUUUUUAAAUUUAAAACUUCUCUUCGAAACCUUUAUUACUCGAUUAAUUAAGCUUGUAAGGGUAUCUUAAAACUUGGUGCCUUAAAAUCAUCUGACUUGAGAGUCAUCAACCUAAAGCCUGCUAUAUGAGUAAUCUAAAAAGUUUAAGGAGGAGACAAAAGAAAAAAAAAAUUUUUUAAAAAUCAGAAAAAGUAAGUGCAUGAAAAAAGCAAAAAUACUAAAUGCCUUGUUAUGCCCCAACACUUGUUUGAGAGAAUUUGACUUCUAAUUAAAUGAUGACAGUCGAAGCAAUCAAAUAAUUGGAGAAUUCUAGUUUAUUGACGUGUUGACUUGCAACUAGUGACGUCUAUCUAAAUUGGAGAGGAACGGGAUAGUAAUAAAAAAUUCAAUCUUGGAUCACAAGCUGGGAAAAGAGUGAAAAAGAAUAAGUUUGGGGGUGUGUGAAUCUUACAAGAGAUUAAAGGAUAUAUUUGACCAUAAAAUCUUACAAUAAAAUCUGAUAGAGUGACUAACAUAAUGAAUUUUAGCUAAGGGAGACAAAAAAAAUGUUUUUAUAGCAUUUAAAAAGAAUAAAGCCUCCUGUCCCGUGUCGGGGACGGGGGAAAAUAGGGACACCACAUGGCGAUAGGCGUCACAUGGCUCCCUUGUCCCUGUCCCUGUCUCCAAUCCGGGACAAGGAGUAGGGUUGAUUUAAUAAUUAGAAAAAGAAGUUUGGAUAAGUCGUGGACCACCUUAAUAACCUCAAAUCAAUAGCAUGUUAUUUGCCAUUGUUGACUCCUAUGAAAAGGUCAAUUUGAACUAGCAAUGGUCAUCUUCACCCAUAUGGAGGUAUCGGUUAAGGUCCACAAAGGCGGCUGGAAGGAAGCUUUACGUGCCAGACUUUUUUGUUGAGCAAAUUUGGAACACAAAAUCAUCAAAGUGGAAUGGUCCAAAACCAUAACCACCACAUAGUACUAAUCCAAACUUCUCUAUUAUUGCACAAACUCCACUAGUGUAUUCACCAUUCUAAAAGUGACACAUAUUUUCGUUUUUUAGCUUAUGUAUUUAACACACCUUUUGCACAAUACUCAUUUUUUAUUAGUCAGUAACUAAGACAAAUUUCAUUUAAAAUUGAGUGGUAGUGAGACUUGAACUCGGACCCUUCACUUGCUAUGCUACCAUAUUAAAUAACACUGACAACGUUGUGACUAAAGCUAAGUUAAAAUUACUUAUUGAUUAAUAAAUUAUUUAAGAAAUUACAACCUACUUUAUAGCAAUAGUGAAGUAGUAACACGAGGGAAUGGUGAAAAGGAAACCCCAUCGAGGAGUGAAAUGAAAUAUGAAACCAUAAACUCCCAAACAGUGAGAAGAGCCAGGUCUCUUAAGUCCAAUGAAGCAUACUCCUCACAUGACUUGAGUAAAUUACAGAAACAUCACUUGAGGUUUAUAAAAAACACGAAGAAAACAUUUAUUAUUUAAAAAUUGCAAAAAUCUUUAUUAUUAUCAUAAUAUUUCCAUUUAACUCCUUCUGUUUUCUUAUUUCUCUUUCCCUUAAUUUCUAUUUAGGGAAAAAAAGUUGUUUGAUUUUAAAGAAAAUUAAAUAGUUUAAUUUUAAAUUGAUUUGCAUUUAAAAAAUAAUACAAAGCAUCUAAUACAAAAGUGAAGUAAAAAGAAAUCUAACCAUUAAACGUUUGUUUCCAACUUUAUUUCAUUUUACUGUUACGUACUUCAAUUUUCUAAACUUAGUAUGUUAUAAAUUUUAAGAGUAUAAAAAAAUGAAAAAACUGAGAAAAUGCUAAUAAAUCGAACAGCAUAAAUAUUUGACGAUUUUUAAUUAGCUUUAUUAAAGGAUUAUAAAACAUGUAUUUAUAUUGAUUUGUUAAUUAUUUCUAAUCGGAUUUGAAAAAAAAAAGCUCUUUAUAAUUUAAUAAGACAAUAAAGAUAUUUAUAAUAGUACUUGUUUCUAUUGAAACUAAUCAUUUCAUCAAAAUCGAAAGAAUAAAGAGGAGAAAGUAUGGUACUCUGAAUAUAAUAUAAUACGGAUAUCAGAAGAGUUAAAAUAAAAGAAUUUCAAAAUAAUAUAAUUGAAAUGGUAAAAUGGUAAAUUACAUAUAUGCCUUUUGUCGAUAUUAACAAGAGAUUUUCAUAAUUUUUGAAAAGCGGAUGAUAAAUCUUUAAUAUUCGGUAACCUCAAGGGGGUAGCUAAAACUAGUUCUUUUAGUGCAACAACAAUGAUUAGUAAAGGAGAUUCUACCAAUUUCAACUGGAAAUGAAAUUCAAAUUGGGUUAUUAAGUUGGUAGAAACAAUUGAUAAGUACUCCACAAACUCAUUAGACUCGGUCUGCUCAUCGAUCCAAUUAAAGCAUCAUAUCACUAGGUUAGUAGUUCAACAGAUGAGUUAGUGAUUUAAUUAGUGGGUCGUUAUCAAGUCAAAAGUUUAUAUAUUAUAAUUUAAAAUUUUAUCUUGUUUGAUCGUGAUUAAAACUUAGAUUUUAAUUUUAGUCAAAGUCAAUAAUUAAUUUUAACUACAUAUUUUAUGGGUCCCACAACUUUUCGACCACACAUUUUAUGAAAUUUUAUCAAAAUUUAUAAAAAAAAUCUUAUUUUAAUCCCCACUAAAGAAGGGCUUAUCAUUUGAACAAUUAUAUUUUAUAAGUUCUUAAAUUUUCUUUCUUGUUUUAAAAUAAAAUUGAAGGCGUAACAUAUAUUUAAUCACACUAUUUGAUAGGGUCUAAAAUUUAGAUUUAAAUUCAAGUCAAAAUCAACAAUGAAUUUUAAUCACAUAUUUCAUGGAUCUCACAAUUUUUCAAUUUCACUUUCACCUAGUUUUAUUAAAAAUUGCUAAAUAUUUGAUUUUAAUCUUCAUCAAGCAAGCUAAACAAAUCUACUACUAGCGGUAAUACUUUUGUUUAGUCGCAGGUCUAACAGCUAACGGUUGAAGCCUGGUGAAAAGUGGCUUCCUCCAUCAACUUUGAGGGUCCUGGGUUCAAGGCGUGACAUGGCCCCUUAUACAUUAUAAAAAGAAUUGGCCAGUUUUGCAAAACUAGACUAGUUCUUGAUAAAUUUGAACUGUUCGACGGGUUUAAAACAUUUUAAAUGCUAAUUGAUCCAAAAAAACUAUUUGUAUUGGACGGGUUUUGUUCACUGAUUUUCUGAUCAAACUGACAAUUCUACUUAGAGUACUUUCCACAACUUCAAUCCAGAAUAUGUUCCUAUUCACGAAUUAAAGAAAUAAUUAUCAAGAUCAAAAUAAUCUUUGGUUUAGAUUUCAUGAUUCGAACUAAUUACCCUAAAUUUUCAAUAUUUGGUCAAUCAUAAAUAAUUAGAAAGGAGACAUGAAAAAAUGUCUUACAGUUGGCACAAUUCUACCAAAUUAUUCUGACCCAUGGAACAAUGCCAACCGUCAAUUUAAACAAGUACAAACAUGAAUUUUAUAAGUUAGAUCAAUUAAUUUUCUUCACAAAAAUCGGGAAGAGGAGGAAAAAUGGAGAACUGUGCAAUGGCUCUAUCUCCUUUCAAAUCAUUCAACAAGUCUACAAAAAUUCCAUUUAGGAAAAUCAGCUACAGAUUCAGCGACAAAUAUAGAGCAGUUUUGUGUGGGAACUCUACAAAAUCAUUCAUCAAAUCGUCCCAUAAUGUUCUCUCUCUAUAUUCUACUUCGAAUUUUAAUAAAAAAUACUCGACAUUGUUGUCUGAGACUCAAACAUCAUUCGAGUUCAAGGUUAAGUCAUCGGCCGCAGUUCCUGAAAGUGUAAGUGAUGCUGGAAAUAGCAAUGGCGUGUUCAAGACUUUGCAGCUUGGAUCAAUGUUUGCAGUAUGGUAUCUACUAAACAUCUACUUCAACAUUUACAAUUGAAAAACCUAUCGUUCGACCCAACUAACACCUAGAGGGGGGGUAAAUAGGUGUUCUUGCGGAAUUAAAAACUUUUUGAAUAAUUCAUGCAACAAGUCACACAAAUUAUAAUUUGUCUAGAUUAAUUCACGUGCUUUAUCUGCCUAUGUUGGAUUACCAUUGACAAGUAAAUAAAUUAAAGCGGUAAAAACACAAUAAACAUAUUGACGGAGAAACCCAACUGGGUAAAAACUCCGGGCACAAGCCAGUAGAGAUUCAUUAUUGUAGAAACCAACUUACAGCACGCCAGACAUCAUUGACACUCUCAAUUUUCUGACCUUCUUGCUGUAUGAACUCAAGACCCUCCUGGAUUUUGCAAAUCUGUGCUAAAUCCCAGCCUUGUAUAAUUUCUACCUCCCGUGAAUCGCCACGCACUCCAGCUCUUCAAGCAAAUCCUUCCCGGAUCUUCAAACUGAUGAUCUUCUGGAAGUUUAAUUGGAGUUGUCAGACAGGUAUUUUGGUGUUUAUGGAUUUGAUGUUUUUUUUUUUUUACUCAACAACCCAAAGAUUGGUAUGAGAACAAUGAAGGAUUUCUUUGGUUUUUGAUCCUUGGAGAGAAUGAUUUUGAUUUUUGGUUGCCAAGGAAUUGAAAGGAUAUUCAAAGUGUUUUCAAUGUGAAUUUUCGGGUUAAUGAACACGAAUCAGACGUUUGGUAUAUAUAGAGGUCGAUAUAUGGUAAUGUGGAGCGUCAAACAUUCGCGAGCGUUUAAAAUUAGAAUUCGCUAGCUAACACGGUCGCUCGAGCGAUGGCUCAGCGUGAGUCCAACGAAGUUGGUUCUGCAAUUGUGGCUCGAGCGAGGUCAGGGCGAGACUCUAGCGAAUCAAAGUGCCGCUUGCAUCUUCGAGGCAUCCCACACAACCCUAGACCUAGCCUAUAAACUUUAGUUAAUUGCAACUCUAGUCUCUGAACUAUUGGACAUUGACAAUUUGGUCCUUGACUUUACAAUUUUGACAAUUUGGUCCUUGGUCACAGAUUUGCCAAUUACAUAUUUUCCUAACAAACUCCCCCUUUGGCAUUCUGUGACAAAAACACAUUUGACAGUCAAGGAUAAAAAACAAAUUGACUCCAAACUACCAAUCUAUUCUAUCACAUCAGCAAUAUCUUGUUGAACCUAUUUCCUGAAAAACAAAACUCAAAUACCACGUGAAAAAGCAUGUGAAAUGGAAACGGUAAAUAUAGAGAAGAUAUAAAUCAUAUAUCAUUAACCAGAUUAAGAAGCAAUAAUAAUGUAUGUCUAAAACACCAAAAACAGACAUUAAGAUUGCCAAAACAUCAAAAACUUAAUCUAGUUAUAAAAUGACAUAUAUACAUCAACUUUAUAUCACAGUUAUCAAAAAAUAAUUAUCUGCUCCAAUAUCUAUGCAGCUCCAAUAUCUAUGCAAUCUACUCCAUAUCAACUCAAUCAAUCUACUCCCCCUUUUUGUCACAAAGGGCCAAAGAAAAGCGAAAGCAACAAAAUGAACUAAGAAGCAGCAUCUCCAGCACUGGAAGAAUCAGAACCACUCUCAGCACUCGUGCUCUCCUCCAAAUGAUCUCGAAUCCAGCUCAACUGACACUGACAGACAGCAAGAGCAUGGCGAAACGUAGACAUCUUGGCUGACUGACGCUCUGAAGCAGCACGUAACUGCGUGAUCUCAAAUAUCAUACGAGCCUGCUGCUCGAUCAGUGUAGACAUCUGACCCACAAGCGUCACCAUGGGAUCAACGGGCAGAGAAGCCACCCUCGGAGCAAAAGUAGAUGUCGAAGCAAACGCAGAGCUGAGAGGCAUAACAGAAGGAUAAACUGGACGAGGAGGGAGAAACACACGGGAGCCCCCUGUAAGAAUCUCAGUAAUAGGAUCAAAGGGCUCCGAAGGAUCAAAAACAUCAGUGGUCGCAGCCGGAGCAGUAGAGGAAGAUGAUAGUACAUGGGAUCGACUCUGAUGAAUGGUCUGCUGUCCAAUCGGACGUCCUAUGCGACAAGUCGAACCCUCCGGAAAAGAGGCACCCAAAGACAACGCAACCCGAUGAAUCAAACAAGCAUAAGGCAACCCGAUCCGACCCCCAGGAGUAUGAAAGGAAGCCAGAAUAUUCUGUCACACAAAACUAGGAAAGUCGAUCGAGUCCCCAUGAAGAACGGCAUACAGAAAAUGGGCACGCACCAUAGGUAGAGAAGAGGUAUGGGCAACAGGCCACAGGUUUGUGCACACUAUGCGCAACAAGACCUGACGAUCAGUAGGCAAUGACCCCGUGGCCAUCGCCGUAGGCCCACCGAUAGACGGGGUGUUCAAGAGCGUAGACCGAACAAGAGUAUCGGCCGGAAUAGAAGCAGGUAAAAUAUAGGGAUACGUCGGAUGGGUAAUCUGAGGUAUACCUAAGGCAUGAGCUAUAGCCGAUGGAGUAACUCUAAACGAAUGACCUCUAAGAGUAACCCUAAAGGACGAGCCGUCUAUAUCAUGAAUAUUCGCGUAGAAUUCCUGAACGAGGAGUGGGGGAGGAGGUGAAAGACCAAUGAGAAGGGGCUCCCAACCUCGGGAAACAAAAAUGGCGGCUAUAUCAACAGGAAGGUCAGAUAAGAUUACCUCACGCUCCACGAAAACGGGGCGUAAGGAGAACUGAGAAGUGAAGAUUUCCUGAGCUGUAGCAGAAAUGAAUCUGGAACGACUAUACGACGUCGAACCACUAGCUGGCUGUGCAGAGGAUCGAGAACGCUUACGGGCCAUCUGGCAUUUGUAGAGACAAAACUAAUAAGUAAUAUGAAGAAUGCAUGUGAUUCGAUGCAAUGUGGAAUGAAACACCACACACACAAAAGAGGCACAAUAGAGAUGCAUCGACAAACGUGAAUGACCCUAAGCACAAACGAAGUAAGAUGAAGAUAUAGACCAAAAACAUAUGGGAACACACCUAUCAUGGCACGUGAUGACAAAGAACCAACGACGGAAAGGAAAGAAAGAAAUGAGAUGCGCAGAAAAAAAGGGAAACAAAGAGUAAAAUAGGUAAGGAAUUUCAUCGAGCAUGUGGCGUGCAUCACUUUGUCACACAAUUCCAAGCACAUGUGAGAUCCAAUCACCCAUCCAAUCAUAGUCCCUCAAACUAGAAAUGACGUACUUUAAAAUGAAACAAACCACACAUCAAACGGAUUAACGGAAUGCAAGAACGAACGAAUUGAAAAUGGAUGAAAAAUAUGUAAAUCACAUAGUUCGAAGAAUGAAGAAAUCAACAAUGCAAUGGAAAUCGUGAUGCACAAUGCGGGAAAGAACUCCCAAUGAAACACGGAAUGUCGAAGCCACUAUUAAUUAAGUAACAAUCAAGCAAGAAUACCAAAGUAAGCCAAACACACGACAAAGAGAAGGAAAACGAAAAAAAGAAAAAAAAAUUACCUCAAUAUGAAGUUUGGCAAAGGAAAUCCGAAAACAAAUAUGUUAUGAACCGUAGAGUGAUGUUAUUAGAGGAAUAUGGGGAUGAAAUAUGGAGGAAAUCACGAAGAAAAACAAAGGAGAAGAGAAAAAGAAGAAAAUGCGCGAAAAAAAUGAAACAGGGCCGUUUUAAAAUAGGCCUGUCGCUCGAGCGAGGGUCCAGCGAGACUCGGGCGACAGGCAAACUGCUUUUGUCGCUCGAGCGAAGACCAGGCGAGACUCGAGCGAAACACCAAAUGUCAAAAAUAGCACCAAAAAUUUGAAUUUUGAGAAAAAUAACAUAAUCUUCAAGAAAUGACGAAAUUAGCCCCAAAUCGUGAAAUUUCAAAAAUAAGUGAACUACGUAAUAGUAGAAAAUAAUCCAAAAAAUAGCAUGAAACCACAUAUGCAAUCAAAACCAACAAUAAGCAUAAAAUCAAAAACUCGACCACCAGCACGUAGACAAAUCGUUAAUCCACACAUAGUUCAGAAUCCUGUGUAGUAAAGUGUAUACAGAACAUCAACGUGAAAAGUGCCACGUAGGCCAUGCAAGCUAGACUCAAAACCUUAAAUUAGUGAGAAAGGACACGUGAAAACAACCCGACAAAGGUGAAUGUCGACCAAAUGACAGUCAAAUUCAAUUCCACGAGGACCUAUAUCAAAUACUAUGAUUGUCACAAUUUUACUUUCCCUAACUGUAUGAUUCCAACUUUUUUUUUUUGUUUAUUGUUUUCAUUUAACAAAGAACUUAAGUGCAAUGCCAUCCCAUUAGACAACAUAAAUGACCCCUGUAACGAACUUUUGGCCGGUGACUCCCAAGUCAGACGACCAUAGGGCACCAGGUUAGAAACCCCUCAGGCUUAAUUGUUCGAGUCAAAUAGGCCCCGAAGAUAGCCAUAAGUUCAACAAAGAACAAAAGUAAAACUGGGGAAAGACAAUAUUGAUUAGGUUACACUCAUCCCAGAUCAAGUCAAAUGUACAUACAACCCCAAUCAUAGAAGAACACCAUCCCAAGUCUCACCCAUGCGGUCAAGACUCACUUACAGGACUACAGUGUGUGUUGUGUGAAAAUGAAUGACGAGCCAUAUACCCAGAACUCCACAUUGAAAAAUGAACAAAGAUGGAUCCUCAGAUUCAUACACAUGUUGGAAAAUAGAAUUUGAUCUUUAAUGCAAAUGCCAGAAUCAUUACAUAAAAGUCCCAAAAAAAAAUUUAUUCUAUUUUAUUUUAUCUGGUCUUUUUUUUUUAUUAAAACACACAUAUAACACAUAACAGAAGACUAAACAAAACAAAAGAAAUACAUCACACACACACAAAUCACACGCAAGAUAUGAAGUGAUGAGGUACAUAUGUGAUGAAUGCAUGAACAUGCAUGAAUCCAUGAUCAAAUAGGUGAGCAAACACCAACAACCGUCCGAAGCGACUCAAACCUCAAUCCAUCUAGUGGUUUCGAAAGUAGAUCAGCCAAUUGAUUAUCAGUAGAGACAUGGUCAAGAGAGACAACAUGUGAUUCAACAAGCUCUCGAAUGAAAUGAUGUCGUAUGUCAAUAUGUUUUGUUCGAGAGUGCUGAAUGGGAUUCUUAGAAAUAUUUAUCACACUCGUAUUAUCACAGAAAACAGUCAUUGUCCCUUGACUAAUCCCAUAAUCACUAAGCAUUUGUUUCAUCCAGAGAAGCUGAGUACAGCAACGCCCUGCAGCUAUGUAUUCGGCCUCUGCCGUGGAUAAAGAUAUUGAAUUUUGUUUCUUACUUAGCCAGGCUACGAGAUUGCUACCCAUGUAAAAACAACCCCCAGUCGUACUUUUCCUAUCAUCUGCAUUUCCAGCCCAAUCAGCGUCGGAGUAUCCAGCCAAAUCAAGAUUGGAAUUCCUAGAAUAGAAUAUCCCUAGAUCCACUGUACCACUGAUAUACCUGAUUAUGCGUCUAACAGAGCUUAGGUGUGACUCUUUUGGAUCUGCCUGAAAGCGAGCACACACUCCUACACUAAAGGCAAUGUCAGGCCUAGUAGCUGUGAGAUAGAGAAGACUACCUAUCAUGCUACGAUAUAGGGAAGGAUCUACACUCUUACCAGAAGGAUCACGACCUAACUUUAAGCUAGUACUCAUCGGUGUCCUAGUAUGCUUCUUACUAUCUAACCCAAAUCGCUUAACGAGAUCCUUAGCAUACUUAGAUUGUGAGAUAAAUAGUCCAUCCUCUGUCUGUCGUACCUAAAGUCCAAGGAAAUAACUUAACUUCCCAACCAUACUCAUCUCGAACUCUCUCUGUAGACACUCAGCAAACUCAAAUGCUAAAGACUCAAGAGGAGACCCAAAAAUGAUAUCAUCGACAUAAAUCUGAGCAAUGGUAAAAUUUUCUUCUAUAUGUCUAAUGAAUAAGGUCCUAUCUGCACCACCUCGAGAGAACCCAUGUUCUUCCAGAUAUGAUGUAAGUCUCUCAUACCAAGCUCUAGGAGCUUACUUCAAACCAUAGAGUGCUUUGUGAAGUUUGUAGACAUAGUGGGGAAAUUUUGGAUCAACAAAUCCCUUAGGUUGUUCCACAUAUACUUCUUCCUGAAGAAGUCCAUUCAAGAAGGCACUCUUAACGUCCAUUUGAUGCAACUUGAACCCUAAGGUACAUGCAACAGCAAGCAGAAUCCUAAUAGACUCAAGUCGUGCAACGGGGGCAAAAGUCUCAUCAAAAUCAAUCCCCUCAACUUGAGUAUACCCCUGAGCAACUAAUCUAGCCUUAUUCCUAGUUAUAGUACCUUGGUCAUCUGUCUUGUUCUUAAAGAUCCACUUGGUACCAAUAACAUUACAAUUUUCAGGUCUGGGAACUAAGAUCCACACAUUAUUCCUAGCAAAUUGAUUUAGCUCCUCAUGCAUCGCAUUCACCCAACACUCAUCACUAAGGGGCUCUUGAACUUUUUUAGGCUGUACCUGAGAAACAUAGCUAGUGUACGCUAGAUUGUUCAGUACUCUCCUACGAAGUCUCAUCCCUUCAUCUAGAUCCCCAAUAAUAUUAUCCUUAGGAUGACUAGACUUAACCCUAGUCGAUGGUUCCUUAGGAUUUUUAUCUAGAUUUUGUGGAAGUGUUUCCUUUUCAGAUGUUUCAGGUUUCUUACAAGAUGAUUCAAGCACAGGUAGCUCGGUAGGAUCACUUGAACUCAAAAGAUCACCAUCUUUAUCACAUUUUUCAGCACUCUCCCCCUCACUAACAGCAUCAUCUAUCACAACAUUUAUAGACUCCAUCACCACACGGGUACGUAAGUUAUACACUCUAAAUGCUCGGCUAUUCCUAGAGUACCCUAGGAAGAUCCCUUCAUCACUCUUUGAUUCAAACUUACUCAAGUUCUCUCUAUCCCGCAAAAUGUAGCACUUACUCCCAAAUACUCGAAAAUACUUAACAGUAGGCUUUUUACCCUUAAGAAUUUCAUAUGGGGUAUGAUCAGUCUUGGGUCUAAGGUAGACUCUAUUGAUGAUGUGGCAUGCAGUGUUAAUAGCUCCUCCCCAAAAGUGUAGGGCUAAUUUCUUGCCAUGAAGCAUGGCUCUAGCCAUGUCCUGAAGGACACGAUUCUUCCUUUCAACUACCCCAUUUUGUUGCGGAGUGAUAGGGGAAGAGAACUCAUGCAAUAUCCCUUCGUCUAUACAGAAACUCUCAAGAUUAAAGUUCUCAAACUCUUUUCCAUGGUCACUACGCAUCCUAGACACUUUGAGAUUCAGUUCAUUGCUAAGCCGUUUACACAGAGACUUUAUGAGGUCACAAGCAUCAGAUUUUUCCCUAAGCAAUUCUAUCCAAGUAAACCUCGAGAAGUCGUCUACCACGACAAGAAUGUAUCGCUUACCACCUAAACUCUCAGUCCUAGAAGGUCCCAUCAAAUCCAUAUGUACCAACUCCAGGGGUCUUUUGGUCAGAAUUUUAGUAGUCUUCUUAUGGCUCCCCUUAAGUUGUUUACCUAGUUGACAUGGUCCGCACACUACAUUGUCACUAGGAACUAUCUUAGGCAACCCAUCUAUCAAUUCUUUCUUAGCCAACUGCUCUAGACUCUUAUGGUUCAAAUGACCUAAUCUUUUGUGCCAGAGCUCACUCACAUCAAUUUUAACACUCCUACACACAUAGUUAGAAUUAGGUAAUACCCCAUAACAAUUGUCAGAUGUUCUAACCCCUUCAAGGACUAGCCCACCGGAUGAAUCAUACACGGUACAUCUCUUCUGCACAAAACUAACCUCAAAGUCGUCAUCACAAAUCUGACUGAUGCUUCACAAAUUUGACUUUAAACCUUCCACAUAAAGCACAUUAGAGAUCACAGGUAAACCAUGCAUUUGUACAAUACCUUUGCCAAGAAUAGGUGUAGAGCUCCCAUCUCCAAAGGUAACCAUCCCACCAUUACAUUCAUCAAGAGUAGUGAAUAGAGCUUUAUUACCACACAUAUGCCUAGAACAUGCACUAUCCAGGUACCACAUAUUAGAAUUUUGAGCUUUUAAGGCAACAUGAGCAACAAAACAGUUUUCUUGACCUGAAAGUCUUCCUAGAUCACCCUUUUUGACUCAAACCUUUUUAGAUGACAAAGUACUCUUAGUUAGCUUAGUAAGCAUCUCAGUCAAAUGAUUAACUUGAUUAGACAGAAAGCUAACCUGACUAGGAAUGUUUUGAUUUCUACGCUCAUUGCCUAACUUAUAAUAUUUAGGCCUAGUGUGUCCUGGAGGUCCACAAUGGUGACAGGUGGGAAUGAACCUAGGCUCAAAGGUACGUGUCUGUGGGUACCUAGUCUUGAUGUUCCUACGUUGUGAAUUUUCGGGUUAAUGAACACGAAUCAGACGUUUGGUAUAUAUAAAGGUCGAUAUAUGGUAAUGUGGAGCGUCAAACAUUCGCGAGCGUUUAAAAUUAGAAUUGGCUAGCUAACACGGUCGCUCGAGCGAGGUACUGGCGAGCCUCGAGCGACGUACAUUUCACUCGAGCGAUGGCUCAGCGUGAGUCCAGCGAAGUUGGUUCUGCAAUUGUGGCUCGAGCGAGGUCAGGGCGAGACUCUAGCGAAAUCAAAGUGCCGCUUACAUCUUCGAGGCAUCCCACACAACCCUAGACCUAGCCUAUAAACUUUAGUUAAUUGCAACUCUAGUCCCUGAACUAUUGGACAUUGACAAUUUGGUCCUUGACUUUACAAUUUUGACAAUUUGAUCCUUGGUCACAGAUUUGCCAAUUACAUAUUUUCCUAACAACAAUAAACAGGUUCCUUUUCUUCUUUCUGUUUGUCUUUACUUAUUUGAUCUUUUAAUAUUUCUUUUUUCUUUUAAUUCUUGUUACUUCGAAAAAUACACUUAGAAAAGAAUGGUGUGAUAUCAGUACAAGAAGUCGCACAAGGACAGCUGAACUAAAGUUGUUUUGAAUAUUUACAUUAAUGUAGCGAUAACCGGAGGAUUUACAGUGUCGUCCCGAAUACAUAUUUGUUUAAUGACAUGAUUUGUAAUAUUUGUAAUAGCAAAUAGUUGAUUACAGGUUCUGAAGGUUUAUCCAUUUGCAUUAACAGUAACGGCCUUCCAGUUUGGGUGUGGGACAGUGCUUGUUUUGUUAAUGUGGACGUUGAAUUUCCACCCUAAACCCAAGAUUAAUAGAUCUCAGGUAAUAUUUACGUGUACUAACAUAUUUUCUUAAUAUUUUGGUCUUGUUCUGUCAUAAAAAGUCAUAAAUUCAGGAGUUUAGUCCGUGUAGAAACUUCAAUUAUAAUCUAUAAAGCAUGAUUUGAAAGUGUUAAUAAUAAUAAUAAUCAUCAUCAUCAUCAUCGUCAUCAUCAUCAUCAUCUACAAAGUAUGUAUUGAAAGUGUUAAUAAAUUGUUUAAAUUAAAUAGUUAAAAUUAAAUGGUGAAUAAGCGGGGAUAGCAUCUGUUUGUAAACAAAAAUUGGAAUGAGUGUUUUUAUAAAUAAAAGUCAAACGUAUAGACCUUUCAAAAUUCUAGCAAAGAUUUGAAAAGUCAAAAUGUUUUUCCUAAUUCUUACUAUGGUAAACUAAGCCCUUGUUUGAUCCCCAUUACGUGGAAAAAUUAAUGGGGGGAAUAGUAUAUUUUUGAAAAACGAGUGGUUGAAAAAGAAUGAAAAGUUUUCGAUUUACGUGUAAUAUUAUUUUAUGAAAGAUUGUGUGGUUGAAAAUAGAAAAGAGAAAAAUAAAAUGUAAUAAAAUUUAACGUAAUGGGGCUCAAACAGGGGCUAAGAGACUUUAGCCGCUACUUCUAAAAUUCAUUUUCACUCAUAUAUUUUAUGAGAUCCACAAUUUUAUCAAUUUUCAACCAAAUAUUUCAUUAGUUUUAUUAAAAUUUACUAAAAAUAUAAUAUUUAUAUUUAUCAUAAUAUAACUUUUAGCUAAAAUAUACAUGAUUGUAAAUUAAACUUUGUUCUCGGUUUCAACUGAAAAUGAUCAACCUCUGUUUGAUAAUAAAUUUAAAAAUGGUUUGUAAAUUCUGUCAAACUUAAAUAUUAGUUUUAACAAUACAUUUAUAACUAUUGCUCAUAUGUUAUCAAACAUUUUGUGGGGAUCCAUUAAUAUUUCUUUUACUAUUUUUGUUUAAAAAUGAUUUAUAAAUUUGACAAAUGGAGGCUAAAUGAAUUGCGGUGUGGAAAAAACUGCUUAUCCCGGUUGCAAAAAUAAUUAUCUUUUCUUCGAGCAUUUUUUAUUUUUUUUUGCAUUAAUUAAUAUAAAAGCUUAUAUUUUUCAUAUCACAUCACCAUGUUAUGCUGCGUUUCUCGUUUCAAUUGUGACCUUACAUGAUUCUACAUAUGUCUGGUUAGUUUGCAGCGAUAUUUAUGCUGGCUCUGGGGCACACAAUAGGUAAUCUUUUAACAAAUAUCAGUAUUGGAAAAGUGGCUGUUUCAUUCACACAUACAAUCAAAGCAAUGGAGCCAUUUUUCACAGUGCUCCUUUCUGCUCUGUUACUUGGAGAGGUAUAUAUAAAUUUGCCGUUUUCCUGUAUAUUUUUGGAUAUUAUUAUUGUGGAUUUUGCAGUUAGAAGAUCUGGGUCGUGUUUUCUUGUUAAUGAUAAUUUUUACUUCUCUGAUGUAUAACAUUUUGUUGUUAAAAACAAAUUUUGCGUUUGUUUGGUUUGGACAACAAUUAGAUUUGUAGUUGAUUUUGAUAAAUGUUGAUGAAAUUGUUGGAUAUUGGUUAAAUAAAUUGAGAAUUGAAAAUCGAUUAAAGUUCGUAUCGAAUUCGGCCAAAUACUCAAAAGCUCGACUCAAUCCGUUUAGGCAAAAUUGUUUGCCACUUCGCCGCUUCGGAGCGCACAAAGAGAAUUUUGAUUUCUCUGCAUGUAUUGAAGGGUAUAUUUGGCAUUUCGAAAACCAAUAUCGGAUGAAUGAGAAAUUACGAAAAAGACCUCAACCAUUAGUGAAUAGACACCUUUUCAUAAAUGUGCAUUGUUUGGAAAUGGUGCAUGGUUUGGUCUCAACCAUUUCGUCCACACCCCUUCAUGGUCUAUAAAUAGGACCCUUUGGGUGUCCUAUUCCUCACAGUUUGAUAUGCAAAAACGUCUCUCAUCCUCUCUUCUAUCCAAAAUCAAAAUCAUUUCAUUUAUUUUGAUUUUCUUUCAUUUCAUCUGUGGAGUACAUAAGCCUACAUUGGGUUCGUUGUACUUGUGUUUUGGAGUGCUACAAACAUAAGUGUAGCCGUUGUAUCUUGGGAGUCGAUUGCCGAAAUCCGUAGGCACCGUUGCGGGGCAAAUUCGACUUAAGGACAAAGAGUCCAACUCUUGCUUCGGCUUUGUCACCAUCAUUAUACUUAUUUCGGCGUCACUAUUCACAAAAUUCUUCCAACAGAAAUGUGUGAUUCACUUCUAAGAAAUGAGGGCCAAAAAGGGGCUUAUGAGAGAUAAACAACUUUGUUGUCCCUCGAAUAACUCAAGCUUUUGUACCAAGAGCUCAACAUGAAAUUAAAGCAUGAAGUCCAAGUUGCGUUGCCACCUAUUUAAGAAAAUUGGGACAUAUUUAUGAUGAAAAAUGAGAGAUAUGCUACACAAACAGAAUUGGGGAUAGGAUUUUUAAACAGGUGGACACAUGUCAAAUACUGAUUGGACAGUUUGAAAAAAAAAAAAAAAGCACCAACCAACUGCCGACACAACCCCUGUCCCCAAAUUCUGUCACCUGCCCUGUUUGAAUAGCAUAAUGCUAAAUUUUUUUAAAAAAAAUCGACAUGAAUGUGAGAUGGUAAGCUUUUACACAUAAUUAUCACAUGUAUGACGUACAUGCUAUAAUAUUGUUUAUAAAUGUUGGAUUUUAGCGUGUAUAGAACCUUUGAUUAUUCUGUCCGAGCAUUUGGCCAUAAAAUUAAGGACAAAAACCUUUUUAUUUUUUUUGAAUGUUGAAAGCUAUGUAUAAUCCAUAUACCUUAUGGAUCAUUUAUUAUUUGAAGUCAUUUGACUUUCAGUUUGAUCACACAGAGGCCCUCUUUAUGGGUAGUUUCCUCCCUUCUGCCUAUUGUUGGUGGAGUGGCAUUGGCAUCAUUCACUGAGGCCUCUUUCAAUUGGUAUGAGCCUUAUAUUAUUCAGUUUUAAAAUUUAUUGGCAGUUACGGUGAAAUCUCUUCUGUGUCACGGAAUUUUUUUCAUUUGGUCACUAAACUUAUAAUUCACCUCACGUCAUCCACUCCUAUUAGUUAAACCAAUGGAGAAGUCUUCUGCAGCCGUUAACCUUUAACGGUAUUGUAAGAAACACUUCAACUGAAGUCGAAUUUUGAAAACACAUUUUUCCAAAUUUUUCCAAUAUAAAGAAUUAAAGGAGAGACUGAUUUGAUGAACCCGUUUGACAGAAAAAAGUUUGGCGACCUACGUGAGUUUUCACUUUUGCUGAUAAGUCAGUGACUGCCAAUGAAUUUUACCUGAUAUUGUGCUUGACCUUGGUGUCCUGAUAAUAGAUUUUCUGUUAACUCAGGAUAGGAUUUGGCUGUGCAAUGGCUUCUAAUCUAACGAAUCAAUCUCGAAAUGUGUUCAGCAAAAAAUUCAUGGUUAAGGAGGUAAGAGUUCAUUGUUAGUCAUUUGUUUAAUUCUUUCAUUAUACUGUUUAGCAUGAACAAGAAUUAUAUUUUAAGAAUGAUUUUUAGGAUAUAACAGAACCGGUUUUUGGGACGGUUCCUAAUUUUCUUGGUCAGGUCGGGUCAGACCGGGCCUCUAUAUAAACGAUGAUGGUUAUGAUUGCAUGAUAAUACGAUCUGAAAUCAACAAUAUAGUGCUAACCUGAUGCUGAUUCUAUCAGGAAACACUGGACAAUAUAAAUCUCUUCUCCAUUAUUACAAUCAUUUCAUUUCUUCUUCUGGUGCCGGUUGCCAUUUUGAUGGAUGGUGUCAAGUUUAGUCCAGCAUACCUGCAAUAUGCUGUAAGUAGUGUUUAAAGUAGCUGAAUUCUUAGCUUAAACUGCUGUCAUUCUGAAUUCCUAAAGUUUUUUAGUAUACAAUUUUCAUGUUUUGUUUAUUAUAAUUUAGGCAAGUCAAGGAUUGAAUGUCAAAGAGUUUUGUGUGAGAGCUCUUUCAGCUGGUUUCUGCUUCCAUACUUAUCAGCAGGUUAGGUCUCUAACAUUUGCCGAAAUUUUUCUAUUUUAUGAACGUUGUUUUCAGUUAAGUGGUCAGGAUGUGUCAUGUAUAUAGGCAUAAAGAUGUGUUGGACUAAAUUUACCGGAUGGAAUGGUUGAAAAUGAAUAUCAGAAAUUUAGAUAUUGGAUUUACGCAUACCAUAUAUGCAAUAUACCGUACUUAAGCAUACCAUAUAUUCUAUUUACCGUAUUUGUAGCUUACCUUAUUUGCAACAGCAUACCGUAUAUGCAAUAGCUUACCGUAUUUGCAUAUGCCUAUCUUGCAUAUACCGCAUGUGCAAUGAACUUGGUAAAAUAUAGCAAAUUAAAUUGCAAUAAAAUAAACCAGUUAAUCUGAACAAAACUAAUAUGGGCAUUUCAAAAUUCUUAAGAACCUGGUUGCUUUCGAUAUUAAUGGAACAAAGAGGUGAAAAAGGAUUCACUUGGUCGACCCAAAACUUAUUGGGAACUAGUCUUGUGUUUUAUUAUUGUUCAAUUAUAGCUGGCCACAAUUUCAAUUCAAUCCUUCCAGUGUUGACUUUAUCGAAGCUCUAUAAUGCACUGAGAGUACAUUUGACACGAGUAAUAAUAGAAUAGUAUAACAAACAAGAUUUUAAAAUUCUUUUGACACCCACCCUUCUGUCCAGUCUACGAACUAGUUAUUCUGAAUGCAACUCUACUUUAUUGUCAACAAUAAGUAACUUAAUCUGUUUCUGAUCGGCAGGUUUCUUAUAUGAUACUACAAAUGGUAACACCAGUGACACAUGCAGUGGGAAAUUGUGUUAAGAGAGUGGUUGUAAUUGUAUCCUCAAUUAUCUUCUUCCAAACUCCAGUUUCACCGACGAAUUCCCUUGGUAAAUUUCUUAGAAUCAAUCCUAAAUUAUGUCCUAAUUUCAUUAGUAACGUUAUUUCUUAUCUUUGGAGUCUGUUUCUCCAGUUUUAAUUUAGCCUUGGUAAUUCUGCCUGAUCUCAGGAACUGCUAUUGCACUUGCCGGAGUUUUUCUGUAUUCCAGAGCCAAGAGAAUCAAACCAAAUAAAGAACUUUCAUAGUGAUACAAUCGAGAUGCCUGGACGAGGACCUAGUUCGAUCUCAAGUGCUUGAAUCCAAUCGAGUGUAAUGAUUGGAUCUUUUCGAGAAUAUACUGAAAUUCUGGUACAAAAUGGUCAAUUGUAUGAUAUUACGAGUUGAGCAAAAUGAAGACUAAAUACAUUAUAUAUAAAUUUU
rnacentral:lncRNA from 1 species